rnacentral:lncRNA from 1 species
GACCCUCUGCUCGUCGGAGCUAUCGGCGGCGGCGGGGGGUCCAUGUGCAUGCCGUCGUGGGUGGGAAGUAAAACAUUGGUAGCGUCGGAUUUGGAAGAAACAGAAAGAAAAAUUACAAAACAAAGAGUUAAGAUUGCUGUUGUUUUUUGUUCCAUUUUGCAAUCUUUUGAGUUUGUCUGUUGACUUUAAGAGAAAUGAUUAAUGAAGUUCACUUAUUUUAUAGCUUAAUAUGGAAGUUUUGAAUUUUAAUUUAGAUAAUAUUGUUGUACUACUAAUGCUUGGUUGUAUUUAAUUUGUACUUCUUUUAUUAUUUGUAGUACAAAUUACAAAAUAUAUACACAUAUUUUUAUUUUAUUACUCCUUUCUUUUACUCCUUACAUUAACGUUUUAAUUUGGUAAAUUAAAUUUUUUAACCUCAUGGUUACAUGUGUAAAUUAAUUUGGCUCAAAAUCGAAUAAAUAGUUGUUAAUAACGUAGAUUUUUACCGUGCAUGUUAGAAUUUAACCAGAGAAGAAACAGAAAAGUAGGUUUUAACAUGUAUCGAAGGUUAAAAGUUGAGACAUAAUAUAUAGCCCUUAUUUUAAAAAUAUUAAUGACAUAUAUAUUAUAUUUUUCUAAUCUGGAGUGUUUUCAAUAAAAAAUUUAAAUCAAAAGUGGAUAUCAUGGUUGACCUAUGAGAAGAUGAAGAUAAAAUAGCAUGCUUCAUGCCCUCUUUUUGAUUCUUUAAUUAAGAACACAUAAUUAAUCUCUAUUUAUUAUUAUUAUUGACCUUUGAUAUAUAUGUGUGUAUAUGUAUAUGUAUAUGUAUAUGUGUGUAUAUAUAUGUGUAUAUUUUAGCUAAUUAGUUGUUUAGAAGAUACUUGGUUCUAUAUUUUGUAAGAUUAGUAUUUAUCAUUUUCUCCUUCCACUUCCGUCCUUUUAUCACUUUUCAUUCUUUCGACUCUUACCACAUUUUUCAAGUGAGAGCAGAAAGGUUAUUUAAAAGGAGAAAAAUUGGAUAUAAGUUUAUACCAUAAACAUGAUUAUGACUCAACAAAAUUAGAGGAUAAAAAACUAGAAAAAUAAGACAUGUUGAAGGCGAAAGCAGCCACACACCUCACUUGGGGCAUGUCCAAUAAUCCAUGCUCCAACUCCGUUGAUUUGAAUUUGUUAGUCUAAACCUUAAUCCUCGGUCCUUACUAGCCUCGUUAAUUUGGCCAUGUGGAGUAUGUCCAAUGCAUGCCUCGAUUUGGUUUCGUUUGAAGUUUAUGGCUUGAUUUAAUUUUGAUUUCAUAUUUUCAAAUGAUCUAAUUCUACAAAGUUUUUACGUUUAAUAAAUAUAGAGAAAUUAGACUUCUAAAGUAUAAAAGAAAUUCAAACUUAUACAAUUGUAAUAAUUUCUAUAAGAAUAAUGCAAAAAGAAUUACGAUAGUUUUUGGAAUAUAUACGUCAUUAACCUCUUUUUAGUCUAUUUAUUCUAAAUUAAUGGGAUUUCUCCUAUUAAUUCUAAACGAACAAAAGUUUAAUUAGUUCAAUCAAAGUCAUGUUUAAAUCUCUCGCUCCAAUUUGUACUUAAAAGAAUAGAAUUUUAUUUUGAAAGAAACCAUUGAUUCUAAGUUGAAAAAACAAUAGAAUUUUUUAGCUUAAUACAUCUAAGUUAAAUUAAUAUUUUAACUGUUACUUAGGUAAAAAUGUCCUAUAUUCUACAACCUGUUUGUAUUCAUGAUGCUUAAGCAUGCAUAAUGACGUUGUGAUAUGUUGUGAGAGACUUGAUAAUAUGACAGUUGGAUAUAGAAUAAUAUUGUUUAGAGGUUUGUGAAAGGGUCUUAUGCAUUUUAAUUGAGUAUAGUAUGUGUUGAGUAAAUCAAAUGUCUUAAAUAAUGACUGAGAAUGGUCAAGUGACGGAGUCAUUGGGUGUCUUGAAUAAAAAUGAUCAAGAGUUCAAGAGUCGUAAAGGACGUUGCUAAUGGUGAUGUGAAUAAAACGGUUUAUGAGUCAACAUAUUUCAUCGAGAUCAAUCUCAUAAUUAAGUUGGAUGUGGCGUCUAUAAUAGUUGAGUGAGAUUUUAUAGUUGUUUAGAGAUAAAGUGUAUACUAUUGGUUUAUGUGUAAGUAUUAUCACAUCCGGUAUCCAUUAUCUAUUAGUAAUGUAUGCAUGAUACUCGUACUAUCGAGUAUCAUUGUAUGUUGUUUUAUGACUCUAAUUUUUGUACGUUACGAUGGAUUGUUGUUUAAUCUCAAUAAUAUUGAUUUAGAAAGACGUUGAAAAGAUAUAAGAUAUGUUGAAGUUUGUUUGGAAGGAUAUAUCUAUAUAAUAAUUUACUUAAAGUGGAAAACCAAUUCUGAUUGUUAGACACCACUUUUAGAGGUGUAAUAAUCCCAACGUUAUAAUGAUUAUAUGAAAAUCAUUUUGACUAUUUUUAAAACCACUCCAAACCUGUUUUAGUAGUAAAUUCUCUUAAUUAAUUUGUUUAUCUCUAGUUAAUUGAUAUAAUUAUAAAUUUUACAAAAAAAAAAAAAAUCCUAACUAAACAUGUAAAUUAAUACAACUACUAGUUGAUGAUGAUAUAUAUUUGAUACAAUUCCAAAUUAUGUGUUAUAUCAAAUAGCUUAGAGAUGACAUACCAACAUCUAAAACAUAGAUAGACAUUCUUGUGUACCAUUAGUGUGAUAUACCAAUACCAAUAUUUACAUUAUGAUAACGUGAUAGAUACUAACAAAAAUAGAAAACAAAAAACAAAACAAACAAAAGUUACCAAUUUUGUACCCAACUAAUCAAAGAAUUUUGAUUCCAAUAAUAUUCCAGAAAUUGAAAAAAGAAUAAAGUAAACUUCAAAUAAUUAAAUUUCAUACCGAAUCAAACUUCACGACGUCUAUCUAAACCUAAACCACAUAUGGAAAAUCAAUUUAAUCAAAAUUCAAGUCAUCUAAACCUACAUAAUAGAAAAGUAGUUACACAUCGCUAUUCAAAAUUUAAAUGAAAUUCAAAAUUCUAAACUUACGAUAAAUAAGGUGAAAAAAAACAAAAAUAGAAAAUUUUAACAUUAUCAUUGAAAAAUUUGACAAUAUGAAUGAACACUCACGAAUUCUAAGUUUAGAUAGCGACUAUGAAUCCUAAACACCACUAAAUAUCUUCAUAGUUCUUGCUUACAAUUACAAAAUUAAGAAUCCUAAAUGAAAACGAUGAACAGCGAGAUAGAAAAAUUACAAGAUGAAUUAUCCCUGAAAUCUGAAUCCAAAGCAUUUCCAAUUUACCAUUUCCCCUCUUCCGUUUACAACUUGACAUAAGCUGCAAAGAAUUCCAACAACAAAUUUCGUUUCUAAUCCAAUCCAAGAAAAAUUCAUCACCAACAUUCAAUACACUAUCAUAACAUUCAAUUUCAAUUCCAGAUUUCCACAUUAUUAUCCCUUCAUCAACAACUAAGAGGAGGAAGAUCAGAGGAUUUACCAGAAACCGCUUCCGAUCUCUUGAAAAAUUUACUCCCAAACAAGAAAAAUCCCAAGCAAUGUCCACCGAUUGCUACCAAAAGCACUCCAACAUUGAACGACAUCACCGCAAGCAUCACUAAAUACGCUAAUCCAACCCUAACCGUAUGCAUCAGAGUCCGGAUCAAUCCUGCCGCUGCCCGGCUCGAAUCUUCCUUAAUCAAUCGGCAAUGUGUAAGCCAUUCGACGAGAAAAGCAAGCACGAAGAUGAAGAUUAAGGCUAAGGCGUACAUGCCGGAGCGCUCGCCAGGCCAGCGAUGGAACAGAAUCUCGGCGUUGGUUCCCCAAAAGAAGGUCAUGUGCAUCAUCAUCUUGUGGUGCAUCAUUUCCGGCGAUGCGGUGGAGGAGUCCGGUGGCGGUGUCAUGCCGUGCAUAUGAUGGUUGUGAGCUUCGGUGGCAGCGUCCAUGGUGGCUCCGGUGCCGGGAAAUUCUCGUGUGUGGUAUUGGGAAGGGCGAUUGGUUUGUGAUAAGUGAUAAGAACGCCGUCUGUUUCAGUAUUAAAUGGAUUUGUUCGUACACUCAUUGUGACUUCUAUGACUAAACGCCUGAUUUGGUGCACCGCCGGUUUAUCAUUUUUCAUGUGUGUUCACCUCUCACCAUUUGACACCUACUCUUUCUUUUUUUUAAUUUAUAGGAAAUUAUUUGUAAAAAUUUUCCAAAGAGAUAUUUUAAAUAAUUAAUCACCAUUAGUAACUAAUUUAAGUUAAUCAUUCAAAACAUUUAUUUCGAGUUUAAAUGGUUAAUUAGCCUUUGAUUUUGAAAUUACAUGCAUCUUGGUAGUCUCCCCCGUUAGUUAAAGAUCUUUAAAAUCAAUCACGAACCCACAAACCAAUAAAACCUAACGUUUUAACUUUAUCAAAGCAAACCACUUCUUUUUCUUUAGUAUCUCAUUGGAGAUGGUCAUGGUUAUCAUAAACCCUACCACGAUAACCAUGCAUGUCUAUUGAUCAUUUUUACUCGACGGAGAACUAGUCGUGCAUCUGGACAUGAAAAAUUCAAUUUCCUAUACCACGAGAGUAUAAAGAAAAGCUUCACAUCUCCUCUAUCUAUUAUAUUUUACGUCAACAUACUUUUGAGAAUAUAUAAGAUGUAACCUACUAAUAUUAAUAGACGAUCAGUAAAUAACAAAUUUAUAGUGUGAACAAAGAGAAUAUGAUACUCACAAAUGAUACUAGAAAAUUCAGUGAGAUUCUUUCAAAUUUGUUAUUGUAGCUCGUGGUUAUUAUCAUUGGUAUGUAACAAUAAUUUAUCUUAUUUGAGAUACAAAUUAUAGUUUAGAAAAAUGACUUAUAAUAGUCCAAAUGCCUUUAGUUCUUUGUAUUUAAAAGAAACUGUUAUUUUAUAUUUGAUAUAGAGUGUGCAUGUGACACAUUAUUUUAAUAAUUUCUUCACCUACCAUAAUGGACAAAAUAUAUCACAUGUAUUUUCACACAUCUUCAUAUAUUAGCAUAGUUUAACCUUCGAUUGAUAUCAUAUAUUGGGAAUAUGAAAAGAAAAAAAAGGUUAUAGUUUGUGAUUUUAAAAGAAGAAUUAAAAUUAAUAACCAUUUUAUUUUCUCUCUUUCACCGUGAAGUAGCUCAACGAAGAGAAAAGACGAGUAAAAAGAGAAAACAUUAAUAAUCGUUUUGUUUUUAGAUCUUGAAAAUUAAAUUUCGUAUUCAUGAAUAUUAUUUUUAUCUUUAUUAAGUAAUGAUUGAAUAUUCUUAGUCAAACUUUGAAAGAAGAAAAAUAAGUACUUUUUGUUUUUUAAAAUAUAAUCAUAAUAUCUAAUAGUGGUUUGAUACACAACUAAGACUUGAGCUCUGAUUGGAAGGAGACUAACAAACAUAGUUACUAUUAAACUACCUACAAAUGUUAUACAUUAAUUAGUUUUUUUAUACAUAUUAUAUAAAGACGAUAAAGUUGAUGAGCCUAUACUAAAUCCAUCGGUGAUGUCUAGUAAAUUUAAUUUUAAAAAAAAAAUAUCAAUUGAAAUUUAAAUUAUUAUUUUAAAAAAUUAUAAUUAUGAUCAAAACAAGACCCAAAAGAUGAGUAUUAAUGUUAGUAUGAAAUUAAAGGUCCCAUUUAGAAAAAGAUAAAAAGAAAACCAUAAUAGUCAAAUAAACAAAGUGGGACCUUUAAUUUGGCUACUCUUCUUUGAAAUUAAACAAAGUUUUUCUUUCUUCGUUUUUCUUUUGUAAAUUUUAAAAGUUGGGUUAAUUUUAUUUUGAAAGCAAUUUUUAAAAAAUUAGUUUCCAAAAUUUAACUUUGAUUUUUAAAAGAUCAAUAAAGACUACUGUAACUAAAAAAACAAAAAGGUUAUAGAUUUUGUGUUAGUUGAAUUAGUUUUUCUCUAUCUUAUAUUUAUUUUGCCAUUUUUUUUGUACACGUAAGAUCGUUGUUUAUUAUUAUUGUUGUUUAUUUAUUAUUUAGGAAUAGAUAUUUUCCAAACUUAUCAUGGGAAGAGAAAGAAAUGAGGAAAUUAGAUAUAUAAUAAAUGAUAGGGAUCAUAGUCCAAAAAACUUGUGGUUAAUCAAGCUUUUCUUUUUUCACUUGAGUAUAGCUUUAACACCUUGAAAACUAUAAGUAAUGUAAAAGAUUUUUAAAUUCAUUCCAAAUCUAAAUAUAUAGAAUGAAUGCAUUUAAAAUUUUGUAUACAAUAAUUGAAAAAUAAAAGAAAAUUAAAUAGUUUACUAAUUUAAGCUUUUAAUUAUAAUUUGUAAAUGGCAAAUAAGUAAUUUACCUCUAAAUCCUAAAUCCUAAAAGUUAUGCCAUUUAAUUAUGAAUUCUUUUAACCUAUAAGCUAUUAGGUUAAUUUUUUAGUUUGUUUGAAUUCAAAUAGUUGAUUAAUGAUUCAUUUUACACACUACCAAAUAAUUUUUAAUAAAUAAGUUCUAAAAACAUAAAAAAAAAAUCACACUAGCAAUAAAGAAAAACUUCAUACGGCGUGCAAACCUUAUUCUCACAUCAUACUAAGCAACUAUCCAAACCUUAUGUCUAGUAAUAAAGUGACAAAUUCAAAUAAGUAAUGUAUCUCGAUGUAUGAGGGUGCAUGUGUCCCUCGUACAUCCAAACUAAAAUGGCAAAGAAAGAAUAAAGGUCCUCGACUUUAAUUACAUCUCACUCUUAUCAUGAAUAAGACAUUUAUGUUGGGCACUUAGAUGGUUUGUUGAAUAUUUAUGAUUUAAUUAUUUAAAUAUAUUUUUAUGUGUGUAUAUGUUAGACAAUUUUUUUUCUAGUAAAAUGUUAUUAAAAUUUAAUAAAAUUUUGUCUUAAUUUUUUAAAUUAGUUUUUAACUUUUUUUUUUUUUUUAGUUUAUGUUUACUACACUACAAUAUACUAUGUAUAUUUUUUUUAAAAAAUUACAAAUUUUACUUUUUUUUUAAUAUAUAUAAUGUUUAGAUGAUAAGUAUAUUGGGUGGACUAAGAUUGGGCUUGUGUUUGGGCUUUGGGCCUGUUUUGAUGAGGCUAAAUUACACCCAUCAUAAAUUACAAGAAGUUUAGUCAUUAAAAAGAAAUUAGUAGCUUUGUAUAUAUAACUCAAUUGAUUAAGGUAAAAUAUCAACACAAGUUUGAAUUUUCACACGUGUGCUUUUAGUUUCGAAAAAGAUACAAAAAUAUAUUCACAUGGUAGACAAGUUGCAAUUUACUCUCAAAUGUGAUAUUUAAAAGGUAUGAAUUGUUUUAAUUAAAAUACUAUCUUAUAACUUGUAAUUUGGGUUUUGUUCCAUUUUAAUCUCCCGUCCCUUCUAAAUUUUAAAAAAUAUUUUUAACAUUUUCAAUUCUUCACACGAAAUUUUUGGAGAAUUUUGAUUUGUGGAGUUGAACUUAAGUUGACAUUAUAUUUGUGAUGAUUUGAUAUGACGUGGUUCGAUCUCUAGUAUUUGAUCAUCUGAUUCUCUCUCGAUUAGAUGCUUACAUUUGAUUUGAGGAAACGAAACACGCGAUGUUCUUGAAGUUAUUGGAAGAAAGCUUGUAUUUCUAAAGAAACUUCAAUUUUCGAGGACAAUCGACUUCAUGAGUUAGGAAAUCUUCUAGCUCUUGAGAGAAUUCUCUUAGACUUUUUGAAGUAAAAAAUUUCCAACCCCUGCAAAUAUAAAAAGAAUUAAAAAAUUUACAACCCUUGUAAUAUUAUUUGUAGAGUUCUCUGGUUGGUAACUCAUGGGCUAAACCCAAGUAAAUAAUAUUUAAUCUAACCAAAAUAAUUAACUUGAUCCAACGGUCAUAAUGAAAACAUGUGACAUCAUCCGAAUGGACCAAUUUAUGUCUUCAAUUUAAAUUUGGAACAUAGGUUAACUUUUUAAUUAAUCCCAAAUUUAAUUAUUUGUAUUUUCAUCAUUAAUUUAGUAAAUGACGUGACAAUUUGUGAUUCUUGUCAACAAAUUUUAUUCAACACUCAUACAUUUAAAAUAUAUCUUUUCUAAAAAAUCUUUAAAUUAAUGAUUAUAUUUCACUUUUUUUAGGGUUUUUUUUCCAAAAAAUAUAAUUUAUCGGUAAAAUAUUUACACUAAAUAAUUUCAAAAAUAGAAAAAACUCACAUGACCAAAAUAAAAAAUACAAAAAAUGAUCCAAUCACAACACGUCCAUGUAAUAUAUUUGGUAUGUUUAGAUUUGGCUAUAUAACCGUUUAUAUUUGGCUAUGAUAUCUAACCAGAUUUUUGGUUUAGAUUUGACCGGCUAGAUUUAGGUUCAAAUCUAAAUGAGUUUUUUUUCAAUAUUUUCUAGAUCAUUUAGAUUUGGAUAGAAUUUGACCACUUAAAUCUAAAACUAUUAUUUUUCAAGAUUUUUUUUUAUAGUUUAGAUGUGGGGAUCAUUUAAAUUGUCCAAAUCUAAAUGAUUUUUUAUAAAAAAAUUUGAUAAUUUGUGCUUAUCAAGUUGUAUAAAAUUAUAUAAAAAUUUGGCUCUAUAUUUUUAAGCCAUAAGUAAAAAAAUAUAGUAAAUAUAUACUAUGAUAAGAAAUGAAGCAUAUUUAGUAAUUUUGAAUCUAUUUGAUACAUUUUGCUUUAUAACGUUAAUAGAUAAAUUUGUUAAAUUGCUAUGGUAAAAUUAGGAAAAUGUACCUAGGGAAGAUUGUUUUUUUUUUUUCUUUUUCUUUUUUUUUUUGCCAAUUUUGCAAAGUUAUUUCAUAAAUAUCCUUGAUUGAAAUUUGAUGUAUAUAAAAGAAAUGGUUUGUCAAAAUCAUUAAAAGAAAUGUUAAAAUUGAAAUUUUUUAAAGAAAAAAAAGAAUGUUUACCAUGAAUAAUAUGAAAUAAUUGGUUAAAGAUGACACAUAUUCCUUCCUAGUUUGUAUUUAAGAACAAAUAAACUUAUUGUUAAUAUUUCUAACCACAUAUUUGAACCUUAGAGUGUUUAUUAGACAUUUGAUCACUUGAAGAUAAUUUGAGGAUCAAUCCAAAAUUUUUGGAUCCAAAAUGAAAUUUGUUCUAAUUUUUUAAAACAUACCUUUUUUAAUUUGGAUAUUUUGUUUUGUUAUCAUUUAUAUAACUUUUUAAAAAAUUAUUCCACACAUAGGUUGAUCUCAAUUCUCCAUUACCAUAGAAAAGCAAAGAACAAAAAAACCUAAAUCUAAACCUAAAUGGGUGAAAGCCAAGAAAAAUUAAAGUGAGUGAAAUUAGGAAAAACUUAAAUUUGAAAGAGUGAGAUUUAAUCCAUGUGCCAUCACUAGGAGUCUUUUGAUAAUGUAUGUUUGCAAUGACUUAAUUAAGAAAAAUAAGUUUAGGAUUAUUUGAUGGACACUGUAAUUGGAUAGAAUUGUAAUGUAAAGUAAUAAAAAAAAUUUAAGUUUAGACGGACUCAGUUUGUAAUAUAAAAUUUGUCAUGUUUUAACACUUUUUUAUUGUAAUAUAAUAUAAAUUUUUACCAUAUUUGUUCCGUCUAUUAGUCCCACUUUUUAAUACUCUCCGAUUUCCAUUAAUCUUAAAUAUUAUUACAUCUCACCUCUUGAUUACAAGUACUGUUUUAUUUCAUUUUGAGCAUAAAUUUUAUAAAACACAUUUUUUAAGUGUUGAAAUAAAAUUUGAAAUAACAAGAAAAAGAAAGCUUCGGUACUAGCAAAUUGGUAGUACACUCACAACUUUAUUUGAUAGUACAAUUUCAACUUCAUUAUUUCAUUGCAAUCCAAACAAAAUGUACCAAAAAGAAAAUGGAAACUCACAUGACAUUUUAUUGGGGAAAGACGAUAGAGAUCCUCUUCCCCGGUUGGCCUGGUCGGAGCUUUUUCUCCUCAGUCAUCGUUUUAAUUUUUGUUUUUCUCCUUGCCUUCACCGUGGAGUGGCUCUCACACACUAAAUUCACCACCUCCGCCAUGGACAACCUCACUGCCGGCCUGGUUCAGACCAUUCUUUACGGCAUUCGAGUGGGGUUGGCUUUCAUCGUUAUGUUGGCGGUCAUGUCAUAUAACGUGGGAAUUUUGCUAGCGGCAGUGACUGGAUAUUCGAUCGGGUUCUUGGUUUAUGGGAGUAAGAUAUUUAAUCGAUCAAAAAUUGAUCCAAAUCUAAAUUUAGAUUCUCUUGAUCUUCCACCACUCAAUUGUUAGCAUAAAGAAUUAAUUAAGAUAGUUUGUCUUGUUUUAUAUGAAUUUCAAUUUUAGUUUGUUUUGUUUUAUAUGAAUUUCAAUUUUAGUUUAUUCUGUUUUACAUGAAUUUCAAUUUUUUAUCGACCAAAUUUACUUAGAUAAUCUAUCUCUUUUGAAUUUUGAAGUUGGAAGAAUUUUAAUUACUUAAAUUAAAUUUUAUUUUCAUAAAAAAAUUAAUUUUAUAUUUAGUAUUUUGUUGAGAUACUAAUAAAUAUAAAAGAGUUUAACUAUAAUAAUUUUCUAAAAAUGAAUAUGUUAAUUGAACAUUGGGGAAGUUUAUAUUCUCUUUAUAUUUUUAGUAUACUUUAUCUUCGUUACUUUUUGGUAAUUAUCUUAGUCUCCUUAUUAUGAAACUUUUUGUUUUAAUGAAUAUAUACCUUUUUCAACACUGUAAAUGGAGAUUGCAAAGAAAUUUGCAUCACACAUCACACUACAACUGCAACUCGAUAACUUGUAAACUCGAAAAAAACGAUAAGCAAACUCAUAAAUCAAAACAAAAUUAGACUUUCAUCUUUCUAAUCUUUUCUCUUUUAGGUGUUUUUGUACUUUGAUAUGGUUGAGAUAUUGAGAACAAUCUUAAGACAAUUUUACUCAUCCUAGUGUUAGUGUUUGGAGACUAAUUAUUUUUGAGAAUAUAACAUAUUACUUUUUUUUAGAAGAUCGAACUUUUUGGAAUGAUUUAAAAAAUGAAGAGAAAUACUUUUAAAAGAAAGUAAAAAAGUAUAGAACACAACAAAAAAAAAUUACUGAAAUUGGAAGAGAAUUGAUUCAUAAGAAUUGUGAAUAGUUUGUCAUUUCUCUAAAUGGAUCAUUUAUUCUUUAGAAAAUUGAAGGAAUCUGACCUCCAAAUCAAUCCAAUGAAAUUCUUUUACCCACCUCCUAGUGGCCAAUUAAAUUCUCUAGAAAACUAUCACCUCAUAUUUUAUCCAAUCAAAAGUUUUGAUAUGGAUGAAGAAUUAAAAUUUGGCCUUUGGGUUUUGGCUCCAAUUUCCUAACAAUAUUCAAAUUGUCUUAUUCUAAAAUGAAAAGCACGUUUCAUAUAUUUUAACUUCAAUUACUAUUUUAAAAUUAGAGAAAUUGCAUCCCAUCACAAAAAUAUUUAGAAAAAAAUAGUUUAUGAUAUUUUUUUUAUAUAUUGCGAAUAUGACAAAUAUGACAAGUAAUUAAUGUAACAAACAACUAUUUGACCAAUAUUGAAGGGCCACAUAAGGCUAUUAGAGGUUUAUCGACUUUUAAAUUUGCUACUUUUACAAUUUAAAAAAUGUAGUGAAAUAAACUCUAUUAUCAUUAAAAAAAUCUUGCUACUUUUGUGGACACUCCUUAAUCACUACAAGAACUUGGUAGUUUCCCGACGCAGUACGACGUCGGGAUGAUUACAAAAAGCAUCGGGCACAUCUUUUCUGACGUUCUCUUCAACUUCAGGAAAUACAUCGAAAAAAUUGUGUCAGGAGACCCAUUCCCCAUGCAAUACAAAGAUGCGUUGGGAUUGACUUUUCCCCAACGUUCAUUUGACCGACGACAUCAAUGUGUUGGGGUAACCUAUAUGACUCUGCCAACGUCCUCGUGAACAUCGGGAGAAGGUGUUUCCCGACGCUACGUCGUGGAAUCUAUCCUUGAUGCCAUCUUACAUGUGUCGCGGAAAGACCUAUUUACUGAUGCAGUUUGUGCGCUGGAAAUAAUAAUUCUAGUUUUUUUUUAAUUAUUAUCUUUUAAAUUUUAAAUUUUUUGUUUCGAUUGUAGUUUCUAUUCGAUUCCAAUUCGACUUAAUUUAAAUAAAAACUGAACAACCAAAAUAGUAAAUAAUAUAUCCAAAUCAAAAUUGUAUUAUAAUUAAAUAAACAUUUGUCGUAAGAACACAGUUUCAAAUUUGUUAAAAAAAUUACAUGAAAAAGAAAAUUAAAAUAAUUUAGCUGCGAGCACUAUAUUGAACAAGUCCACACCUACAACGACAAAAAAUUAAAUUUAGAUAUAUAUAAUGCUAAUAUAACUAAUAAUGCAUAGUAAACAACGUUAAAGUUCAAAAAUACGUAUCGUAAGUUCUCCACUCACGGUUCUCUCUAUGCUCGACUCAUUUCUCCAAUAUUCUUCAUCAUUUCUUCCAUUUGUUUAUACUGCAACUUAGAUAUCCUUCUCUGCUCUUCAAUCACGUGUUUAGCUUCUUGAAGCUCGAGUCUUUGUUGCUUAAUAAGAUCUGCAUUAGCUUGUUCGACCACUGUAGAAUGCGAACAUGUGGUCGAAGAACUGCUAGCAGGACUCUUGCAAGACUUUUUUUUUUUUAAUGAAAUAACAUUAAUCUUAAAUGUUAUUACAUCUCAACUCUUAAUCUCAAGUGUUGUUUUAUUUCCUUUCGAGCAUAAAUUUUAUAAGACACAUUCUUUAAGUGUUCAAAUAAAAUGUGAAAUAAUAAAAAAAGAAAGCUUCAGUACUAGCAAAUUUGUAGUACACUCACAGCUUUAUUUGAUAGUACAAUUUCAAAUUCAUUAUUUGAUAGUACAAUUUCAACUUCAUUAUUUGAUUGCAAUCAAACAAUGGAAACCCACAUGACAUUUUAUUGGGGAAAGACGAUAGAGAUCCUCUUUCCUGGUUGCUUUUUCUCCUCAGUCAUCGCUUUAAUUUUUGUUUUUCUCCUUGCCUUCAUCGUGGAGUGGCUCUCACACACUAAAUUCCCCACAUCCGCCAUGGGCAACCUCACUGCCAGCCUGGUUCAUACCACUCUUUACUACGUUAGAGUGGGGUUGGCUUUCAUCAUUACGUUGGCGGUCAUGUAAUAUAAUGUGGGAAUUUUGCUAGAGGCGGUGAUCGGAUAUUCGAUUGGGUUCUUGGUUUAUGGGAGUAAGAUAUCUAGUCGAUCGAAAAUUGAUCUGUAUCUAAAUUUAGAUUCUCUCGAUCUUCCACCACUCAAUUGUUAGUAUAGAGAAUUAAUUAAGAUAGCUUGUUUUGUUUUAAUUUAUAUGAAUUUCAAUUUUUUAUCAAACGAUUUUAUUUAGAUAAUCUAUCUCUUUUGCAAAGUAAACAACGUUAAAGUUCAAAAAUAAGUACAGCAAGUUCUCCACUUACGGUUCUCUCUAUGGCCGACUCAUUUCAUCAAUCUUUUUCAUCAUUUCUUCCAUUUGUUUAUACUGCAACUCGAACAUCCUUCUCUACCUUUCAAUCACGUGUUUAGCUUCUUGAAGCUCUCAAUGAAGACUACAUUAGCUUGUUCUUCGACCGUUGUAGAAUGCAAACAUGUGGUCGAAGAACUACUAGCAACACUGUUAUGAGACUUGGACCUGGGUCCCCAACCAAGACCUUUUGAGUAGCUUGGACACUUACCCAAAACGAUCUCGUAAAUAUCAUCCUCAAAGAGUGGCUGAGAAACCUCUGGGGUACGCUAGGACUGAAGUUUCAGCAUUUGACUUUGCGACAGAUAAAAUUUUAUGUAAGUUAUGAAUCGGAGAAGUAUAAGUACAAAAUUAAGACAAAAUCAAAUUUAAACUUACAUGCGCAUUUGCAUCCGCCUGUGAAAUAAAUUGUCCAUUACGAGCGUGGGUUUCUCUUAAUAAUUCCAGACCUCAUUCUUCAGCGAGAUCAUGCUGUCAUUAUAAAAACGACUUCAUCAUGAUUGUAAGACUGCUUCUGCCUAGCAACCUUGUUCGUUUGUGAUUGCUCCUGCAUGAAAAUGUUUGUUAAAAGUACACACGCGUUAAGAAAAUUAAGUGAAAUAACACAUACCAUUGCAAUUUGUAGAUCUCACCUGAAAUGCACAGCUCAUGUAGUGAUCGCACAGUAAGUGUCAACCUUCCAUAUGUCCCACCAAUAUGUUAGGUGGGUUGGCAUGUGCCUGUUUUGGGUUGAUGUUUGAAAUGUCUAUAACAGUCGACCCUGAACUCUUUGAAAGAUGUGAAGACUAUUCAGAACAAUCAGGGUAUAACUCACUACGAGCUUCAUACAAUAAGUCCUUAAAUAUGUUUUCUGUUUCUUCUUCUAUAUCUACCCCAAUAUUGAAGGGCAUCUCAUUCUCCAAACCUUCAUCUAUUUUUCGUUCUUGUUCAAUCGUAGCUUGUAAAUCAUUAAGCAUACCAAACAUCUCAUCUUUUUCAUCAAAAGGGUUACUACUAGUUCCUUCAUCAAAGGGGUUACUACUGGUUCUUUUAUCAAACCUUUCAAUACUUCUAUGGAAGUUCACUGCCUCUCCACGAUACAACUAUUUUGUAUAGGAUGGGGAUAUUUCGAUGGUCAAUAGAUGUCGCUCCACUUCCUCUAAUGAGUACCAAUUUGAGUUCAUACAUCUCUUAUAUGGACACCUUAUUCGUCCGUAAGCAUCAAUGUGGAGCUUGACAAUCUAACUAAUAACUUAUUCCUAACUUUCAUCCAACCCUUGUCCAUCGUUAAAGACCUAAAACAUAAAUAUGUUUGAUCAUUAGUCCUAUAUUCCCCCAAACCCUAAACUUAAUUACUCGAUGAAUAAGCUAUGCUAAAUCCUACCAAUCUUUUAACUGAAGCUAAGUUCAAACUACGAAGGCUAGCAUAACUGCAUGAUAGCCUGAGUAGACUAACCAAACACCCUAUUAUAUCUAAUUAAUUCUAAAUCAAGUUUGCACUAAAAAGAAGAGACUAUCAUAACUAAUUGCAGGAUAGCGAUAAGAAAUCAACAACAAAUUCUUAGUAGUUCUAACAAACGAAACUGUUAAAAAAUAAACAACAAUAAAAUUUGAACUAAAUGCUACAACCUCCACACCCUUCAAUUUUCUAUUAACCCCUUCUCUACCUAAAAGUUCCAAUUCAACCGACCCCUUCUUUAACUUUCAAUUCACCCCCUCCAUUAAUUUUUUAUUCACCCCUCUUUAAUUUUUAAUUCAACACCCCCUCCUUAAAAAUUAUAAUCCAAUCCUAAACCCUCUUUAAUUUUCAAUUCAAUGAUUCUACAACCCCUCCUAGAACAUAAUAUUAUUCCUAAAACAUAAUUUCAAAUUCAAAUAAUAAUUUCUAGUCUAAACAAAAAUAAAUUACAUUAAAACUAAUAUAAAACAAACCUACUCACCAAUAUGCGACAAUGAGCGACGAAAGACGAUGACAACGAAAUGGCGAUGAACGGCAAAGAGGUGAGAACUCUUCUUCUUCUUGGUCUCCCUCCCUCUCUCUCGUCUUUCUCUUUUCUCUUUCAAUUCUAUUUUACAUAAUGAUUUAUUAAAAGGAAAACUCUCGACGCUGCACGAAAAACAUCAGGAUGGCCAACAUAUUUUUGACACAUCACUAAUGGUGUCGGAAAUAUGUACCCUUUUUCCCAACAUCUCUGUCGUCGCGUCGGAGGAUGGCCAACGAUACAAUUAAUGUUUUGCCCUUACUCGACGCGACACUGUAUAAUUAAUAUGUAUUAUCAUUUUUUCCAACGUUUCUAACGUGACGUCGAAGGAAAUCUAAUGGUAUAAUUAAUUAUUCCAGGCAGUCCUGGCAUGCCUUAUCAUGUAUCGGGAACAGACACCCCCUCUGAUGUUGGACUUGGUGUGUUGAAAGAGACCUCCUUCUAGCAACGUUUCGUUUUCCGAUAAAUUUUUAUGCGUCGAAAAAAUCCCAAUUUCUUGUAAUAUAAAAUUAAUAAAAAAUAUCGAUAGCAAGUUUUGGUUUGGAUUGUCUUUUUAAAUAUUUAUAAAUAUUUUUUUUUAGUAUAUCCUAAAUUUUUUGACAAUGUUUCAAGAAUAUAUAGAAUUGAAAAUAAAAUCAAAUAUCUAUCAAAAUUAUAUUUUAAUAUGUGAUAUCUUAAUUUUUACUGUAUUGGCUCAGUAGAUGUUUUUUAAAUUUUAUUUUUAAACAAAAUACACUAAGUCUCAAUCCAUGUUUAAUUUUCUUACAACAAUCACUUUCUAGCCUAAAAAAUAUUUCUAACCCCUAACUUUUAAUAGGAAAAAAAAAAAAACAAUUCAUUCUAAUUAUAUGCUUUUAAUUUUAUAAUCCUAACCAUUCCUUAGUCUUUAAAUUUUACGAGUAAUAUUUAAUCCUUUAGACUUUACUAUUUACAGUGAUUUGGUCUGGUCUAUCAUAGGUAUGAUUUAAUAUGAUAUCUUACACAUAUAAUUAAGUUUAUAAAUGUAAUUUAUGGAAAGUCCAAUAUAUAUAAAACCUAUAGGAACACUAAGUGGUUAUGUAAUAAAAACCAAUACUUAACUUUAAUGAAAAUUUUCACUUAUAAAACCAAAUAUCAUAUAAAAGUAUAAUUGAAUUAACUAGUUGCUAGCUUACUAAAGCUUAGCGAUUAAACUGCACUUACAAAUCUAAAAAUAUAGAAACUAAAUUGUUAUCCACACCAUGGGUUAUUUCUUUCAACCUCGUUUUUUUUAUGAUAUCUAGAAGACACGAUCUGUUUGUCAGCACCUUCACAUGCAAGUUCAAUAACAACAAGAACAAAAAACCAAAACAGCUCCAGUAGUGGGUUUUGGUUGUGUCAGCAGCUGGCAAACUACUGAUAAUGUUUUCACACUAAUUAAAGCUCCAUUAUUUAAAACCCCUUUGCUUCUUCUUCUUCUUCUUCUUCUUGUGAAUGAAAAAGAGAAAGAAAAAUAAUGGAGAAGACAAGAGAAGUUGCAAAACACGGACGUUUACUACUUGUGCCAUGUCCAUACCAAGGCCAUAUUAACCCAAUGCUUAAUCUAGCAACAUACCUACACAGAAACGGCUUCUCUAUAACCAUUGCUCAUACAUCCUUCAAUUCCCCAAACCCUAAUCGUCAUCCGGAGUUCACAUUCAUCUGCCUCAAUGACUGCCUAGCCGAUGACCUUGUCGCAUCUUUGGAUAUCGCCAUCUUGUUGCUCACUGUCAACAAUAAUUGCAAGGCUAGCUUGGAGGAAGCCAUGGCCACUGUCCUUAGAGACGUUGUGUGUGUAAUACACGAUGAGAUCAUGACCUUUUGUGCGGAGGUGGCUAGCAGUUUUGGGGUUCGGAGUUUGGUGCUUCGAACAAACAGCGUAUCGACGUGUAUUGGUCGCUCCGUCGUUUUGCAACUUCAUGCGGAGGGUCGACUUCCUCUACUCGAUCAAGGUAUAUGGAAAUGUAUAUUGUUCAUUUUCAUAUUUUACCUCUUUUUUACUUUUUAGUUGCUGGAUUUUGAUUCUAAUUUUUUUUUUUUUUUUGUCAUGAGUUUCAAAAUAUAAUUAUUCUCGAGUUUUGAGUUCAAGUUUUGUUUUGGUUUUUUCAUAGCAAGAUUUAAUUUUAAGAUUUUACAAUGUUAUACCUUUAGUUUCGGUUUCUGAAGUUUUUAUAAAAUUGAAACUUUGAUCUAUCAAGUUUAACAAAUCAAUUUGAAAGAUCAUAAACAUCAUAUAGAUCAAAAUAACUUCAAAAUAAAAAGUAGAAAAAACUUAAUACUUUGUAUCAAGAUAAGCUGAAUAGAUGUUAUUUCUAUUGAUUUUGAGAUAGGUAGAACUCUAUGUUAUCUAAUGUGAAAACAGAACUCGAUCUAGAAAAGAUAAGUAUAUUUUAUCUAAUAUACCUCUAUAUAUAUACUGCAUAUUUAAAAGAAUUAUAUAAAAUAAUCUCUCAAACUGAUUCUCACAAUAAUUAUUUAAUAGGGUUCAUGGAAGAUGAGGUACCAAAUCUCCAUCCUUUGAGAUACAAAGACUUACCAAUCUCAGCCUUUUCAGAUAUCUCCCAAUCAACAAAACUAGUCCACAAAAUGCACGAUCUCACCACUUCUUCAGGUGUGAUUUGGAACACAAUCCCAUUUCUUGAACCAUCCGAAUUCACCAAAUUCAAAGCCAAUAUUUGCAACCAAAUCCCUAUUUUUGCAAUUGGCCCAAUCCACAAGAUUUCCCCAACCUCAUCUUCUUCAAGUUUGCUCAAUGAAGACUACACUUGCCUCCCAUGGCUCCACAAACAACCUCCCAACUCAGUCAUCUAUGUCAGCUUGGGCAGUGUUGCCCUCUUAACAAACCAUGAACUCCAAGAGAUGGCUUGGGGUUGGUUAAUAGCAAUCAACCAUUCUUGUGUGUCGUUCGCCCUGGCUCCGUUCGAGGCUCGGAUGGGAUCGGAUUUGUUUUGGAAGAGUUUCAAAAGAAGGCUGGAGAUAGAGGGUGUAUUGUGGAAUGGGCUCCACAAAAGGAAGUGUUGGCUCAUAGGGCUGUAGGUGGAUUUUUGAGCCAUUGUGGUUGGAAUUCUACACUUGAGAGUUUGAGUGAGGGUGUUCCAAUGUUAUGUAAGCCUUAUUCAGGAGAUCAAAGAGGGAAUGCAAGGUAUAUUAGUUGUGUUUGGAGAGUGGGGUUGACUUUGGAAGGUCAUGAGUUGAAAAGAAAUGAAGUGGAAAAGGGUAUUAGAAAAUUGAUGGUGGAAGAAGAAGGGAGGAAAAUGAGAGAAAGAGCAAUGGAUUUCAAGAGAAGAAUUGAAGAUUGUUUAAGGGAAGGUGGCUCCUGUUCUCGUAACUUGAGAGAGCUUGUUGAUUUCAUUAUGUCUUCUUAGAUCAACCUCUCUUCUUAAUGAACCUCUAUUAUUUUAACUUAAGUAUGUUGAAAUCUUCUCAAUGAACCUCUAUUAUUUUAACUUAAGUAUGUUGAAAUCUUCUUAAUCAACCUCUAUUAUUUUAACUAAGUAUGUUGAAAUUAACGUGAUGAUCAAUAAUAUUGUCUAGCUAUAUUGAAAGUAAUUAACAGCAAAAAAAGCUAAAGAAAUAGAAAGAACAAAUAACACAUAAUGUUUUGUUAACCCGGUUCAGAAAAUACUACAUAUAUCUAUAUCUUUGCCUAAAGAGUUUAGCUCAGAUGAGAAAUAUUAUUAAGAUUCAAAUGAACAAGCAACAACACUCUUAAGUUAUAACAAAAACUUAAUCGAAGACAAGCUCCCCUGAAUUUGUGUUUAAAUCUUUUUGAAGAUAAACUCAGGCCCCCUGAAUUCAUUGACCGCAAUUCAACUAUUUCAGUUUUCUUUCAUAUUUAUUGUCAACCGUUGCAGUGUAAAAACCACUUGUAGAACUUCAGUAUAUAUCAUUAUAAAGAAGGCAAUUCGACUACCUUCACGAAUAAUAAGUCUCCAAGAGAGGACUUAUUUGAAAUCAAUUUUCUGUUGUCCGUUGAGCUAAGCCAAUAGCUUAGUUAUUUAAAGAUCACGAUAAUCUUCGAUAACUUCUUUAUGCAAAGAUAUAGAUAAAAGAUUCCUAUUGAGAAGAAAAAAAAUAUCUUUGAAUAAUAUCAUUUAUUUAAAUAACCACGCUAAUAAUAAUGAAAAGAAACUUAUUAUUUCUUUUUGACAAAAAUACCCAACAAAUUCUCCCUUGUCAAAAAUUAAAAAAAAAAAUUCGAAUAGGAAAGUCCAGUAAUACACGCAAUCCUUUUUUUUGAGGAGCUUCACAAAUCUUCUCGACAGUUAAUAACAGAGAAAACAACAAUGAAAACAAUAAGUAAAGAUACUAGUGACACACAACAUUGUUAACCUAAUUCGAUGACAUAACAUCUACAUUUGGAAAGUCCUUGACCCGAAAUCAGAGAUCUUAUUACUUUGAUAAUCAUAAAUCAUAAUCUGAUUCUUAGUACAUAGAUAUUCAUAUUCACCCUCUCACUAAACAGUGGUACAGUUUAUUGAAUCAGAACUUUAUCACUACUAUUUCAAAGUUUGAUUUAGCUAAACAAAAUCCUCCCCUUAAUCAUGCAACUCAUAUAAGGUGUUAAUCAAGAGAGUCACCCCUAAAUAUCGUCCUUCAUCAAGUCGUAACUACCGUUUGUACAAUUCAUCUUCUAAAGAAGUUUUAACUUCCACAUCAAAGAAACUCAGCAACCAAUCAGAUUGUCAAAAAAUAACUUACACGGUGCAAGUUCUACUAAAUAACUUGAUAGGCAGAUCUUCAAAGAGUACUUUCCACACUUUUCACUCUGAUAACUUCAAAAAACCUACUUUCUUUUUUGCAUACCCUCUGAAAAAGAAUAGAACAACAAUACAAAGAAUACCAGCCCGACCAAAUCCUUCACAGUAGAGAAAGAGUAAAACAAAAUAAAAUCCCUAUUCCAAAAAACUAUUUUUAAACACUUUCUUUUUGCAAUGUCAUUCCACCGAAGACAGAGCUGAACAAAACAACAUUCACAUGCCCACAAAUCUUCUUAUAAGGUUAGUAGACCUAAAGGAAGUACCGCAGUGAAAGGUUCCUUUGUUAUAGAACCACCGUUCUCUUCACACCUUUGGUUCAGUAUGGAAUCUCUAGUUUGAUAUAAAAUUUGAGACUACUUAUAAGCAUAGUAAUUAAAUUUUAAAAUUUUAAAUUAUAGAAAUUACUAAGCCUCUUUUAGUAACCAUUUUACUUUUAGAAAAAAAAAGAAUUCAACCUAUUUUUUCUGUGUGUUUUAGAAUAAUUUGAAACUUUCUUAAAUACAAUGAUUGAAUUUCUCACCAAAUUCCAAAACAAAAACAACAUUUGAAAGCUACAUUUUUUGUUUUCAAAUUUUGGUUUAAUAGAACAUAAAUAUCAAAAUAAAAGAAUCAAUCGAAGGUAAAAAUAGUUUCUAUAAACUUAUUUUUUAAUAAAACAAAACCAUUAUGAAAGGGAGUAUAAUAUUUGUACUAUUCAAUUAUUUUGUGAGCACAGGUAAAGUAACAAGAACAAAAAGACGAGACAGCCGGCCUCUAGUGGUUUAGGUUGCCAGCUGACUCAUAAUAUAUAUAUAUAUGUAUGUAUGUAUUGUUUGAUAGCUCCAUUCUUAAUAGCAAACCCCAAACCUUUUCUGCUUCUUCUUCUUGAUGUGAAUAAAAAAACCCAAUGGAGAAGACAUUGGAAAUUUCAAAACGAAGGCGUUUACUACUGGUGCCAUGUCCAUACCAGGGCCAUAUUAACCCAAUGCUUCAUCUAGCAACAUACCUACACCACAAUGGCUUCUCAAUAACCAUUGCUCACACAUUCUUCAACUCCAUAAACUCUAACCGCCACCCAGACUUCACGUUCGUCCACCUCAACGACCAACUCCCUAAUGACCUCCUCGUGUCUUUGGAUGUGGCCUCGGUGUUGCUCGCCAUCAAUGAUAAUUGCAAGGCUAGCUUGGAGGACAUCUUGGCCAAUAUCGUCGAAGAUGUCAUGUGUGUAAUACACGAUGAGGCCAUGUACUUUUGUGAGGCAGUGGCUAGUGGUUUUGGGGUUCGAAGUUUGGUGCUUCGAACAACUAGCAUAGCGGCAUGUAUUAGUCGGCUGGUUGUUCUACAACUUCAUGCAGAGGGUCGUCUUCCUCUACUUGAUCAAGGUGUGGAUUAUAUAUAUAUAUAACUUUUAUUUUGGUCUAUAGUUUUGUAAUGCAAUUAAAUUUUUACUGUUGAAUUUAAUUUUGGAAAAAUCUAAACUCAUAUUAAAAUAAUUUAUCCUUUAAAUACAACUUAUUAUAUAUUAGCAUGCACUCUAAACAUAAACUAUAUUAUGAUCGGUUUAUAACCUAAACUAUAAUAACAAACGCUAAAACUUCAUUUUUAUUUUUAUUUUUGAAUGUGAAUAAUAAGAAUAAUGUUUUUAGAUUCCAAAAUUAUAGACAGAAGAUGCUUACUAUAUUUGCUUUAAUUUGUAGGAAUAUUUCUGUUAGAAUUGAUCUAGGAAUAUACGUUUCUAUGAAUUCUAAACAAUAUCUCAAAUUUUCAUAAUCCAAAAAUGCACUUAUCUAUCUUUACUAAUUCAANNNNNNNNNNNNNNNNNNNNNNNNNNNNNNNNNNNNNNNNNNNNNNNNNNNNNNNNNNNNNNNNNNNNNNNNNNNNNNNNNNNNNNNNNNNNNNNNNNNNNNNNNNNNNNNNNNNNNNNNNNNNNNNNNNNNNNNNNNNNNNNNNNNNNNNNNNNNNNNNNNNNNNNNNNNNNNNNNNNNNNNNNNNNNNNNNNNNNNNNNNNNNNNNNNNNNNNNNNNNNNNNNNNNNNNNNNNNNNNNNNNNNNNNNNNNNNNNNNNNNNNNNNNNNNNNNNNNNNNNNNNNNNNNNNNNNNNNNNNNNNNNNNNNNNNNNNNNNNNNNNNNNNNNNNNNNNNNNNNNNNNNNNNNNNNNNNNNNNNNNNNNNNNNNNNNNNNNNNNNNNNNNNNNNNNNNNNNNNNNNNNNNNNNNNNNNNNNNNNNNNNNNNNNNNNNNNNNNNNNNNNNNNNNNNNNNNNNNNNNNNNNNNNNNNNNNNNNNNNNNNNNNNNNNNNNNNNNNNNNUGUAAAAAUUGAGUGAGGAUAUGAAAUUGUUAAUACACAGGAUGGGAGUGAUGGGAAGUGCUUCAAAAGGAUCCACAUCUAGUGAAAGAAUGAUUACGGACAAGGGAAAGGGAAUAAUGAAUGAGGAACAAGUUCAAGAAGAAAAAAGUGAACAAAAAACUAACCCGGUGGUGGAUGAGGGAGUUGGAGUACCAUGUGCACCAAAUAUCCGUGAGAUACCCCUUUUUGACAUGAGCUACGAAAACUGGAGGUGUCGAUAUUUAAAGGGGAGGAAGAAGAGAAUGUGGAUGGAUAGCUACAACGUGUGGAGCGCUAUUUUGUGGUGAAUAUCUGACGGAGAGAGAUAAGUUGGAUGCGGCGGUCCUGUGCUUGGAGGGGGAAGCUUUGGACUGGUAUCAAUGGAAGGAGGAUAGAAAGAAAAUCGGCAGCUGGACAGAAUUCCGAUAGCUUCUGUGGGCCAGAUUCAAAGCGUCCGACCAAGGAGAUAAACACGCAAGGUUGAUGAAAUUACAGCAGGAGACCACCGUGAGGGAUUACCGGCGGCGAUUUGAACAAUUUUCGGUCGCCUUAAAGAUAUGAGUGAUGCAGCCCUAGAAAGUAAGUUUGUGUGUGGGCUGAAGGAAGAGAUCCAAAGUGAGAUCUGAAAAUUGAAUCCAGUGGGCCUAGAGGCUAAAAUGUUAAUGGCCCAAAUAAUUGAGAAGAUGAUCGAGUGGUUCAAUUGAAGAGAAUUCAUGGGGCAAGUGGAAACCCUAAUUUAUCAAUUAAAAUGUCAAAUAGUGGGCCAAGCAGGUCGAGAAGUCAAACUGGGUCAAAGGCCUCAGAUCGGGUCGCUACAUCACGAACGAUUACGAUUAACCCUAGCCGAAAUUCGUCGUACUCGUCCACGGCGAUUACUUCAUCGCAGGAAUCGGGCGCGAAGAGUACGUUGUCUGACCAUACCGCCGAAUGACUGACAACGAAGUGCGGAUUAAGAAGGAAAAAGGUUUGUGUUUUAGAUGUGACGAGAAGUUUAGUCUAGGGCACCGCUGCAAAAGACGUGAAUUGAACAUCAUUGCUGUACAAGAAGGGGAAGACUUAAGUGACAAAACCGAUCAAGUGGGGGAAGAAAUCGAAACCAACGGGAAUGAGGAAGUCAAUACAGAAAUAGUGAAUCUGUAAAUAAAUUCAUUGGUAGGUUUCAAUUCGCCGAAAACCAUAAAAAUUAAAGGAGAAAUAAGGGGACGUGAGGUUGUGGUGCUGAUCGAUGGGGGAGCCACGCACAAUUUUAUUGCAGAAGAGGUAGUCAAAGAGCUAAAAAUUUCAGUAGAAACCAUGGAUGCAUAUAUGGGGUUGUUCUGGGAACCGGAGGCGUAGUCCAAGCAACCAGUGUGUGUAAGGAUGUAAACCUGACAAUCGCCAAUUUAUCAAUCACUCACGAUUUUCUCCCUCUACCACUCGGAGUGCCGACGUUAUAUUAGGAGUUACUUGGUUGGAAAUGUUAGGGAAAGUAAUUUUUUAUUACAAGUUGUCGGAGAUGGAAUUUGUGAGAGCCCCAAUCAUACAUACGUAUGUUAGGAAGGGUAAGAAGGGAAACUCACCAACAUGUAAGGAGAGAGAAUGAGUGGGAAAUAAAAGAAUGUGCAGGUGGGUCCCACUGGGUAGGAAUUUGAGGGUGAGUAUAAAUAGAAUGAUUGAGAAAUAGGGAUAGGUAUCUUUUUGGUUAUCUUUUAAGAAAGGGAGGCGGCAGCAGCCGAUAGGAGAGGGGUAUCCUUCUUGUGAAGGGUGCUGGUAUGUUCUUGUUUUCAUUCCUUAUUGUAGCUGUAACUUUGGGCUAUAUAUAUAAAUAAAGGAUCACAGGGUGCUGUCUCUGUUUAGCCAUAGUUGGGUAUUUUAUUAGAAAGGGUGUAGAAUCCUAACAUUUGGUAUCAGAGCCCGACAAAAAGAAAAAACUGGGGGUGGUUACGCGUCGCAUGGCACAAAGACAAAUGGAGGAACGAAUGGAAGGAACCGAGAAGGAGCUGCUGAGCAUGAAAGAAAUGCUACUGGAAAUGAAGAAAUCUAUGGAAAGACUGACAGAGGAACUAAGAGAGAAUCAUAGCUAUAAGAAAAGAGAUGAAUCCGGAACAUCUGAUGGAUCCAGCAUGAAGCUGAAAGGAAAAGUAGAAGAAUCAGAAGUCUCUAAUGAGGAAAAUGGAAGCAAUGUGGAUCGAAGUAAGUACGCAAAGUUAGAAAUGCCUAUGUUCUUAGGUGAAAAUCCAGAAUCCUGGGUAUAUAGAGCAGAACAUUUCUUUGAGAUGAACAACCUGCCAGAAAACGAGAAGAUCAGAGUGGCGGUGGUCAGUUUUGGGCAAGAGGAAGUGGACUGGUACAGGUGGACGCAUAAUAGGAAGAAAGUAGAGUCAUGGGAAGAUUUGAAAGGGAGGAUGUUUGAUUUCUUCAAGGACUCAGGACAAACAAGUCUAGUGGCACGCUUGAUUAGGAUUCAACAAGAUGGAUCCUACAGUGAGUAUGUGAAGAAAUUUGUCACAUAUUCAGCUCCCCUCCCUCACAUGGAGGAAAGUGUGUUACGCGAUGCUUUUCUGACCGGUCUGGAACCCAAUCUUCAGGCAGAAGUCGUUAGUCGUUACCUCGAACAUUGGAAGAUUGUAUGAGGGAGGCUCAACUAGUCAAUGAUCGGAAUGUAGCAAUGAAAUUGACUAAGACCGAGGGCAGGACAGUGGAACCAAAGAAAAAAGAAGAGUAUGCAGGAAAAAUCCAAGAUGGAACAGACAAAGGCUACAUGAGGAGGACAGAUUUCCCCAUAAAACAAGUAACUAUACCUAUUAAGGGUAGUUAUCAAAAAAGUGAACCUCCUAUCAAACGACUUUCAGACGCAGAAUUCAGGUCCAGAUUGGAUAAGGGCCUAUGUUUUAAAUGUAAUGAGAAAUAUACACCAGGGCACAGAUGUAGAGUGAAGGAAAAAAGGGAGCUGAUGUUAUUUAUCAUGAAUGAAGAGGAGAGCAAGGAAGAGGAAGGCAAGAUGGAAGGGGAACCAGGGGAAACAGUGGAAUUAAACCAUCUGGAUUUUGCUGAAGGGGAGGAAAUAGAAUUGAAGACAAUCCAUGGGAUGGCAUCGAAGGGAACGAUGAAGCUGAAGGGAAAUAUAAAGGGCAAAGGAGUGAUAGUGCUGAUUGAUAGUGGAGCAACCCAUAAUUUUAUACAUAACCGGACAGUAAAGGAAAAGAACUUAUAUUUGGAAAAAGGUAACCCGUUUGGUUACAAUUGGAGAUGGCACCAAGUGUACAGGCAAGGGUGUUUGCAAGAGAGUGGAAUUGGAACUACAAGGGGUGGUGGUGGUGGCUGAUUUUUUUGCUAUUGAGUUGGGAAAUGUGGAUGUAAUAUUGGGUAUGCAGUGGCUGGAUACAACAGGCACCAUGAAGAUACAUUGGCCAUCUCUAACAAUGUCUUUCUGGUUAGGCAAACAGAAAAUUAUCUUGAAAGGAGACCCAUCCCUCAUCCAAGCAGAAUGUUCCCUGAAAACCAUUGAGAAAACGUGGGAAAAUGAAGAUCAGGGUUUUCUGUUGGAAUUCCAAAAGUAUGAAGUAGACACGGAGGUGGAAGUGGAGCAGGAAAUGAAAGGGGACGAGGAAGAGAUUCCAAUGAUUAAAAAUCUGUUACAACAGUAUGCAGACAUCUUUGAGGAUCCAAAACAACUACCCCUAAGAGAGAAAUAGAUCACCGUAUAUUGGUUUUACCGAACCAAAGGCCCAUCAAUUUCAGACCAUAUAAAUAUGGUUAUGUACAGAAGGAGGAAAUUGAGAAAUUGGUGGUGGAAAUGCUGCAAGCAGGUGUGAUACGUCCCAGUCAUAGCCCUUACUCCAGCCCUGUUUUAUUGGUCAAAAAGAAAGAUGGAGGGUGGCGCUUUUGUGUAGAUUACCGGAAACUCAACCAAGUAACCAUAUCGGACAAAUUUCCUAUCCCAGUGAUAGAAGAACUGCUGGAUGAAUUACAUGGAGCCACGGUUUUCUCAAAACUAGAUCUGAAGUCUGGUUACCAUCAAAUAAGGAUGCAGAAGGAAGAUGUUGAGAAGACCGCGUUCAGAACACAUGAGGGUCACUAUGAAUUUUUGGUAAUGCCCUUCGGUCUUACAAACGCACCAGCCACCUUCCAGUCCUUGAUGAAUCAGGUAUUCAAACCUUUCUUAAGAAGGUGUGUAUUGGUAUUCUUCGAUGAUAUACUUGUAUAUAGCAAGGAUAUAUCAGAACAUGAGAAACAUCUAGGGAUGGUAUUUGCAGUGUUGAGGGAUAACCAUCUAUUUGCAAAUAAGAAGAAGUGUGUCAUAGCUCACUCCAAAAUCCAAUAUUUGGGGCAUAUAAUUUCGAGUAAAGGAGUACAGGCUGAUGAGGAGAAGAUCAAAGACAUGGUGAAAUGGCCUCAGCCGAAAGAUGUCACGGGUCUGAGAGGAUUUCUGGGAUUAUCGGGCUAUUAUCGUAGGUUUGUGAAAGGAUACGGAGAAAUUGCAGCCCCUUGACCAGAUUGUUGCAAAAGAAUUCUUUUGCGUGGGAUGAACAAGCAACCGACGCUUUUGAAAAAUUAAAGAUGGCCAUGACUACUAUCCGGUGCUAGCACUGCCGAAUUGGGAUCUACCUUUUUUAAUCGAAACAGAUGCUUCAGGGACAGGAUUGGGAGCUGUACUUUCACAGAAUGGUCACCCCAUAGCCUUCUUCAGCCAGAAAUUGUCGACACGAGCUCAGGCCAAGUCCAUUUACGAAAGAGAACUGAUGGCUGUAGUAUUAUCAGUGCAGAAAUGGCGUCAUUAUCUAUUAGGAAGGAAGUUUACAAUUAUCUCAGAUCAAAAGGCAUUGAAAUUUCUCCUAGAGCAGAGGAAGUACAACCCCAAUUUCAGAAAUGGCUGACCAAACUGCUGGGAUACGAUUUUGAAAAUAUUAUACCAACCUGGAUUACAAAACAAAGCAGCAGAUGCCCUUUCUAGGAUGGAAUAUCCGCUGGAAGUAAACUCCUUGACGACAACUGGCAUUGUAGACAUGGAAGUGAUAGACAAGGAAGUCAACCAAGAUGAGGAAUUACAGAAAACCAUUAAAGAAUUGAAACAGAAUCCAGAGGGAAUUAGCAAAUUUAGCUGGGAGAAUGGGAAACUGUUCUACAAGAAGAGAGUGGUAUUAUCAAAGAAGUCGUCAGUGAUUCCCACAUUGCUGCAUACAUUCCAUGACUCCAUCUUAGGAGGACACUCGGGAUUCUUGAGGACAUAUAAAAGGAUGAGCGGAGAGCUGUACUGGGAGGGAAUGAAGGCUGAUAUAAAGAAAUAUGUGGAACAGUGUGAGAUUUGUCAAAGAAACAAAUAUGAGGCCACGAAACCAGCAGGGGUAUUACAUCCACUUCCUGCUCCGGAAGCCAUACUAGAAGAAUGGUCAAUGGAUUUCAUAGAAGGGUUACCGAAGGCAGGGGGAAUGAAUGUGAUAAUGGUGGUGGUAGACAGAUUGAGCAAGUAUGCUUAUUUCAUCACUAUGAAGCACCCUUUCACAGCUAAACAAGUGGCGACGACAUUCAUUGAAAAGAUCAUCAGCAAGCAUGGGGUUCCAAAAUCCAUAGUAUCCGACAGGGAUAAAGUUUUCAUUAGUCAUUUUUGGAAGGAGUUAUUUACAACUAUGGGAACUAAACUGAAAAGAAGCACGGCGUUCCACCCACAAACAGAUGGGCAAACGGAAAGGGUAAACCAAUGUCUGGAGACAUACUUGAGAUGCUUUUGCAAUGAGCAACCUCAAAGGUGGCAUAAGUUCAUUCCAUGGGCUGAACUGUGGUAUAACACUACUUUCCAUUCAUCCAUACGUUCCAACCCUUUCAAGAUUGUAUAUGGAAGGCAACCACCCCCGAUUCUAUCCUACGGAACCCGAAAAACUCAGAAUGAUGAGGUAGAAAUAAUGCUCAAGGAGAGAGAUCUGGCAUUGAACGCCUUGAAGGAGAACCUUCACUUAGCCCAAAACCGCAUGAAGAAAUGGGCAGACACCAAAAGAAGGGAAUUGAAGUUCAAGGUGGGUGAUGAAGUAUACCUAAAGCUCAGACCUUAUAGGCAGAGAUCCUUAGCUCGGAAAAGGUGUGAAAAGCUGGCUCCAAAAUUCUACGGGCCUUACACAAUCAUUGAAGAGAUAGGAGAGGUGGCCUAUAGAUUGAAACUUCCACCAGAGGCGAGUAUUCAUGAUGUGUUCCACAUCUCACAGUUGAAGCUCAAGUUAGGUAAGCAGAAGGUUGUGCAGCAACAGCAACCUAUGUUGACAACAGAUUUCGAAUUACAACUAUGGCCAGAACAGGUAUUGGGAAUUCGCUGGAACAAAGAAUUGGGAGCUAACGAAUGGCUAGUCAAGUGGAAGAAUUUACCAGAAACUGAAGCCACAUGGGAAGCUGUCUAUCAAAUGAAUCAACAGUUUCCCACAUUCCACCUUGAGGACAAGGUGAAUUUGGAACCGAGGGGUGUUGUGAGACCCCCAAUCAUACAUACGUAUGUUAGGAAGGGUAAGAAGGGAAACUCACCAACAUGUAAGGAGAGAGAAUGAGUGGGAAAUAAAAGAAUGUGCAGGUGGGUCCCACUGGGUAGGAAUUUGAGGGUGAGUAUAAAUAGAAUGAUUGAGAAAUAGGGAUAGGUAUCUUUUUGGUUAUCUUUUAGAAAGGGAGGCGGCAGCAGCCGAUAGGAGAGGGGUAUCCUUCUUGUGAAGGGUGCAGGUUUGUUCUUGUUGUUCAUUGUUCUUGUUUUCAUUCCUUAUUGUAGCUGUAACUUUGGGCUAUAUAUUCUGUCUCUGUUUAGCCCUAGUUGGGUAUUUAUUUAAAAAGGGUGUAGAAUCCUAACAGAGGUAUAUUCCCGAACCCCGCUUCGACGCUUGGGCGAACCAAGUGAAGUAUCAUCCUUAGUUGCAUUCCUUUGCCUACCUGCUUCAUCUUAUAUUACUGGCCAAAUCAUUGGUGUUGAUGGAGGGAUGUCUGUUAAUGGCUUUGACCCAAAAUAACAUUAUAAAUGAACAUCUUCUAUUUAUCCCCACUCCCCUCUCGGAUAUGUCUAGUUCGAGUGUUGAUUUUUCUUUCACUUGCAAGGAUGACACUCGCAAACAAUUGAUUGAAGCUUUUCGUUUCUUUUUCUUCAAAAUGUUAUCAUGCUGAAUGGUUCAUGAUAUUUGAAAGGAAAAACGAGUUCUAUAGUUUGGGGAACAUUGAGGUAUGAUAGGAACCAUGACUACGGCUUGCUUUCGAAUGUGAUUGCUUUUGCAGAGAUGUGUUUAUGUUAUAAACUAUCAUUGUAGAUGAAGAAUAAUUUUUACUUAAUUUUUUGAAAUUCAUUUUGGUAUAGAUAUCCGUGUGUAUUUGAAUGAUUAAAACCCAUUUAGCUUAUGAAUUAUUUCAAGUUUCUUUGUUCUUAUUUUUUAUCAUACUUUAUACUGACACAAAAGUGGUUGCUAGUGAAAUUUGGAGGGUCAGCCUUGAUUUUCCACAACAUUGAUAGAGGAAAGGAAAUCACUGAAAUUAUGUCCCAAAGGCUAAAACCAUUUUUCUUUUAUGUUAUCUUGUAUUGCUAUUUUGAUAUCUGUUUUUCUUUACAUACAACAAUCUGACUUGAAUGGAUUUUUCUUUUAAUAUGAUGAACAGAAAAAGGUAAUCAAACAAUCGUAAAUUAAAAUACAUACCACAGUAAGAAAAGAUAUACAAACAAAGGUAGUUGAAGAAGGUUGGAGAAAGACAGUAAAUACAUCAGUAAGAAGAAAAAAGAAAGGUGGAAAUGAGCAAACCAACGACCAAAAUUACGAAAACUUGAAUCUUUCGACAUUUGUUGUUCAAUUUAAAAUCACUACGAGGGUUGCACAAUAAGAAUUGCGGUGAUAUACCUAACACGAUGAUACGUAAAUUGUUCGUGUGACGUAAGUAAAAUAUUAAUUUUCAUGGAAAGAGGGUGAUUCGUAAGGAUGGGUUAUGAAAAAAAGUGGGUGAUUCCUAAGGAUGGCCUCCGUUCAAAUGAAAAAUUGUCCCAACUUUAAUAUUUAAGAGGGAAUGAAAAGUGGUCUCUUACUUACGUCUCAUACCUUAUGAAUUUACUAAUUUGUUCCUAAAACCAUCAGUGCACUCGAUCCUCGAUACUUUAUGUAUUAGAUGUUAGAUACUUGAUCUUUGAUCUUAGCCACUUGGCGAUCGAUGAUUGAUGCGUGAUGCUCUAUGUUUUAUUUAUGUUGUAUAUGUUUACCACUUGAUCCUCCAUUCUUAAAGAAACAAGGAAAAAUAAAGGAAAAAAAGAGAGAGUAGAAAUGUAGAAAAGGAAAGAAGAAAUUCAGAAAAUAGACACAAAAGAAAGAAAAAGUAUAAAAAAGAAUAUGUAGAAUAAAAAGAAAAAAAUGGAAAAAAAUGUACAUUCCUACUAAAUUUGAGCAUCAACAAAACAUAAAAGUAAAAAACAAAUGACAAAAAAAAUGAAAAUAAAUAUAAUUUAUAUAGAAAAGAAAAAACAAAGCAAAUAUUUAAAAUUAAAACAUAUAAAUGCAAUUUUCCUAUUAAUGAUUUGGGGUUAGUGUAAAUUUGAAAGUUAAAAAGCGUUUUUGUUUAGGGCCAAUUAUGCAAAUUUCCGAAAUAGAAAAAAAAAAGAAAUAUCAGAUCAUCAUGAAAUUGAAAUCUUGAGAUUUUGAUUUUUAAUAAGGUCAGAGUGUGGAGAGAGCGUCAUCUCAAUCACUCUCAGAUAUUUCACUGAUUCAUCCUUCAAAAAUCACACAGCUUCUACUCAAAUUCGCUCAUGGGAUGAUUUGAACAUAAUUCACUUGAAUCCUUCUGUCAUGUGGGCGCUUCGUACUCCCUAUUCUACCCAUUACCCACCUUCCUCUCCCCGCUAUUCCACUUCAAAACUCUCCGUUUCCUCCUUCUCCUUCAAUCCUUCAACCCCCCCAAAUUCAAAUAAUAAUCACUUGAUUCAAUCUCUGUGUAAACAGGGCAAUCUCAAACAAGCCCUUUACCUCCUCUCCCAUGAAUCCAAUCCUACCCAGCAAACCUGCGAGCUUCUAAUCCUCUCCGCCGCUCGCCGGAACUCUCUUUCCGAUGCCCUUGACGUCCAUCAGCUUCUCGUCGAUGGGGGUUUUGACCAAGACCCUUUUUUGGCCACCAAGCUUAUCAAUAUGUUUUCCGAAUUGGACACUGUCGACAAUGCGCGCAAGGUGUUUGACAAAACGCGUAAGAGAACUAUAUAUGUUUGGAAUGCGUUGUUUAGAGCUCUUGCGUUGGCGGGUCGUGGAAACGACGUAUUGGAAUUGUAUCCCCGGAUGAAUAUGAUGGGAGUUUCUUCUGAUAGGUUUACUUAUACUUAUUUGCUCAAAGCUUGUGUUGCUUCAGAGUGUUUGGUUUCGUUUCUCCAGAAGGGUAAAGAGAUUCAUGCGCAUAUUUUGAGACAUGGGUAUGGAGCUCAUGUUCAUGUUAUGACUACUCUGAUGGAUAUGUACGCAAGGUUUGGGUGUGUUUCUUAUGCCAGUGCAGUGUUUGAUGAAAUGCCUGUGAAAAAUGUGGUUUCUUGGAGUGCUAUGAUUGCAUGCUAUGCAAAGAAUGGGAAGCCAUACGAAGCUUUGGAACUCUUUCGUGAGAUGAUGCUCAAUACCCACGAUUCAGUGCCGAAUUCUGUGACGAUGGUCAGUGUACUCCAAGCUUGUGCUGCUUUUGCUGCUUUGGAGCAAGGGAAGCUUAUCCACGCUUACAUUCUUAGGAGGGGUCUGGAUUCAAUCUUGCCAGUUAUAAGUGCUCUUAUAACCAUGUAUGCAAGAUGUGGUAAGCUUGAGUCAGGCCAACUAAUUUUUGACCGUAUGCAUAAGAAAGAUGUUGUCUUAUGGAAUUCAUUGAUUUCGAGUUAUGGACUGCAUGGAUAUGGAAGAAAAGCAAUCAAAAUUUUUGAAGAGAUGAUUGACCAUGGAUUCUCACCUAGUCACAUAUCAUUUAUAAGUGUUUUGGGUGCUUGCAGCCAUACUGGGCUUGUUGAAGAGGGGAAGAAGUUGUUUGAAUCCAUGGUAAAAGAACAUGGUAUACAGCCUAGUGUAGAGCACUAUGCUUGUAUGGUUGAUCUUCUUGGCCGUGCCAACCGGUUGGAUGAAGCAGCCAAGAUUAUAGAAGAUCUGCGUAUCGAACCAGGGCCCAAAGUAUGGGGUUCUCUUCUUGGUGCCUGUAGGAUUCAUUGCCAUGUUGAGCUUGCUGAACGAGCAAGCAAACGGCUUUUCAAGCUUGAGCCUACAAAUGCUGGGAAUUAUGUACUUCUGGCUGAUAUUUAUGCAGAAGCUGAAAUGUGGGAUGAGGUAAAGAGAGUGAAAAAACUUCUUGAUUCUCGUGAAUUACAAAAGGUCCCUGGUAGAAGUUGGAUUGAAGUACGAAGGAAAAUCUAUUCAUUUACAUCUGUUGAUGAGUUCAACCCACAGGGAGAGCAACUUCAUGCCCUGUUAGUGAAUUUGUCAAAUGAAAUGAAGCAAAGAGGAUAUACCCCACAAACAAAACUGGUUCUGUAUGACCUUGAUCAGGAAGAAAAGGAAAGGAUUGUGUUGGGUCAUAGCGAAAAACUCGCAGUUGCUUUUGGACUAAUCAAUACAAGCAAGGGGGACACCAUAAGAAUAACUAAGAACUUGAGGCUAUGUGAAGACUGCCAUUCCGUCACAAAAUUCAUUUCCAAGUUUGCCGAUCGAGAGAUUAUGGUUCGAGAUUUGAAUCGUUUCCACCAUUUCAAAGAUGGAGUUUGCUCUUGUGGAGAUUAUUGGUAGUAUCUAUACAAAUCCUUAUCUUGUUCCUUUUAUUUUUCUAAUACCUCUAUGAUAAUAACAAGUGAUCCAACGAUUCUAUUGGGCAGCUCAGCUACAUAGUUGAACACUUCCACACACCUUGAAACUUGUUUUCUUUAGGCCUAUAAUUUUAUUCAAAUGUCUUCUAGAGAAAAUGAGAAAGAAGAGGCGUCUAUUGACGUCAAAUUGAAAAUUCCCUUCUGCUCUUAUAUGGGGGAAGAUCAAAGCUAAGCUCCAUUAAGGUAUGACUUAUUUAAGGUGUCCCAGUGUGGUAAUUUAAAGCAUCAAAUAGCUUUUUAGUUGAAUAUUGAACUAAACCAAAAAGUCAUUGUUCGACUCCUACGAAUAGGAACGAUCUUGUAAUUUUCUGUUCUGGGUUUCUUAAGUAUUUUAGCAUUUGAUGAAUAGGAUGGUAGCUUUACACUAAUCUCCUUCUUAUGAAAAGUACAUAAAUAUUCGGUGGUGGGUAAGAAGAGCAAGAUCAUGUUUGAAAUUACUUUCAAGGGCUUAAAAUCACUUUUUAAGCACUUCAAAUAUCAGGUUUCUUUUCUAAUGAUCUUGAAAGCUCAAGAUUUUUGUUAGUGAAACAGAUGAUUGUGUUAAAAAAUUUGAACUUAUGAGUGUUAUUAUUAUUCUACAAACUAUUCUAUGAUACUUUCAAGUAGUUUUAAUAGGAAGGGCGAAACUCGAACUUGUCUAGAUUUUGGUGCUUUGAUGUCAUUACGAAAAAUAACAAGAAAAAAAGAUUACAAGUAAUAAAUUCGGUAAAGUAAAAAUAAAUAAAUAUCAUAAAUAAUUGGACAUGUUAGAAUUUUUUAGAGACAAAAUUAAAGGUUAAUGUUCUUGAUUUUUUAAAGAUGAUUUUGAAAUUUAAAGACUAGUGCAAAAUGGAUAGUUGAGAGAUCUAAAGUUUAAUGAAAUAGACUAAAUUUAAGUUAUGUUUAAUUAGAGUUGCAAAAUCUUAGAACCAAUUUGAACUUAGCUAAUUAAAUUUAUCCCACUAAUUCUAUAAAUUUUACCUAAAAUGUUCUCAAACUUUAUACUAACAUCAACAAUCAACCGUUUCAUUUGACCUCCAAUACAUGAGGCAUCCUACAAAUAAGUACACAAAAGUUAAUAAAAGCAAUCAAAAUCUCUUAAAAAGUACGUCAAUCUCAAUGCGUAAUCAUUCAAAACUCGACUGAGAUUUGAAACCUUACCAUAAUCUUAUGGUUAAUCUUAAGAAACCUGACCAAGAACUUUGACGAGGGAAGUCCAUUCUCGUAUUUGGUGGGAGGAUUUUUCCCAUUGGAUCCUUUUCUUAGACAGAUUUUUCUUGUUCUCUUCUUCCCUAAUUACUUAAAGAAAAAGAAAGAAGAAGAAAAAAAAGAUAUAUAAAGGGUAUUUAUUGUUCGAGAACCUAAUGUAUGUUGAUUUGAGAUUAAAAAAAGAAGUAAUAAUUAGGUACAUCUCGACAUAUGUAUACCAUUUUUAUCACACAAAUAAAAAAUAAUAAUGACUAUAUAUUUCAAAAAAAUGUAAGAAGGAAAAAUGUGAUUAGACAAUUUACCUAGAUGCACAAAAAUAGAUGGUGUCCAAGAUGCACCUAAAUACUUUUAGAAAAUAACAAAAGUUCAUGUGUUACCUCAUAUGAAAUGUAAUUCAUCAAGGAAUAUAUGUAGAAAGUAGGUCUCAUUGAUUACAUUUGUUGUUGCAUGUUUACAUGUGUUUCUUAAUAAUAGUAACUCGCUAGGUUGAUCUUUAAAUCUAUAAUCAAAUCACACAAUCUAAUUAAAAAACGAAGGUGCUUAUUGAUUGUCGUACUUUGAAAUUAGGUGAGACCGACUACCUUUACCAUUACAAAUAUCGUUUGUGAUUGCAUGAGAAUUAUGAAUUUGUCCUAGAAUACUUACUAUUUUCUUUAUCUUUAUCAUUACCAUUAUCGCUUAGGGUCAAACAAGAAAGCAAAAUUGUGACAAAUUCGUAAUUAUAAAUAAAAACGACCAAUAACAAUCCAAUUAGCUAAUCUAUCAAUAGAAUUUGAUUACAUCUUGAUAAACAUUACCUAAAUGCUCAAUUAUAGUUAUUUACGAAAAGUUGUAAAUAUGUUAGUAUGAUAAUUAUAAUAUGUAGCACUUUUAGAAAUAAUAAUUAAGUGUAUAAUAACAUUUUUUUAAAAGAAUGUUAAUAGACUCGUAAACUAUCAAACCAAUAUUUUCAAUUUGGACUAUCAAUAAAAAAACAUUUGUUACAGAUAGACUUCGCUAGAUUUUGUUAUAUUUACAAAUUUUUUAAAAAAGUAUUAUUAUACAUAUACUAAUAUUUUAAAUUUGAUUAUUAUAUUUAAAACAAAAUAGGUUAUUUUUGUUUCUUUUUCUAAAUUGCAAAACCAGAUUGGUUGUGCAUGUGGAGGAAAUAUAAUAAAAUCAUAAUCUAAGAUUGUAUAUAUAUAUAUAUGUGUGUCUCUUUCUUAAGUUUUCUAAAUUUUAAAUUAGAAUACACUUGUACUACUCAAACUUAGAUUUUAAAGAAAUUAUGGAAAUUAAAGUUUUACCAUAUAAAAUUUAAUAACAAUUUUUUUUAAAAAAAAGGGGUGGAAUCCUAAAAAAAUAACAAAUUUGACAAAAUAUUUAUCAAUUGUAGCAAAAUUUUAAAUUUUAUUAUUAACAAAUAUCCUCAAUACGUGUCAUUGAUAGUAAUAGAAGUCUACCAGUUUUAUCAUGGAUAGAAUAAAAAAAAAUUGUUGUAACUUGUAAAUAUUUUAAUUUACAAACUUAAUUUUUAUUCAUAUCAAAAUUCAAAAUCAAACAAAAGAUUCGCAUAGAUGCUAACUUUAAUGAACCAAACAAGGGUAGAGUACACUUUCCAACUCGUUGCCAAACAAGAAAACACAAUGUGGUAGUUCAAGAUCUAUAAAAUAAAAUUACAUUGUAAAAUCUCAAAUGUUAAAGGAAAAUUGCAUCAAAUGACCAAAACAUUUAGGAAAAACCAGCCCAUGACACCAAUUUUUUGCAUAUUGCGAAUAUAGAUAUCAGUCAGUUAUCAGAUGGUAAUCAUAAGUUAUCAGAAAGUAAUCAUAGGACUAUCAGAUGGUCAUCACUUAAAUUUUUUUAUUUUUUUUAUUUACAAAUAAAUACAAAACAAUCCCUCCAGGAAGAGACCAAAUCCACUUCCACUAAAGGACAUGCCCUUUGCCCAUACCACAACGAUCUCAGCUAGGUCAUUUAUAGUCGAGGUUCUCCAAUGUGCCCCCUCUCUCCAUUCAAUAGAUAAAGUCAAAUUGUUUGAGUCCACGAAACUAACACCUAUUCUAUAGAAAUUAAAAGAGGGCAAUAAAAUAUACAUUACUUCAAGCUUCUUCAAAAGCACGUUAGAAGUCAAGAUUCAUUCUAUGAACAUUUGCGACAUUCUUAACCAAGUGUUAUAAUACAACUUGUUAGUAAACCAAAGAUUUUAUAUCAAUAGAAAUAAUUGUCUCACUUGUAUAUCUAUUAUGGUUCUCUUACCUAAUUUGCAUGAAACUUUGGUUAUAUUUUCAAGUACGAAUACUUUUACUCAAAUGUAAAAGACAAAUGAAAAGUCUGAAAAAGAAAAAAAGAAGACCUUUGGCAUCAAAGACAUUUAAUAUCCAAAGCGUGCUUUUAAGAGGGGUGGUUUGUGAACAUCCAACGUGCUCAACCAUGAACGGAGAGAGAUUUUUGAGAGAGUGAGAGCGAUCCACCUGGAAAUUGAAGAAAAAGGCAAGUUUAGAGAGAUUAUCAUAAAACGUAAACCAUAAACCCAUAGAUUCCUUUGUUCUUCUCUUCUCUCUCUUACCUGUAUCAUCUCCUUCUCCAUUCUUCUUCUUUUUCUUCCCAUCAUUCAUGGCUGGCGCUUCUUGAAUCUGCCUGGCAGGUAUUACCCUUUUCUUCCUUUUAUCUUUUCUUAUGCUUUCUUGUUCUUUUCCGCCUUAGAUUUGAUCUUGGUUUUCGACGCACCAACCCCAUUAUAUAUUUUAACUUCCUCCACUACUGUACUCUGGUUGCUGUUUACAUCGUGCUGUGGAUUGAGUUUUCAAUUUCUUAUGUUGAAUGUCAAGUGGGUUUUCAUUUGGGUGUCUUCCCCUUUUGUAUUUUACUCUGAAUCUUGCUAAAUUGGGUUGUUGAUUUGAGACUGACAUUGGGGUUUUGAUGUAAUUUUGAGGUGAAUUUCAUUUCCUACUGUUGAUUUGAAAUAGGAUCUAUAUUGUUGAUAGCUAAUUGCUUCUUCGUUUGAGGUCCUUUGAUGUGAGCUAUGAAUACCCUUUUUCUUUUUUCAGAUUUUUUUUCCAAUUGGAUGGUUUCCUUUAAAUUUGUUGGCAGUAUUGGCUUGCUGGAUUAUUGAAUUACACUAUGUUUCUUUAUACAUCUGGUACUUCUUUUUAAGGAUUUUCUUUUUCCUACAUUAUGCAGUAUCUAAUCACAAAUUUCAGUGAUUUUCAACUCGCUUGUAUUGGAAGCUUCAUCAUCCAUGAAAGUGUUUUCUUCUUAUCUGGACUACCAUUUAUACUUUUGGAAAGAGCAGGAUGGCUGAGCAAGUACAAGAUCCAGGUUUGCUUUUUUGCUUCUUUUAGUAAAUCUUCACCAUAAAUUUUUCAUAACUGCAAGUUCUUAUGGAUAUUUAAGCAAUGGUUGAUAUAUGAAUUAGAUUUGAUUUUGUUAGUGAUUCUUAAUAUCUUAUCCUAAUUGAUUAUGAGCUAGAUUAGAACUUAAACUAGCUUUGAUUAUCUUUUCUUUUUAAUCUCAAACAAAGAAAUAACAGGAAGUCAGAAAGUAAUAAGGAUUUCAAGCUUUACUUUAAAUUGAUUAUUUUUUUUGUAAAAAAAGAAUGUUAAAUUGCAAAUUUGGUCCUGAUGGUUUGAAGAAAGUUAGAAUUUAGUCCUUUGGUUUUAUUGAACUCCCACAAAUAGUUCCUAUGAUCAUGACAAUUUUUUGGGAUUUUAUCAAACUAUAGAGACAAAAAUUCUAACUUUCUCCAAACGAAAGGAACCAUAUUUGUAAUUUUAGCAAAAAAAAGAACAAAAAGGAAGGAAAGAAACAAAAUUGUUUCUCAUUGAUUACCAUAUUGACAAUAGUACUGAUACUUAUGAAUGCAGAUAAAGUCCCUACCAACUAGGUUUUCCACCCAGUAAUUACAGUUCAACUCAAUAAUUAUGUAACUAACUUUAAUUAUGGAUGCAUUAUUUUCAGUUGUGGUAUAACUUUUUUUCUGCUUUUUUCAGGCGAAGAAUAACAGUCCUGCUGCUCAAGGAAAAUGUAUUUCACGCCUACUACUUUAUCAUUUUGGUGUUAAUCUUCCAGUUAUGCUUGUUUCUUAUCCUGUCUUCAAGCGUAUGGGCAUGAGAAGCACUCUUCCAUUGCCAUCCUGGUAUCUUCAGGUUCUUUGUCAUAAAGCAUAUAAUUUAGGUUUUAUUUAUCUAGCUAGGCUUAGUUUACUUUCACUUUUUUCUUAGCUUGGACCAUUCCACUAUCUUCUCUAAAUUUAAUUUUGUUUUCUGUAUCAUUAAAUGUAGGAAAGUAGUUUUCGGCCAGAUAAUAUUCUACUUUAUUAUUGAGGAUUUUGUUUUCUACUGGGGCAUAGAAUUUUGCACACCAAAUGGCUGUACAAGAAUGUCCACAGCGUCCAUCACGAGUGAGAUUUAUAAAUGAAAAUUCAUGUAUAUUCUGCUGUGCCCCAUGAUAAAAUUGUCUUAGAUUGUUUUAUGGUUCUUUGCAGAUAUGCUACACCUUUCGGACUAACAUCUGAAUACGCUCACCCUGCCGAGAUCCUGUUCCUUGGAUUUGCUACAAUCAUCGGUCCUGCUCUUACUGGUCCCCAUCUAUUUACCCUGUGGUUAUGGAUGGUGGUUAGAGUCCUGGAGACAGUUGAGGCUCAUUGUGGUUACGAUUUUCCUUGGAGCCCUUCAAACUUCAUACCUUUGUAUGGGGGUGAGUCGAUUAGAAUUUGUAAUGUUUUAAAAAGAAUAAGUCAUAAUGUAUGUAUCUAUUGUUCCUGAACUCAGCUUUGCUCUUUCUCUACAGUGCUUAUUUUCAUGAUUAUCAUCACCGACUGCUUUAUACGAAAUCUGGCAACUACUCAUCAACAUUCACUUACAUGGAUUGGUAAGUUUUAGUCCAUAAAUGGUCCAACCAUUUAUUUUAUAUGUAUACAUUAUUGAUUUGAACUUCAUAGCAUUAAAACCAGUUUUGUGGGAAACUGAUGUACUUCCAUUCAAUAGUUUUUCAUGUCUAUUUCCAUGGAUGCGAAAUCUUUGUAGUACUUGUAGGACAAAAGGGGUGUUUGAAUAAUAAUGAGAUGAUUACAGAUGCACCCAACAUUCCUUGGUCCCUUUCCUCUAUCCAUUUAAACCGAUGGUUUCAUUUCAUCUUUUACAUUGGUGGGUUAACAUAACUAAGACAUUUUGAUAUGUAGAUUAUGUGUGGAAAAUGUUUACUCUCUUAGCUGCACUGUACUUUAUUGUAUUUUGGUGGAAAGGUAUUAAUCAGUGACUUGAUGUGAUGCCCUCACUUUGGGUUGUGAUGGUCAGGAAGUAUGCUUGGACAGAAUAAAUUCCACAUCUUGAAGUCUUUUAACCCAAUACGAUCUUAAGGUGGAUUAUUGAGUGGUUAAGAUGGGAGAGAAGGAAAUUUUGAUUUUGGAAAUGAGAGUUGGAGAACCAUCAUUGCAUACAUGUCCAAGAAUUCACUUCUUAAUGCUAUUUUUCCCAAUAUUAUCUGGAAGUUAACUUUUGAGUGGAUCUGAUGGAGAAUAAAAGCAAAAUUGAUUGUGAAGAUAUGUUGAGUUCUUAUUGAAAAAGAAAUCAAGUGCUGUGAGAGACAUAGUGGCCACUUCAAGUAGGGAGUUGGAGAGCUGUUGUAUUCUAUUUUUAUCAUGUUGAAAGAUUCUAGUUUUAUCUCGAUAGAGUAAAAAGGACAAUGGAUUCUACAAGUUGUACAACUGUGUCUUUGUGUUCUAAAGAAAAUCAUACCUAUAUGCAUUUUUUCUUCUUUUACGUUCUUUUGCUUCUUCGUGUCCAUUUAUUAUCGAUAAUUUCUAUGCAAUGGAACAAAAGACAAAUACUGAAGUGGAUAUUUUGGCUUCUUUGAUUGGCAGGAUAUUUGGAACUGACAAAGGCUUCAGAAACUUGGAAGCUAUAAAAAAGGCAGAAAAUUGAUGAUGAGAUAAUAGAGAGCUGUUGAAAAAGUCGGGUAAAUUCAAGAUAGGUUUCUAAUCUAUAGCAACAUUUGAAAAGGUUUAGUUCUUCUGUAUCCCCUUUUCUUGUGUGCCAUUAUGUGUUUUGCUGUCUUCUUCUUCUUUUUUUGUUGUUUAAAUGUCAGUAUUCUUUUCCUGAAUCUAAUGAAGUGCUGGCUGUGGAACUUGGCUUGUCAUUUUCUUUUAGUUCAGUUUAACACAUUUUGUGGUUCAUGUUUCAGUUGGCUUAUUUUAAGAAACUUAAUUAGCAUGAACCAUGGAGCAGAACAUGAUUGUGUUUUAAUCUCUUACGAACUUAAUCAUAGUUUUAUGUUGGUUGUGGAAGAGGUUGAUGUUCAUGCCUUAAUGCAACAAGUCAUAUUGAGAGAACUUUUUGGCACUUAUGAAAUUGAAAGAUAACGGUUAAAAUGUUGUUUUGGUACUCCACUUAGAGUUAUUGACCAAUUUUAGGAUCUAUAUUUUAAAUUUUUUUAUCAUGAAGGCAAGUUUAUUAAUUGAAUCAUGAAGGUAUUUUUAAUGAUUAACAAAUAGAGUUCCCUUCUUUUAUUAAGUAAUAAUAAUAUAGUGCAUUUGCUCAUUGUUAACUUAGAUUACUUUUAGAGAAUGAAGUCUCAAGUAUGUUUCAAUCUUAAGUGAUAAAAGAGGGUUGAGUGUGGUGAAAACUUGAUCUCCGAAUCAAAGGUGAUUGGUUGGAGACAAAGAGGAGAUCGGUCAGAGUUGGUUUAGGAAAAAUUCAAAUCGUAAAAUCAAUCUUCAUUAUGAGUUUGCAUGAUAGAUAUUUUCGAUUUUGACACUAGAUUACAAUAAACAAAUACAUUGUCCCCGCAUUCAAAGUAUCAUGUGGUGAUUUUUGGUGCCAUGGCUAUUCAUCUUUCAUGGUUGAAGGAGGUCGGAGGUCAAUGUUGGCUAGUCGUGGGAAGCUCGAAAACCUACUACCUACGACCUCCUUCAAUCAUCUUCAACCAUGAAGGAUAAAUAGCCAUUGCACCAAAAGCCACAUGUCAUUUUGAAAAAUACCCACCUAACCGAUGCAAAUUAUAAAAUUUUUAAUUAAAAUUUACAAUUAUAAAUAGCUACAACACAAGCGUACAAUUUACAAUUUAAAAGUAACUACUACUAUUCGACACAUCAAGUACUUAGCAGCGACCUCCCCUUGCCUUGCCUAAUGGCACCUUUUCAUUUAACCUAUGGAAGGAAAAUUUAAAAUGUAAAGUAAUAGCUAAGUGAGUGGCAAGAAUUUAGAAAUACGUUUGGAAAAUACAAUUACUUACAAUAAAAGCUUUCUUACUUUUAGAAACGUCUUAACAUCUCAUUUCGCGUUAAAUAACACAAUAUUCACAUUAGCGUCUGCUUAGUCCUAAUGCCUGGAUAUAACUUCCUCAAUGCAAGGAUCACUGUGAAGAUUACUACUUCACCAUCAACAUCCCUACAUACCCUCGUUUAAUACCAAUUGCUCUGGGAUUGACUUGAACACGAACCACUCAACACGUUUAGUCAUCCUUCUACAAGCGAAUCAACCUCUACUUUUUAUGUGUACAUAAUAGUUAGCUUUUGAUUAGGAAUAAGACUAAUAGUUUUGUAUACAUACAAGCAUCACAAUAAUAUAACUUCACAAACAUAGACAUACUUCAAAUUAGUCAUGUUCUUUCAUAUGUAUAUAUGAGAUUACAGUAUGAGCAUAUCUAACAACGUGACAAUAUAACAAAAUAACUUUGGUGGUAAAAAUUUUUUUCAAAGUUUGCUUUUCUUUCGAAGAGUCGCUCACUCAGCUGAGGUUUCCUUUUUCCCUUUUUCUUCUUACCGUUUAGCUCUUCUUCCCUCUUGUUGUCGGGUCCUACAACGAACUUUCACCUUUUACUCCUCUUAUCCAAACACUUGAAUUAGUCCUUCUUCAAACCUAUUUAUACGUCCAUCAAAUUAGGUUAGUCAGCAUUAUAUUUCUCCUAAUCUCAACAGCUCCUACUUAGUGCGUUGCACGUGUUAGUUUAGUAUUCUUCUUAAACCAUGUUUAACUUAAAAUUAACCUAUAUUUAGCAUACUAAUCAUUUAGGUUAAACACUUAACCGAUUUCUUCUCACCUAGCUCGUCACGUGAUUAUUAGUUAAGUGUUCGUUGUUGCCUUCCCUUUUAGCGUUAUCUUGUAGUACUGCGUUGCCUUUCUUCACAAUACGUUUGAUUUCUUUGUAUUUUGCCCAUUUCCUCGUGUUAUCUCAAGACGCCUACUCAAGCUUAAUUCCGCUAACUUCAAAAUAUAAUUUACAAGAAAGUCCUCUAUUAAAACGUGGGUUUCACAUUCGUAAUUAUAUUAAUUUACAUUGUUUUUCCUAUUUUGGUCGAUAUUUGGAAUUUAUAAUUCAAGUCCAUUAAGCCACUUAAUACUUUCUCGUUUUUUUCGCAAAUAUUAAACCAGUUAAAAGGGGUUCAGUCUUUCGAACUUGAAAACUGAUAUCAAACUAGUAGAUGGGGCUUGUUUGAGUCCCCUUUCUCCCUCAAUUUCAUCAACAAAGGCAAACAUGAUUACAUAAAAUGAGAAUAGACUAAUCACUUAUUAUGGUCAUAAUUAUCCCAUUAAAUAUGCAUUUCCUUUCCUUUUUAUAUCACUUUAAAGUUUAAUGUUUGACAUUUGAAUCACCCACUUCAUAUAUUUGACUUUGAAAUAGCCCAUUGGCAUCUUCAUACAUCAUCAACCAAUUCAUAAUGUAAUUAAGGCUAUUUAAUUCUUUUAGCUACAGUUCCAAAGCCAAACACAUAAUAGAGUUUCUUCAGAAUUCCCCUUUCAUCCUUCAAUUAUAUAUGAAUUCCAAUAAUGUAAUGGUUUGGUGCUUAAUUAUACUUUAAUACGUUAUCAUUUAGUUCCAAUAAUCGAAGUGUUUUUUUAUUUAUUUAGUUUGCUUUCAAAAUUUAACCCAAAUAUUGAAAGAAAUAAAUUUUGGAGCUUAAUCUCAGCAUCACAAUUUGCAAUAUUUUUUAAUUGGACCAUCAAACUUACAAUUUGUCAGAUACUGUAAGUUUAAAAGAUCUAGUUUUAACAUUUUUUUAAUUUAGGGUCCAAUUGUUAUGAUUGAGAGUUUGGAGUGUAAAUAUAACUACAAUUAUAAUUAUAUACUCUAGGGAUGUUUUUUUUUUGCACUUUAUCCUAAAAUUUAAUGUUGAAUAAUACAUAUCCUUUUUUUCUCGCUGUAUUCCUUAAUAUUACUCACUUUUUUACACAUAUUCUCCAAACUUCUACAAAUCAUUUCAUGAUAUAGAUCUAAAAACCUAAAAAGUUCCGUGAGUAAUGAUCUGCCAAUUACUUUCUCAUUAACACAACACCUCGUUCACUAUAAUCAACAAGCUACAGGAACAAGAGAAUGUGUAUGAGAGAGAGAAUCAGUAUAAAGAAAAAAGUUCCCAAGAGAAUUUGAAGAGAAGAGGUAAUUAUAGACUAUUUGUCCUAACAAAUCUAAAUGUGAUCUCCUCAUAUUACCAUAGCAAAAAAGAAAUUGGUGCUAAGCUGUUUUUUCUUUAAUGUUUUUACCUUAUAUAAAUAUCUUACAAAUCUUCUAAAAUUUUAAGAGAAAAUUAAAUCCGUAUAUAUUAUUUAUAAAAAUUAAGCAUUUUCUUCAAAGAAAAAAAAAACAUUUGGUUACUUUAAAUUAUGAGGACGUCACUUAACAAAUCUCAAAGACAAAUCAGAGUCAUUUCGACGUCACUCGAAAGAAUAUUAACCGUCCAAAAAGCCACCCUUUCAAACCUCAAAUAAAUUGACAAUUAACUAUAAUUAAUUUCAAUUUCCAUCUAAAUUUGAAUUAAUGAAACCUCCUUCCCUUGAGAAGAAGGAGCAUUCAAUAUAAGUUCAAAUAUAGUUUCAUCCUAUAAAUGCCAUUCAUCAAUCCACAAUACUAAACCAAUCAUCAAAAUAUAAUUCUAUAAAAAAUAACCCUAGACAACAAUAACGAUAACGAUAAGAUAUUUGAUGUAUAAUUUUAUAUGAAAAUUUUGAGAAAUCCAUGAGAAUGCAUUGACAUUGAUAAUUGAUAAUUGAUAUUGAUAACUUUUUAAUUACACUUUUGUUUUGUUUGUUUUUUUCUUUUCAAAAGAUAAAAAGAUUCUCAAGAAGAGAAAUUACCUAAAAUAAAACUCCAUUUUCCCUUUUCUAAUUUCUAGAAGAAGAAAAAAAAACUUCUUUUAAUCUGAAAUAUUCAAAUUAAAUUCUUUGUACUAAAUGGGGAAAAAAAGAAAAGAAAAGAAAAGAAAAAGAGAUACUAAGGGUAAGCGUCCCUCUUAAGGUCCACCACAACAACGCUCACGUUGUCCGUACUGUGCCUAGCCAACGCCAGCUUCGUCAGCAGCAUCGACGCAUCGUUGCAGGCCUUGUCGGCGUUUCCUCUCUCUUCCCCUUCUGCUGCUGUCUCCGCCUCACUCGACGGCGACACCGGCGACCUCUCCUCCGCCUUCCCUCUCAAGCACAUGCUUGCCACUCCACACGCCGUCUCAUUCGGCACCACAUCCCAUAGUCCAUCGCUCCUAAUAUCAAACACUCAUCCUCCGCCGUACGAUUCGUUAUCGUCACCUCUGGUUCCGAUAUCACAUACGGUUUCAGAUAAUUAUCGCCUGAAAUAAAUCAAAUUCAUCGUUAGAGUUUUGUUGUUCGGUGGGUUAAAGUCAGCGCCUCGUUGAUUUGAUUUUGCUUACCUAUGGCUCUUGACAUGGCGAGAACUCCAAGGACUCUCGGUCCGUCCCAGUAAAUCACUCGUCCGCCGGCUUCCUCGAUCCGGCUAAGUUCAUCGGACGAUCCGGCUGUAAGAUUUUAAAACAGUUGAUUAUUGGAAAUUGAAAAUCGGAGGAUUAAUCAAUUAAUUAGCACUUAAAUCUGAGUACUAACCUUGUGAUCGGAGGAGAGAGGGAUGGCCUUUCCGUUACGGCAGAGAACGGCUUGGAAUCGCCGCAGUUGGCCACGAUGAUCUUAUCCGGCGUCACAAUUGCGACAACGGCGGUAGAUCCAACGGCAUCGCAAUCCGGCGACUGUAGUUCGCAUCUACAGUUCGCAACCACUUCUUCAUUGUUUCGCGCCACAACUUCGUUGUCCAUUCUCCAGAAGAUUCUCUUCAUAGUACGGUCCCACCGCGACGCCGUCUCCGCCUCUGUCUCCGCCGCACCGGCGGCGUCUUCCUUCUCAUCCUUAUCUAGCUCAUCUUUUACCAGUUCAUGCAGCGCUCCUUACACCUCAUCGCCACCUAACACACCGGAAAAACCUCCCGUAAAUAUCCCCAAAAAUUCGCCGUAAAGAAGAAAGUCAAUGACCUAAUUAUUUUACUACCAAGUUGCAAUUCCUUUUGUUUCUUCUACUAAUCAAACAGAAAUUAAAGCUAAUUAACUACAGUUCAAGAGAAUAAUUAAGUAAUUAGAGAUCUUACAUGAGAACAGCCAUGGCCGUCGUAAACACCGAAGAAGUGCAACAUAUCACUAGCUCUCUUCUCCGUAUAACAGAGCGAUGGAUGAACCGCCACCGAUCCUCCAUCUCUCUCCUCCUUCCACAAACAGAAGAGAAUCCAAAUUUCGGAACCACUACCCCACAAGAAGAUUCCCUAGACAGAGGAAUCGAAACCUCCUUGGUCGAAACCUCUCCAACCACAAAUCUCCCAACGGUUUCUUCUUCUCCCGAAUCACAAUUCUGAACCGCGUUAUCACAAUCUCUAGAAAUGGACGUAGCUCGAUCCUCCAGCUUCUGCCGUUUCGAAACAGUCUCCGUCUCGGACGGAUCAACCCUGGUAACAAAUUUACAUCUCCUGAUCUCCAUUCUCCGACGUCUAGCCACUCGCGAGCUCGGCUCACAAGAAGACGACGCCUCACUCUCACUCAUAACUUUACAACAAAUCUCCUCCAUUACUAAUUCAACAAAUCUCCCUCCUUCUUCCUUGCCUAGCCUCAGCCGCAGUGCAAUUGAUUAAAUUUAAAGCCGGCCACGGAAUUGAAAUUAAAAAAGAAAAAAAAAAAAAAACAACAACGAAGGGAAAGCAGAUGAAAAGAGAAGAGUGGUUCCGGGGAGGGAGGAUGGUUUAAAAAGGAAGGUGAGAUAGAAAAGAAGGGGAAAUAGGAAAAAUAGAGAUUAGGGGAAGAGAGAGUGAGAAAGAUGGAAGGAGGUGGUAAAGUGCGUGACGUAGUGGAAAGGGAAAUGAGAGCCGUUGAUUGAGAAAGAGUGGUUUGAUCGGAAGAAGACACGUAUGGAAUUAGUUUGGGGAGGUGGUGGAAACGUGGCCCAAUAAUAUUGGAGCAGCGCAACAAGAGAGAGACUUCCUUUUUGACACGCAUGUGGUCCUUGGUGUACUCUGUGAGGCGUCCCUAUUUUAAAAUAACAAUUUCCCAAUUAAAUAUUAAGACGACAUAGCUUACUGACACGUGUCGGAAUCCUGGAAUACGAGAUUACAAAAAUAAUAAAUAAAUAAAAUAGAGAGAAUUUUCUUUUUCUUUUUUUGUUUAUUCGGUUAUAGCUUUUGAUGGCCAAUGAGAAUUGAGUACGUGUUGGGGAGUGGGACCCAUGGGUGAAAUUUUAAAAAAUGAAAAGAAAUAUCUGAGAAAAGAGAAGGCGGAAGAUGGAAACGUGGCGUUCUUAAAAGGACUCGACCCGACCGGUUGGUACAAGGGACACGUUUCGACCAUAUGCCACUUUUAGCUUUCUAAAUCUUCUUUUCAUUCAUUAAUUCAACACAUUCACAAAUUUGUCACACCCUAUUUUUCAAAUUCAUACCUUUCAAAUUCCUUUCUAGAUUGAUAGUUAAUAAGAUAUCAAUAUUGAUUACUUUAUUUGAUGUACACGCCUCGUGUUAAUCUUCAUUCAGAUUUCAUUUAACUUUAAUGUUAGAAUUAAAAAAAAAAAAGUAUCGUUAUUAUACAGUAUCAUACAUUAGACACAACAAAAAAUUAUAAGAAGCAUAUGUUAACUACAAUUUUCAUAUUUUUUUCACAAAUGUUAGGCCAAUUAAUUAACUCUACUUUCCACCUUGUUCUACAAAAAUUAAUUGCAAACUUCAUGAACUAUGAACUAAAUUGAAGUCUCAUUAACUUAAAAGUGUUUCUAGAAAUUAAAUUCAAAUUACCUUUUUACCAAAAAAGUGUUGGUUUUAAAAUUUUAUACAACCCACUUAGUAGUAACAAAAAUUUAAAUCAAAUUUGACUUUCAAGCAAAAAAAAAGAAGGAUUGUUCAAGGUUGAGUAAUUAAAAAAGUUGAUAAAAAUUUCAACUUUUAAGAAAACAUAACUAUCUCAAAUUGUUUAAACUGUCUUCAAUUGAAAUAUGAGUUAUAUAGAUUAACUGUUAUAUAGUAUCUGUUAACUACACAUGGAUAAAAGGAUAAGAGUUUGAUUAAAAAGAAAAUUUAUGUUUAUGGUUGGAUAAUUUUCGUUUUUACUUUUUAAGAUUAAUUAUCUACUUAAUGUUUCCUUUAAUAAAUUUUACAUUUUAAAUAUACAAUUUAAUAUCAUUUUGUAUUUUCUAAUUUUUCCGAAUUGUUCAAUCUUCAUUCCUAUUUCUUAAAAUUUUCAAUUUGUAGUUGAAAUUAUCUUAAAUUAAUUACUAGUUCAAAAUUAAUGUUUAUUUUAACUGAUUAAAUAAUUAAUAAUAGUAACGACUUUCAUGCAAAUAUUUUAAGAUUAUUAAAUUAAUACAACUCAACUAAUAAUAAUAGAUAAUAAUAACAAUAAAUUGUAAAAAGAAUAUAUAUCUUUCAACGGUUUGGAAAAAUAAUAAUAGCUAGAUAAUAAUCAACAAUAAUAGUAAGACUAAAAGUCAAGUAAAAUGUAUUAAAAGUGCAAAAAUUCAAAAAUACAUAAAUUAAAGUUAAACUUGUUAGUACGAAUUCAGAUUUUAACGUCGUUUUAAUCAAUAUACAGUGUAUUAUUAAAAUACUUAACGUCGGUUGAAUAUGAUAUUCUAACUAACGAAUCGUUUAAGUCUUUAGGAAGUCUAAUUCUAUUAUAAAAAAUUAGAUGAGUAAUUAAAUUUUUAGUAAACUAUAUAACUUAUAAAUAAACACAAAGUUAUAAAUGUGAGGUAGUUUUUCAUGCUAUCAAGAGGCGUAAUUAAUGUACCAAAUGUUUAGGGUAUAACGAGGGUGGUAAAAUCAUUUCCAAAACUUUUGGAAAUAAUAAUAAUAAUAAAUUAUCUAAAGGGUCAAUAAAUCAUAAAUUAAUGUUAGGAGAAUUGCUAAUAUACCUAACAUGUUAAAAGCUUAGCAUAAUUAAUUAUAUGAUCAAAAGGUUUGAGUUUAUCUAACCUUUUAAACAAUUCAAAAAUAAAUGUUUCUUUCUUUGAUUUUAAACUUUUGAUAACAUUAAAUAAUUCAUAGCCUUUAGCUCUGUUUUUAUACAUAUAUCAACUAUUGAUGUUAAAAUAUGAACGAAAAAUGCACUUGAUCUUUGUUUUAAACGAAAAACAAUAUGGUACGUAAAAGAACCAACAUUGUUUGAUGUAUAUACAUUUUGAUGAGGCCAGAGAAACAAAAAGUUUUACGGUAAGGUUCAAGUUAUCUCAUAUAAAGUUAUAACUACGUAUUUUAUAAAGUGAUUGGCCUAGAUUAAUUAUUUAACUAUAUUUAUGUUUGACGUUUCAACAUUUUUUCUAGAACGAUGUUUUGAGUUUAGGAGCAUGCAUGAGAUGUUUUCUAUUUUGCUAAGGUCAAUUGAGUACGUAAAUUUGAAUCGUAUUAAAAUUAAGAAAUUACACUAUAAAAGUGUAUCGUUUUAAAAGUCUAGACCAGAAUUUGAAGAAGGAAAAAGUAUUUCUUUGAAAAAUUCCCAUCUUAUAAGAUCAAUAUUUUUGAGUUAUUUGAGUUUGAGAAUUCGAAUAACUCGAAUUUAGUUUAUAACCCAACUCAACCUAUAAAUAUGGAUUGGGUUAUAAUUUUUUUUCUAUUUCUAAUUUCUAAUAAUUAUAAAAGUUUAAAAUUAUUGUGUUUAAAUAUAUAUAUAUAUUUUAUAUUAAUUCGAUUUGGUUUGAAUUGAAUCAAAAUUUUCAACCUUUCAACGACAUAUGUAACCUAAUUUAAAGAGAUAAAAAAUAAAAUUAAUUCAAUCCAACCCAUAUUUUAAGCUAACCUAACCGCCCGACAUCAACCAUGAACGUUUUCGUAAGGUGUGAAAUUUCAAAAGGAAGUUUCGAUUUAUAUGGGUGGAAAAAGAAGUAAUUUGGAAAAUGUUAGAGAGAGAUUGAGAGAGGGAAUGGAAGACAUCACAAUCAAAAUUAAUAAUUAGAAGGGAAAGACGAAAAACCCUGAAAGCGGUAGGCAAAAGAAAUCAUGGAAGGAGAGAUUAUGUUGGGGACGUGGCGGAGUAUGAUUUGAGAAGCGGUGGUGGGACCGGUUAGUUAAAAAAAAGUUUUCUUUUCUUUUCCUUUCUUUUUAAAAAGAAAAACGGAAGAAGGAAUAAGGAGAAGGCUCCACGUGGAAAGUAGGAUUUUUGGUUUCGGGUAGCGGACUUUGACGUGGACAUGUCAUUUGAAAAAAUGCACGUGAUUAGUAAGACAAAUAUUUAUUUAAACUCCCAUUUUCCUGACACGCACCCCACACCCCUCUUUUUCCCUUUUCCAAACCUAUUUAUUAUUCUUAUUACUCUCUUCUACAUUUUAAAUUUUAACAAAAUAUUUCUUUUUAACCAUUUCAAAAACUUUUAAAUAAAAUAUCAAAUGUUGUGUUAUUAAUUCAUCAUUUAUAUUUCAUUCUCUACAUUUCUUUUGGUUCCAAAUAUUUUUAACCAAAUAAAAAGAAAUAAAAGAGAAUGAACAGAGUAAAUCUGAAAUAUUAAAAACAACUAGUAUGUUUUAGCCAAAAUCUUUAUCAACAGCUUAACUUUACAUUUUAAUUAAUAAUUAUAUCAAUUUAAACCAGUUACAUAUUCUCAUUUUAGAUUUAAUAUAAAAUUCACCUUUUUGUUUAAUUGUCAAUACAUUGAAUUAUUAUAUGAAAAUUGAAAUAAUAAAAUCAAACAAAAUGCAUGCAUCAAUUGAUGAUAAUUGAGUAUUUGAAUUAAUUUUCUCACGAAUGUUUGAGAGUUUCAUUGACAAACAAAAUGUAAUAAUAGAAAGAGUAAAUUAAUACACCGACUAAUGUUUAUUAUUUCAUUUUAUAGCGUUAUUAAUUUUAACUUUAAAUUCACUUUACUUUUUUUUUUUGCUUGAAAAUAAACUCAUGAAAAUAUUUAUAAAAAUUAACAAAAUUUAAGAUUUACUAGUGAUAAAUCUAAAUUAUUUUUUUUUUAUAUUUUUGUUUGUUUUUCUAUUUUUUUUAAAUAACCCUAGUUAAUAAUUUUAAAAACCAAAAGCUACUUUCACAUAAUGAUUUAUUUAUUUUGUUAUACUAUAUGCAUUUAAAAAGCAAAAAAAAAAAACUUUUUUCACCAACAUUUAGUUCUCAAAUCAUAUGGUUUAACUAAAAUUUUGUUAGAAUGAAAUUUAGAAGUUUUGUAAAGAGAAAAAGUGAAAUAGAUUAUAAUAAUAAAAGCUAUAUUUUAACUUGGUUCUUUUCUUAGAACAUAAUUAUUCAAAAGACAUAAUAAUAUAAAUCUUGAAUAUUUAAUUUAUAAGAAAAGACUAAAUUUUGACAUCAAACCCUUUUAUUAUCAAUAUAAAAAUUAUUAUGUAUUGGUAAAGAGAAAAUUAAAAGCACAUGUGAAAGUGUCAUCAUCACAUACACAUUUUCAUUUUGACUCAAUAUAUAUACAUAUAAUAUAUGAUCAUUUGAUUUCUUGAGUUACACCCUUUUUAAGAUUUUUAUGUCAAUAAUUCAAUUCUUAUAAUUAAGACAUCUGAUUUUUCACUCAAAGCCCCUAAGCCUCCCACCUAAUAACAAUGUGAAAAUUACAAAAAUACCAAUGACAUUCUAUUAUUAAUAUAUAUAUAUAAGAAGAUAUUUCAAUAUUUUAAUAUUUAUCUCUUUGGUUUUCUUUGUUUUUUUUUGGAGAAUUAUCACUUUGGCUUAUUAAGACCUCCAACUCAUACCUAUUCCAACUCUUCAAUUCUCCCAACAAGUAAGGUGAGAGGCAGAGUUAGGAUAUUAUUAGUUUGAGAAAGGGGUAGCUAUAAAAUGAUAUUUUCUUUUUCAUGAAAUAAAUAUCACUACAAUCAUUGCUAUAUAUUUAUUUAUUACAAAGAGGAUUAAUUUUUUUUUUUUAUGUAAAGUGUUGGAAAAAAUUCAACUAUAAAACUAAGUGAUUUAAUGAAAAAAACUUGCGUUUUGUAUUCAAAAGUUGUGUUUGGAAGCAAAUAUUUAAUAUAUAACUAUAAAACUAGUAGAAAUAAUUAUGAAUUGUUCAACUUUUUCUUUUUAUUUUUUAUGCAUAUUAUAGUUUAUAACAGGGAUAUUUCUAAAAAGAUGAUAUUGUUGAUGCAAAAUUGUAUUUAUAAAUAUAUUAAAAAGGUUUAAUAUAAUUUGGAUUAGGAGAGUAAAGAGGGAGAGAAUGAUUAGAUGUGGUGGAUGGAAGUGGAAGGAAGGUUCCUAAAAUCCGUUAAGAGUGGAAACGUGUAAUUGGUGAGGGGAUGAAGAAAAGAGGGUAGCCAUUAUCCAUACGAUCCGUUAAAUUCCGACGAGGAGAAACCCAGGUGGCAGUAGGGUUCCGAUACGGCGGCGACACGAGUCGCGGGGGAAAGGGGGGAGUUGGGGAAAAGGGGGAUACGUGGAGAGGGGGAGCGGCGCAUGGAAGGCAAAUUGCGGGGCGGCGUAGGAUUCAGUGCCGGCGGUGGGAAAUGUGUAAGUGCAGGUGAAGAGAGAGAUAGAGUUAGUGAGUGGGUGUGUGGCAGUACAGAUUUGUUUUUGCUGAUUUUAUGGGCUUUUAUCUUCUUUUUCUAUUCUCCUAAAACACAACUGUACUCCACUAUAUCAAUGCUACAAUUGGAGUCAAGGAUAUCAUGUUUUAUUAUAUAUAUAUAUAUCCCUCUCUCUUUCUCUAUUACUUUCUGCCUAUCAAUAUAUCAUUAUCACACCUCACACUAUGACCUCAUUUACCACUUAUAUAUCCAUUGUUUAAAGACUUGGAAACACAUUAUUGAGAAUAUGAGCCCAUAGUUGAGAUGCAUGUAAAGAAGAAUCAAUAAGGAAAUGAAAAUAGAAUCCUGAUAGGUACAAACGGUAUGAAAAUGGGCUACGAUUCAAAACGGUGGGAACAAAGUUAUAUAAUCGAGUCCAAAGUGCUUCAUCGACCCAAACUCAUCUCCUUAGUGUCAUUAGUGUCAUUCGAAUAGUUCCAAAGAAAAAUAUUCGUGUGAUUGUAAAAGAAUUUUAUCGGAGAAUCGAUUGUAACGAAUCUCAAACACAAACGUAAUUGGAUUGCUUUUAUGAUCAUGUUUACUUAGAAUUAUGGAUCUUUGACAUCCAAUGUUAACGUUGCCGUUCGAUCCGAUUUACUUUACUCAUUUAUGAUAUUUUAGAGCAAAAAAUAACACAUAAAGUCAUACUUUUACUCAAAACUGCACCAAAAUAUUAAUACACUUUGCAACAUGAAUAAUCAAUAAUAAACUAGCAAUAAUAAUACAUAGAUUAGAUAAUGAUGUGUUUGGAUUAUAUUUUCAAGUGUUUAAUCUAUAAAAUAAGUUAUUUUAAAGAAAAAAAAAAACUAGAGCGUUUGGAAGCCACUCAAAAUAGAUCCAUAAAUGGUUUAAACAAAAACGAUUUCUUGAAAAACAAUUUUUUCUUAAUUCAAUCCAAACGAAUUCUAAAAUGGUAUUUAAGUGAAUAGUUAAACUCACCAUCUUUUACUUAAAUGAUAUGAGAUGUACAUUUCUAGAAGGUUUAAACUUUAAAUUAAUAUCUAUACUUUUAGCUUUAGUUUAUAUCGGUCUCUAUACUUUAAAACGUUCAUUUUAAACUUUUGCACUUUAAAAACGUUCAUUUCAAUCCCUUCAUUUUCAUUUCAUCUCAUUUUUAAGAGAAUCAAAAUGAUAACUUUUAAGAGUUCAACGAUCAAAAUAUUACCCGAAAACUAAAAUAGACAUUUUAAAAAUACAUAAACUAGAAUGAACAAAAGUUAAAAAGUAUACCGAACAAAAUAUAGUUUAAAAAGAAAAAAGAAGAACCAAAUGGUAUAUAAGAAAAAGUAGACGGAAAGAAACCAAAUUUCCCUCUUCAACCAAUUAUAUAAAUUGGUUGAUAGUAUAUAUAUAUAUAAAUGAUUAAAACUCUAUCAUACAUAUAUAUUAGAUUCUUCAAAUCAAUAGGAAAUUUGUAAUUAGGUGAGUGAUGACUAUAAUAUAUAGAUUAUUAUUAUUUUCAUUUUAUAUAUAUACUAAGGUUUAGACAUAUGUUGAUCCAAUUUAAUAUAUACAUAUAUAUAUAUAUAUAAAAUUUGAUCUAGUAUGUGGUUAGAAAUAAUUGGGAAGCCACGAAAUGGUUGUCAUAUUCAAUUAUUAUUCCUAAUGCCACAUGGCAGUUUAGUGUGAUAUUUGGUAUUACAUACCUUUUCAAAUAAAAUACAUCAACUCCAUGAAAACAUGUUUUUCCUUUUUCCUUUUUAAAUAUGUAUGAAUUUUAAAAUAUUUUUUCACUUCAUUUAGGAAAUGAAUUGCCAAUUAGUUGACAAACUUUAAAUUGGGUUGUUUAUGUAAAUAUAACCAAAUUUCAUAUUCUAAUAAUAAUAAACAACGUAGCGAUUAGUAACAUCGAUAGUAGGGAUGAACAUGGUAGACCAAAAAAUCGAGAUUCGGUCGGUGUUGGUUUGGCAAAGAUAAAAUUCAUAGGUUUAAACCGACUUAAAUUGACUAACCAAUAGUUGGUUUUGUACUUCUUCAUAGUCGAGGUCAGUUUGAAUAUUUACUAAACUAAUUAUUGUUAGUUUGAUGGGAAGAUUUACUCGGAUCAAUUGAUAUUCAAUAGAAGUUUAUAAAUGAAAUAUGAAAAUUAUAAAUAGAUUUUAUUCCCACUUUUCAAUUGUUCUAUUUUUCUUUUGUCAAAACAAUUAUGUAUAUAUAUAUAUAUAUAUAAAAAGGUAAGAUGUAUAGAUUGCAUUAUUUAUUAAAAGUCUUAUCAACUGUAUGUGUCUCUUCAUGCUGACAAGGCACCAGCUGGUUGCUCUUUAAGUCUUUUUCUAAAUUCCAAAGCUUUUUCCUUUUUCUAAUUUUUAAAAACCAUCACAUUUUCUUUUACAAAAUUAAAUCCUCCAAACUAUCUAUUUUACUCAUUCAAUCAUUUACAAAUGAAAUGAAAGAAGAUGAAAAUAAAAAGAUCAAAAUGAUUAUUUUUUUUUAAAAAAAAGUAAUAGAGUUGUAAUUGUGGAUUAAUUUUGAUUUGGUUUGUCACACUUAAAUAUGUCAUAGGGUGCCCCUAAUGGGCUUUGGUUUUGGUGGGCCCUCCACUUUGAGCCCAACAACACAAAAACUUUCUUCCACUUGACAAGAGACUUUUAUGGCCAAAGUUGUUAGAGAAUAUCAUCACAUGACCUUCCAACAUUAGGUUAAUAAUGCAACAUAUACUUAUACAAUUAACUUUUUUUUUUUUCAUUUUGAGAAUAACAUUCUCCUUUUUCCUUUACAAUAAGUAUCAAAUGUUCCGGAGGUAUUCAUAAAAGAUAGUAUACAGUUUUAGUGAUAACUGCUUAAAAAAAUCGUUUGUGUUUUUCUUAAGAUUUUCAAUGUUUUUUUUUUUUUUAAGUUUGUAAAAGUUAUUGUAGUUGAGAAAGAAUUUAUGCGAUUUUGGUGGACCAUAAUUACUAUUAUUAUUAUUAUUUCGAUUUUGAAAUUUCUCAAGGCUAUUCUAAUUUCUAGAUUAUUUUGAUUUUAUUCGUGCAAGCAAAGUAUGAGUUUUUUUUUUUUUUUUUUGCCCUAAAAGAAUCAUCAAACUUAUUCUAUAAGACAAAUAAUAGCAUAAUGUAAGUGUUUGUUUAAGCCCAUUCCAUACACUAAUACAACUUUGGAUGAAAGUGACACUAUGAUCAAAAUCUAAUGGUUAGAUUUAUGAGCAUUUUCAUCAUAAAACCCAUUUUGAAUGAGGUAACCACUUCAAGCUUGAGCACCACACAAAAUCAUUAUCUUUAUGCACCCUUCCAUUUUCCUUUUAUGAAGGUAACACCAUUAAUAGUGAUACCCAACAAUUGCAUUGUCAAAUAUUGCCCUUGCCAACAAAGAAACCACUUUCUCCAACUCUUCUUUUUCAUAUCUUUGACACCAUACACAUUCAUAUUUCCAUUGCAAUUAAAAUUUGAACCAUAAUUUUUUUCUUUUAACCUCCAUAUCACUAAUGAUGAAAAGUUUAUUAUGAAAAAACUCCGACAUGAAGUUUAAGUGUGGUCAAGUCAAAGAGUGAAAAAGAGUAGAGAAGUUCUAAGAUAUGUGAAAGAAAGUCAACUUAUCUUUUCAUAGCUAUAUUGAUAUAUUUUUUUGUUUAACAUAAAACGUUGUCAAAUUAAGGUAAAACAUAGCUAAUUUAGAAUGUUAACCUUAGGAUGGGGUUUCGUCUACAGUGAUUUCAUCUUUGUUCCUAGUCUAACUACCUAUGUAAUUCACUAAAUCUUUGUUACGACAAUUAGUUCAAAAGAAUUUAGAACUAUAUAUUUACAGUUUUGAUGGUUUGAUACAAUAGUUGAAGUUGAAAGCUUGGAAAUUAAACUCAUAAUUUACUAAAAUAUAUCAUUUUCAAUAGAAACUUAAUCCCACUAACCGCCCCAUGACAUUAAAUUUAUUCUUAUUCUUUAUGGACCCAAAACGACGUGCAAAUAUCGUCAACUCCCUAAUAUUUUAUGUCGUUUUGGCGUUGACGAAGGUUGAACGAUACGUCGUUUUCCUUACCAAUAUUUCAAUAUCAUGAAAAAGAAACUAAACGACAGGUCGUCAAAGUCACGCACCAAUAAUUGGAAUGUAGGAUUCAUAAUCGCUUGGAAAGUGCGUGAGAAAGGAUUCCCUUUUCAGUAGUUGGCCGGCAACGAAACGCAACGAUCAAAACAAUUCAAUUCUUUUAUUACUAUUCUUAUAAAUUUUUUUUUUUUUUUCUUUUUUUUUUUCUGUUUAGCCCUUCAGAUCAACAACGAAUCCUUCAAGGCAACAAAGAUAAGGAAAAAAGUUCCCCAUUUCCUACCAUAUUUGUAAAUUCUUUCAAAUUUUAUCCCUUUUCGAUCGCAUUAAAACCCUUUCGUUUCGUUUCGUUUACCCUUUUUAGGAAUUUGAUCCUUUAUUAGGUAAUGAAUUGUUUUGCUAUAUAGUUCUGUAACUUUCCUUUUUUAUGAAUUCGUCUGUUUCCUUUUCUCAGUGGCUCGCGCUUAUUUUGUACAAAUUGAUAUCCUGGACCUCUUUCUUAUUGUUGAUUAUACGAUUGAAUUGUGCAUUCUAUCGAUUCCUUGUUCAUUUGUUCGUUUUGGGUGCUGAUCGACCCAGAGUAGCGAUUGUUGCAUAUUUUCCUGGAGGGGCUUGGUUUUUGAAUCUUUGAGCAUUUUUUAAUUGUUAGUUCGUGUUUGUUUUUUCUUCUUGAGAUAUUCUUAUGUAGGUUAAUGAAGCUUACUUUUGAUUCUUCUUUUUGCAGGUUUUUUCGUAUUGAUUUAUAUAUAUUGGAUAGGUCAAGGAAAUGGGGGAGGAGGAAGUGCUUAUUUUGAAAACAGAACACUCGGAUGAAAUUAACAUCCCAAUAGUUGCUAAGAAGAUGAAUGAUGUUAUUCCCACUUCCACUUCCUCAGAAGUUAAAUGUUGCAGUUCUGGCUGUGCUUUUUCCAGACUAGAACAUAGUAAUUUGGAGUCAUUAAAACGUUCUAAAUCAGCUAUGAAGCUUGGUGGAUUGAUAUUGUUUUAUACUAUAGCUAUAGUAGUUGAGAUUAUUGGUGGUUUGAGAGCUAACAGUCUUUCGGUAAUGACAGAUGCAGCUCACUUGCUUAGUGAUGUUGCUGGUUUCUCUGUUUCCCUCUUUGCAGUUUGGGUUUCGGGUUGGGAGGCGACACCGCAACACUCGUUCGGGUAUAACCGUCUUGAAGUUUUAGGUGCCCUUGUGUCUGUACAACUUAUAUGGCUGAUUUCUGGGAUAUUAAUCUACGAGGCGAUUGACCGGAUUCUUGCACCAAAGACUAAGGUGGAUGGUUUCCUUAUGUUUGCCGUUGCAGCUUUUGGAUUCCUUCUUAACUUGUUUAUGGUUAUUUGGCUUGGCCAUAGCCACCACCACCACUCUCAUUCAUCUCAUUGUUGCCAUCAUGAUCAUCACUCUCAUUCUCAUCAGAAUCACUUGGAGCAUGAGGAGGAGGAGGUUUACACAUUAACCAAACAAGAAGGUGCUUCUUUGGGAUCAAAGGACAAUAGUUCAACGUUGAACAUAAAUCUCCAAGGCGCUUAUCUUCAUGUCAUUACUGAUAUGAUUCAAUCUAUUGGUGUGAUGAUUGCUGGAUUGGUUCUUUGGUUUAAACCCGAGUGGAUCGUCGUAGAUUUAAUCUGCACUCUUGUAUUUUCUGUUCUUGCUUUAGCUACUACUUUCUCUAUGCUUAGACAUACAGCUGUUAUAUUAAUGGAAGGAACACCUAGGGAGGUCCAUAUUGAGAGCUUAGAAAAUGACAUCAAGAACAUGAAAGGAGUUUAUGAUUUGCAUGACUUGCACAUUUGGUCCAUAACGGUUGGAAAAGUCGUGUUGUCAUGCCACGUUGUUGCUGAAGCCGGAGUUUGUUCUAGGGAGCUAAUUUUGAAGAUUAAAAGCCAUUGUGAAAAGAGAUACAAUAUAGUCCAUACCACCAUACAAGUUGAGUAAGGAGAAAUGGGGAAACAAGAGCAAAAGAAAGGGAAUGUAACAAAGUGUACUUGUUGCCUUGGUAUAAUUGAGUUAUCAUUCAGGUGACACAACAUCUACUCUUCUUCCAAUUCAAGAGUUCAACAAUAUGCCAUGUGAGGAGCUUUAACUUUUUAUCUUUUGGCCGGGAGUAGAUUAUUCGUGUUCGUAACAUCUUGUUACUUCUUGAGCAUUAGAAAAGCUGACAGUUUGUACCAAGAGUUUUAUACACAAUGGACAUUCAUUUUAUUUGUUCAUUGUUCUUGAAGUUCCAAUCACCAAUAAUUGUUCUAUCAAUGAAUUCUCUGAUCUCACAUCUCCACAAAUUUCUCAAGUUUGAUAAAAUUUCACAAUGGGCUUAUGAUCUGAUAAAUGUGUCUCUGAAAUAUUGAGAUUAUCAUUCAAUUUCUAUUUGGAUUUUAGUUUGUUUGAUUUAUAAGUAGACCAUAAACGUUUGAAUUUGGUUUCAAAAUUGUCUCUAGUAAAGUCGAUGUUAGAUGAUAGAUAACACGUGUUAUAUCAAAGUUUUAAAUCGUUUUGAAUUAUAUAUACUUGAAAUAGGAACUUUUUAAAUAGUGAGGUAAACUUUUUUAAAACUCUCUUUAGAAUAUGUUUCUUUUAAAAAUCAAUUCGAACAAGUCCUCGACAAUUAUGAUUGCAUGUUAUGUUUUUCCUUUUCCUUUCAAUCACAAGAAAGAAUAUAUUAUUUUUCUUUUUGAUUUAUUACUGUCAUUUAGGAAUCAAAAGUGGAAUAAAAUCUCUGUGUUGAUAUUAUCUCUUUUUUAUGCAUUCCAAAAGUGUAGAAGAAAAGACAAGGUAAAAGAAUAAACAUUAUGGAGAAAUAAAGGGAAUAUAGAACCAAAAAAAAAAGUGUGUGAUACUCUUUGCCCUUUCAAAAGAAACCUCAUUCCUCUCGAUAUCAAAAUUCCAUCUAUAUAUGUAUGCAUAUGUGUAUAUAUAUAUAUAUAUAUGUUUGUGUAUGUGUAUAUAUUUGGGACAAAGAUACUACAAAUUCAUUCUAGAUUUUGAAAUGGGUUUUUUCUUUUUAAAAUAGUAUUAUUUUUUAGGUAUCAACAAACUAGACUAAGAUAUCAUUUUCAUAUUUGAGAUUUAAUCUUUAUUCCUUUUUAGACUUUUAUGCUUCUACAAAUCUCAAAUUUAGUCUUUUAAAGUUUAUAAUUAUUUUUAUUUAUGGAAAAAAAUGAUUUUACAUUGAAUCAUCAAGGGAGAGGGAGCAUAGUGAGAUUUGGUCUUUUAACUAGAUUUCAUGCAUUCGUUUGAGCUUCAACUUUAAAGCUUUUUUUUUUGUAAUUACUCAAUUUAGGAGGGUUUGGUGGGUUGGUUCUUUUGUAUGCAUUUGUAUUCUUUCAUUCUUUCUCAAUAAAAGCAGUCUGGUUCUUAAAAAAAAAAAAAAAAGAAAAAGAAGAAGCACAAGAGUUAAUGACUUUAUUUAAAGGAAAAACCAACAAAAAAAAAAGAGAUGAAAAGACGAUAAAAAAUAGUCUCCAUCUUCACAAGAUGAAGACUUGUUCCUAAGUCUCUCUCUAUUUUUAUGAAUGGAAUGUUAAUAGAGACUAAACUUUAAGAUCUAUGAGAAGUGCAACGAUUAAAAUUGGACUUUGAAAGUAUAUGAAACGAAAUAUAUAAAGUACGAACCAAAAUGUUAUUUUUCAUGUCUAGAAUCUACUUUAGGUCUUGAGUCUGGUAACACUAUUAUUAUGAACGUGAGAGAAUUUCCUUGCUAGACAUGGAAUAUGUACCUAGUGACUACAACUAUCAAUCUUGUAUUUACAAGGGGAUCGUUUGGUCCACUAGCUUCUUAAGGCCAUAUUAAACAUUGUUGAACUUUGCAUAUUUAUUGAAUAACUUUAUCUUUUCUCGUUUUCUAUUUUUUACAUUUAUCAAAGAAAUUUAUUUUAUGCUUUAUUUCUAUAUUUCAUAUAUUGAAGAACUUCAUCUUAUAACUCUACACCUAAAACACAAAUUUAUUAACUUGCCUUAGUGAAUUUUAAAGAAUCCAAAAGCUCAAAAUAAGGGUGAUCAUCAGUUGGUCGGAGUUGGUUUUCCAACCAAACUACCACCAAACUGACUAUGAUUGAUUUAGUAGAUGUUCAAACUAACUCCGACCAUGGAGGAGUACAAAUAAACAAUUGUUCGUAAAUCUUUUGAUUUGAGGUUUUUUAAGCUUUUGAAAUUGUUUAAAAAUGUUGUCGAGAUUGAAUCCAAAUCGACAAUGAGUGAAUCCCUCCUCAUCUUCGAUCGACUCACCCCUAGUCUAAAAGGACUAAGUUUGUAAUCAUAAAAAUUCAAAGACAAAGAAGACAAAUAUGUAAAAGUUGAGGGAGUAAAGUGGUAAUUUACCCUUUUUGAUGACGUAGACUACAAUUUAGCUAAGAGUUUGUUGUGAAUGUGAAUGUGAUGACAAAGAAGACCAAAACAAGAAUCGAAAGCUUUCUCUUCAAAGGGAGAGGGAACAAGCAUCUCUCUCAACUACGACCGAAAUGAAGAAGGAAGACACUGUAAAAUUGAUCAGCGCGCUGAAGGUUUCGAGUUCGUGAUUCACAAGGAUGCUGCCAUGGUUUCUCAAACGAUUCGAAACAUGCUUACUUCCCCAGGUUUCCCUUUCUCAUUCUCACUUUCUGUACAUCAAUCCAUUUUUUUGAGGCAUACGAUCUUAUUUUUUUCAAUCCUUGUUUAUGUACGAUGAAUUUGGUGAAAAUUUGGUAUAAUGGGUGUUUUAUUUUGGAUUUUCCCCCCAUGUUUAGGGCUUUGUUUUACUGUUUUCGUUUUCAUGGAUAGGAAAUUUUGCUGAAUCGCAGCAUAGAGAAGUGACUUUUCCUGAGAUUAGUACCACCAUUCUCGAGAAGAUUUGCCAAUAUUUUCACUGGAAUCUUCCAAUUCGCGAGGUUUUCAUUUCUUCUUUAUUAUGUCAAUUUUUCUCUGUUUCUGAUUAAUCUGUGGAAUUGCCUUACUUUCUGGUUAUUUUGCUUAAACUGGCCAUAUUCUGAUGGUUACUAUUUGAAAAUGUAUAUUGUUUAUUGAAAGUUUUGAUGCUUGAAUAGACUUUCUAAGUGCUUAAAAAAGUGCUUUUAGGUGCAAAGAAAGAAAAAUAAUCCUUUCAAGCAACAAACAGUCCUUAGUUUCUCAACCUACCUCACACAAAUUAGUUCUGAAAAAGAUGAGUUAUGGAUGUUAUUGCACUUGUUGCCACCAUUCUUGUCCAUCAUCUCGAAGGGUUAUUAGAGGGUAAUCGACUUUUAGUUUGUUACUUUUGGAAUUUAGUAAAUGUAGUGACAUGGGUCCUAUUAUCAUAAUUUAUUUUGCUAUUUUUGCAAGCAUCCCUUUUUUAAAAUAGAAAACUGGUGUGCAGGACAUCUAAUUCUGCCAUUUGACCUGUGCAGAUUGAUCUUGUUAGUCUGAAAUCUUAGAUUUGUAUAGGAAAAGAAAAUAGAAAUUUUCUGGGAAACUAGAUAGAAUGAAUAGAAAACUGCAGUGCUGUUUAAUCCAGAUUAAUUUGGCCCGUCACCAUCCAUGUUUCUAUAGUUACGUACUUUCUGUAGUUUCUUCUAUAAGAGAGGUCUUGUAGGCAUGGUGAUAAGGACAUGCCUCCUAGAUUAUAAUUUACCUCUCACACCUAUUUGAAGAAUUAUUCAUAAAUGCGUAAACAGAAUUGAGACGGAGUAACCUCUUCUCACUAUUUUGCAACUUGUAACUUCCCAAAGUGUUUUGUUGGCAUGUGGGAGAGCGACAAAUUUUGUAGAAAGUUUUGAUUGACAAGCCUCCUAGACUGUCUCACGCCCAUUUAGAUCAUUAUUCAUCCAUAUGUAAACAGAAUUAGGCUAGAGUAAGCUCUUCUCAUUAUUGCAACUCGCCAGUGUUUCUAUGGCAAGUGGGGGGAGCAUACUUAUGGAUUUAGAUAAAUAUUGUACAAAGGUUUGGAUGGACGAGUGUGUAAAUGUUUUGGUCGUUUGCUCAUUGUUGGACAACAGAUGAAAUUAAACUUUUCAUAUAAACUUAUGUACUUCUCAUUUUCUGGCAAUCUUAUGUGGAAUUAACUGAUUAAAGAUUAUGUUGUCAAUAUUUUACGUGUCCUCUUUAUCUAGUUCGUUCUUGUUUCAUUCUUUAACUCCAUUGUCACUGAUUGAUUUCUUCCUUUUGUCAGUGGGAAAGAGACCGAGUUCCCUAUUGAACCUGAAUUGACUCUUGAGUUGAUGAUGGCUGCCAACUAUCUCCAUACAUGAAAUAUGUAACCUCUAUGCACUCUUCCACCCAUUUGACAUUGUAAGCAGAUGGCAAUUUUAUGUGAUAGAUAUAGAUUUCCUUGACUAAUAGAUUGUCAGUGAAGUUCAUUACAAUACUACUUUUGUCUUUUUUUUUUUUUGGUUUGGGGGGGGGGGGGUCAGGAAUUCAUACUUGUGGAUGACAUUGUUGUUUCAUUUCACUCAUUGGAACUCCGUGUCAACUAUUGAGCUCUGGGAUUCACUCCAUGUCAUUACAUUACUCUAGGGAUAAAUUUUCUCUGCAUUUUUUGUGCUUGGACUAUCUUUUAACUUCUCAAGUUAGAUCAUCAUUUGAAGCUGAGGGUUAAAGAAUCUAUCUGUUGAGUAAUUAGCUAGCUUCUAGUAUACACUUAAAAGCAUCUAUGUUUUCAUAAGGUUUUUAUUUUAAGGAGAUAUUGUUUCAUCAAUCUUCAGAAAUUACAUAUUGGUGAAGUCAUGUGUUGUAGGACUAUAUUUUGGAUGAAAGCAUUGGAUCAACUAACAAACGUUACGAGUGAAAUCACUGUUAUUUCUUUCUAAGAAUAUUCAUUAUAUAUGGAUGGUCCUACGGAUUUAUAUAUUAUAUUUGCAUGAGUGAGAUGCCAAUAACUCGACAUAUGAACAUGUGAAAAUAUGAACUGACAUGCUAAUGAAAUUUUAGUUCAUUUUAAAAUUGCAUGCGUGUCUUCUUUCGUUUAAACAUAUGCCAGAGAUUUAAAAUUUCUAACAUUUUGAUUGGGAAUGUAAACUUAGAAAAAAAGCAAAUAGCUAUUUAUUUAUUAUUAAAUAUUAAUUACUACUUUGGUUAAGUGUGUGUUAAUUUUUACAUCUGUAUAAAAACUUCUUAGGCAAAGAUUUGGUUAAGUUUCCAAAAAAAAAAAAAGAAAAAAACAUUUAAAAAUUAAAGAUUUUAAUAUAUAUAUUUAAAGAAAUUGGAUUUUAAAAUGGGAAAUCUGUAGGGAUGAUCUAAACCAAAUGAUUAGAAUUUAAAAAAAUAGAAUGAUGUUUUGUUGACCUAAGUUUGAGUGAAACUAUCAAAAUAAAGUUUCCUAGGAGGAAAGGUGUGUGUUGUUGGGAGUGAAUAUCCAUGAUUGAACACAAUAUCACUAAAGAAUGGAAUGAGAGAGGGUUGUUGAUUUUGGAUCAUAUAAGAAGAGAAAACUUUGAUUUCAAUCAAGUUGGAGUUGGAGAAGAAGAGAGAAAGAACGAGCAAAUUUAUAACUUCACCUCAAACUAAGAACAAUUGUCAUUUCCGCCCCUGAAAUAGAUUUUUUAAAAAAAUAGAAAGAAAAAGGAAAAGCCUUCCUCUCCUCCUUCUCACGCCUAUCUUCCUUCUCCUCCUACAACUCAUUGCCUCCGCCGCCGUCACAUCCAACUCUCUACACCGUUUUGUUUGCCCCUUUUCCUUUCUCUCCCUAUAUCUCUCUCCGCUGCAGUCGCACGCCGGAAACAUCCCCUUUCAUCUUUCUCUGCUUCAACUGCUCCGGCUCUCGCGACUGCCCAGUUUUUUUCUACUCGUCGCUCACUACCCUACGCAUUCUUCCGCCAAAGACGAAAACCACACUCUAUCUUCCGCUUCGGUCGCUCAGUUCGCAGGGAUAAGUCGUUGCCCAUCUUCAUUUUCUUUCUGAGUCACCAAUUUGUUAACAGGAUACUAUCUGGUUCUGAUGCCUCUCAUAAGUUACAAAACCCUCUCUGCUCUCUUCCUGAAGAAUCGUCUUAUUCCACUAUGAUUUCGGGUGGCAAUAAUUAGAUGGCGAUUCGGUGGUUUUCCAGGUCGAAAUUGCCCGUUUUUGCUUCGGUAUUCCUACAGGGUUUAACGAGGAGACCAAUUAGAGAUGUCCCAUUACCAGUUAAAUCGACGAUCACUGACUUUCAGCCGGAUUCCAGGCGACCCAUCUGGGGAUUCCGGCUAUAUCACGACGGGAGGCCUCGGGGACCCCUUUGGAGAAGCCGGAAAGCAAUUGGUAAAGAAGCACUUUUCGUUAUUCAAGGAUUGAAGAGAUUCAAGGAAGAUGAAGAGAAAUUCGAAAAGUUCAUGAAGAGUCAUGUUUCAAGGCUCUUGAAAUUGGAUAUGGUUGCUGUGCUUGGUGAACUCGAGCGGCAGGAGGAGGUUGCUUUAGCUGUCAAGGUUUAUUUCCAUUUCCUUUUCUUCAAUAUGUUCUGUCGUUUUUGUUGCUCUUUCUGGAUCCUCACAUUCAUUUUAGAUUUUACGUAAUGGGUCGUCUCAGAAAUUGAUAAUUGGCUUCUGUACAUUACACAUAAUAUCGCUCUUGUUUGUUGUCACUGCAACUUAUUUUUCUUGUUAGUUGAUGCUGUGAGUUUUCUUCUUAACUGUGAUGUUAUUGAUGGUUAGUUCCUUUAUUGAAUAACUUUACUAAUGCUGCAUUCAAGGUUCUAUUCUGUUCUUGAAUUUGGAAGAUUAUGUUUCUCAGCUUCUAGCUUCCUUAGUAUGAAUAUGAUGUUCUUGACUUUUUCCCUGCAUCAUUUCAUGGAGCUCUUGUGCAAUUUUUAUUAAAUUUCAAUUAUUUCCUUCUUUAUUCAUGGUAGUAAUCGAAGAAUGCUUAAGGGAGGUCAGAGAGGAAGUAAAUUCGUGUAUUGGGUUCCUUUAAAUGAUAUUGUUAUUUUCGCACUUCGUCUCAAUAGUUUAGCUUGAUUUAUGUCGAUGUUGCUCUUGCAUUCAAAAUUAUUUCUUCCUUUUGAAUACCGUCUUGUUUCUCUCCCGCUUAACUCUGAUCUGCCCCUUUGAGUGCUUAUCAGAUCUACAUCAAAUGUUUCGAAUGAGUUAAAGGUCUCAAAUAUGGAACAUAGUUCAUUUUAGUUGCGUGUGGAAACAUUUUCUUUUACAUUCUUUUUAUCUUCAAGAUUGAAUUGAUUUUACUUUAUUAGUUUCUGGCAAUCUUACAUGCUUGUUGAAAUUUCCAGAUAUUUAGGUUGAUUCGGAAGCAAGACUGGUACAAGCCUGAUGUUUAUAUAUAUAAAGACUUGAUUAUUGCAUUAGCUAGAAGUAAAAAGAUGGAUGACGCAAUGAAAUUAUGGGAAAGCAUGAGAGAGGAAAAUUUAUUCCCUGACUCUCAAACGUAUACUGAAGUCAUCAGAGGUUUCUUGAGAUAUGGAUCUCCUUCUGAUGCAAUGAACGUAUAUGAGGAUAUGAAGAAGUCUCCAGAUCCACCAGACGAGUUGCCAUUUAGAAUUUUGUUGAAAGGUCUUUUGCCACACCCCCUUUUGAGAAACAGAGUAAAGCAAGACUUUGAGGAGCUCUUUCCUGACCAGCAUGUGUUCGAUCCCCAGAAGAGAUAUUCAGCCUACGUUGAUGUAUGUUUUAUGAAACUCUUUUUUCUCUUUAACUCUUUUCUUCCCAAUUAAUGUUGAUUUUUUUUCUUGUAUUCUGAAGGUUGGUAACUUGGUACCACUUAAUAGGCAGUAAUAGUAGCCCCUUUGCCAUUCUAUGCUUCCUUGUGACAUUUAAUAUCUUGUGAGUUUUUAAAUACCAAAUAUUUUUCACUUUUCCAAAAAUAUGGGAAGCGACCAAAACGUGCCUGUGAGUAAAAUUAGCUUGAGAAACCCAAAGAAGGUUGGAUAAGAGUCAGUCAGAUGUAAAACGAGUCAUGUGGAUAGUAGUUGAGUUGGAGCUGAGAACGCUCUUAGUCUUAGGAAUUAGGAUUCUCUUGGGAAGAGGAUCAAUCAAGUGAGUCGUGUUAUCCUUGUGUUUAGAACUUGAUACUAUCCUCUUCCAGCCCUUUAAAUGAAAUGCAGCAAAACUAAAGGAAGGAAAAUUCAUAGAUCAACACCAUCGUCUCCGCUCUAUGGAAACUACAUACUGCAAGAUCACCUGGUGUAUGUCUUCAAUAUAUAGGUUAUGAACCAACCAUAGAGUUCUAUUCGACAGGUGAGGAGCUUAUCCUUCACCCUCCCAUUUUGUGUUAAAGGGCGUUUUUUUGUAACAGACUGGGGUAUAUGCUAUUUUGUUGGGGCUUUGUGGAGUGGGACAAUAGAAUGUUCAAAGGUUAGGAUAGUUUUUCAAACGAUAUUUAGUCCCUCAUUAGAUUCUCUUUUUCUGAACUCUUCGUAAGUUGUAACUAUUUGCCUAAUUGUAUUGCUCUAGGCUGGAGUCCUUUGUAGCUUGGCGUGUAUUCUGCUGUUUAUUCAUAAUGAAAAGUGGAAUGCAUUGGUUGUCCGCACUUUUGUUGGUUUAGUAGAUUCUUUUGGAAGAGUACACCAAUGUAGAGUUUUAUUAAAUGUAAAAAGUGUUGUAACAAUAACAAAUCGACCUUUAGCAUUUUAUCUUGCAUGGUCUUGUUUUCAAGUACUUCAUUGGCCCUGAAUUCAUCCUAACAUUCUAUACAUCUGAUCUUUCUCUUUUUCUCUUUUUAAAUUACGCUUUAUUUCAGUGAACUAACAUGACGGUUUGUCAACGAACAUUAUUCCGGUUUCCUGAUCUUUUCCCUGCUGAAGCUGAAAACAACUAAGUGUGUGAAGCUUGACGAUAUGAAACUGCAAGGAGAUGGGACUGUUAUUGAUGACAUUUCUCUGGACCCGCAUCAACUUGGGAUGCAAAGAAGAAGCGAAGGAGAUGGUGAAAAUACCAAAACUUGAAUCAAAUGUAGGUGUUCAUUUCUGUUUUUAGAGAGUGCAGUUUGUUGAGGAUCAUUGCCCAGAAAAUUUCUAUUCAACUGACGAAUCUGAAUGCUACAAAGAAACUCAUAUGUGUAACUUAUCCUUCCAGCUUUUUAAAAUCUUAAUUUUACUCUUUUUCAAGUUUAUUAAAUUAAACCCUUGUGUUAAUUUUAAUGCAAGUCAUAAAGUUCAAAGGCAUAAAGUUGAGAUUUGGAAGUCAAUUUGAGUAUACUUUAGGUAUAUGUAAUCAAGAUUAGAUUCAAAUCUUUUUGUUUCCUAAUCAUCAGAGAAAUUACUCAUCUUGAUUUUUGCGAUGAUUUUUUAAAAUAAAUGUUUAGACAAUUUUUUAAAAAUAAAAGUACACUUUUUUUCUUUACAAAAUUAUGUAAAUUUAGAAUUUUUUUUAUUAAAAAAGUUGCAUGAUGUUAAAUAUUCUUUCCUUUCUUACCAUCAAAACACAAACUAUGUAACUUGACACUUAUCAAAUCUAUAUUCCAUACUCUUAACUUAUUAAAAUCAUGUAACAAAUACAUUUUUUUAAAAAAAUUUAGAUAUGGAACUCUCUACAAACAAUUGAGUUGUGAAAAUUUAUUAUUAAAAAAGAAAUGGAAUAUCUUCUUCAAAUAAAUAAAUAAAUUUUUAAAAAAAGUGAAAUAUGUAUAGUUAGGUUAUAUCCCUCAAAUCUUUGUUUCCAUUAUUGGUGGGGAUGAGAUUUGAGGGAAGAUGCUAUGUUCCCCCACACCAUAAAUAUCUUAUAUUCCAAUUAUAUUCUUCCUCAUCCUCUUUUUUUUUUUCUUCUUAAAGUAAAUUAAUUGGACUUCUUUUAAUAAUAAUAAUAAUAACAACAAUAAUAAAUGUAAAAAUCAAUAAUUGAUAAUAAAAUAAAAAUAAGAUUCGAAUGCAAAAGUUUCAAUAAGAGAGUGGGCGUGCCGGAGUGGUUAUCGGGCAUGACUAGAAAUCAUGUGGGCUCUGCCCGCGCAGGUUCGAAUCCUGCCGCUCACGUUUUUAUAUUUCUUUAGCCUUAAACUCUUCUUUUUCUCAACAAAAGAUUCCUUUAGUAUAUAGAAGUUGCCAAAAACAUUUGAUUUAUAGAUAUUUUGUGCAUAUCUAUGAUUGAUUCCCAUUCCCUCUCCCUCUCUCAUUACUAAAUUAUUUAGAGAAAACUUAAAUAUGACAUACCAAUAUCUAUUUUUCUAAAUGCUUUUCUCAUCAUAUCCAAUUUUUUAUUUCAAUUUAGGUUACUAUAAUGUAUCACUUGGAUGAUUGAAAACAAAAUGAUAUUUUUCUUAAAACUUUAAAGUUAAAAUAAUUCGUAUUGUGCUAAUUUAAAUUUAAAAGAAAUUUAAGCGAACCUUAAUGAAAUUAAUAUUUUGAAAUUGUAAAGUAGUAUUGAUCGGUAUAAUGUAAAUAGUUGAUUUUAGGUUUAAAUACUAUUUCAGUCCUUCAACUUUGUCUCUUGUUCUAUUUUAGUUUUUGACAUGUUUUUUUAGUACUCUCUAAGUUUUUUAAAGUUGGUUUUCACUGGUAGAAUUUUAUUAGCUUUUCAAUGGAAUGAUGAAGUGACUUCUAAAUUUGUGGGUUGAUUUAACGUUGUAGAUAAUAAGAUUGGAUGAAGAAGAAUAAAGAGGGAAGAUGGGAUAGUAAGUAAGUGGAGAUUAGGAAGAAAGGAAAAGCAUAUCAUUCCUCAAAUCUCAUAUCCUCACCAAUAAAUAAAAUCUCUAAUGAUCCUAAAUUAAAUCAUUUUUAUUUCAAUUGGAGAAGCCUUUUAGAUUUCUAUUGAGUAUGGCUGAAAAAGAAAAUCCAAAUGCCAAAUGCCCUAAGAAGAUAUUGAUUUUCAUUUUUAGUAAGUUUUCAAUGUUUUAAAUUCGAUUUUGGUUCCUAUACUUUUUGCUAUUGUUUCUAUAUUUUUGAAAUGUUCGGUUUGGUUUCUAUAUUUUUAACUUUAAUUUUCUUUUUCUUUACUUUUAAAAGGAUCGUUUUUUACUUCCUACUUUUAAUUUUUGUUUGUUUGGUUCUAGUAAUCUAAAAACGAACAAAAAUAGUUUUUUUUUUUUUAAAGUUUAAGAUUAAAAAUUUAAAAUAAUCACACUUAAAUGCAUGAGAAUCAAUGUUAACCCAACAAUGUAGAAAAAGAAUUAAGUUGAAAGUAUUUAAAUAAAAAAAAAGACGAAAAUGAAUCAAAUCCAAGAAAAAUCAGUGUGGCCACGUGCCCAAGACGACAUCCUCAAAAUAGGUUAAUUUUUAAAAUAAAACAAAAUAAGAGUCUCCACCAAUAUUUUUUUGCUGAUUGGACAUCAAAAUAAAAUAAACAAUUUUUAAAUAUAUAUAAAAAAAUAGUUUGUGAAAACCAGAGAUGAUUUCUGAGUUAUUUGUGUACGAGAAAGGUGUUAGAACCCAUAAUAUCCAUUUAAAAAAUUAUGGCCUAAUUUCAAAUCAUACUUGAAAAUAUUAUUUAUUUUUUUAAAAAAUAAUAUCUUAUUUUAUCUCUGGUUACUCUAAUAUUUGAAGUAAUGAUCAAAUAAAUAAAUAGAGAGCAUUUCAUCACUUAUAUGAUAUUGAAGAAAAUUUUCACUUAGGAAUUAGUAUAAUUUCUCAAAUUUUCUCACUUACAAAUUAGUAUAAUUUCUCAAAAUUCAUCAUUGGAAUAAUAGUCUCUAAUUCUUAUGCAAUUAAUUUUUUUUCAAACUUUUAUUUGGUACACGUCUCUUAUUUGGUUCAAGAUCGUGUACCAAAUAUAAAAGAUUAUUUUUUUUUCAAACUCUUAUUUGUUGUUUAGAUUGUGGAAAAAAUAUAAAAGAUCGUGAAAAAAAAUCAUUGGGAUAUUGAUAGCCAAAUCUAAUACAAAAAGAUAGCUUAUAAAUGAUCGUGUACUAAAAACUCUUUAAAAAAUUGUUGUUUUGAUUUGACUCUCCAAAUUUAAAAGAUCAAAUUUAAAUGAUCAUGUAUCAAAUCUAAAUGAUUGUGUAAAAAAAAAAACGCUAAAUUUAAACGAUCGUGUACCAAAUAAUCUUUAAAAUUUAAACGAUCAAAUGUAAACGAUGUACCAAAUAUAAAAGAUUAUUUAAAAAAUUAUUUAGAUUCAGAUUUGAUCAAAGCCAAAUAUAAACUAUACUCUAAGAAAGAAUAGCCAAAUCUAAACUAUCAUUUUACUCUAAGAAAGAAUAGCCAAAUCUAAACUAUCAUUUUUCAAAUACUAAAAGAUCGUUUUCGAAAUAUAUUAUGCGUGCUGGAUGCCAAUUAAUUGGAGCAUUUUUUAAAUUUCCUAUUGUGAGCAUGUGAACUAUUUUUCAUUUUCCAAAUGGUUCUAUACCGCGUAAAAUUUUUAUCACUUUGUUAUAUUUUUGAAAAGACCCAACAAAAUAAAAAGAAGAAAUAAAUUUCAACCACUAAACUCACUUUUGUUUAAAGUGUGGAUUAUUGAGACCAAAACCCUACCAUACACUUUUAAUUAAGCUAGAGUUUAUUUUGUGGCACUCUAUAGAGUUUUUGUGAGAAAGAUGGAGAUUUAGAGAGUUGGUAGAAGAGAAAACAAAAUGAAUGUUGUAGAUCUCUUGAUUUUUUCUAAGAAGGUGAAGGCAAAAAGAAAGAGUGGUUAUCGAGGUUAGAGGUUUGGACGAAGAAGAAGGGAGAGAGAGAGAUUGUGUAAAAAUCUUUAGGAUGUUUUUGUGUCCUUCCCAUGGAUGAAGAAGAAAGAUUAUAGCUUCAUCAAAUGACUAAAAAUUCAAAUUGCUAAUUCUUUUGAGUUUGAAAUAAUACCACAUUUCACUUCAAAAUUGCUAAUUAUUUAAAAAUGUUACAUGGUAUUGGUAUGAUUGAUGGGUAAAGUACAACCAAUUUAUUCUACCCCACAAAGCAACCAAUUAUCACUUUUACAUGAAGUUGAAUGUUGAAAAAUGAGACAUAUUGAUUUGAUGAAAUUGACAUCUCAAAUUCCAAAAAUCACUCUUCAUCUUUUCAUCUUUUAAUUUCCACCCAUCAAUUCUAAAAUUUCCACUUUUUAACCCAUAAUAAUUCAUAUUUGACUUUAUUAAAUUCACUUCUCACGAUCCUAAGAAAUUUUGAUCCUUUUAUUUUCAUAUCAAACUCUCAAUGUUUAUUUGUCUUAUCUAAUUUUUAAUGGGACUACGGUAAAUUAUAUUUUACACCUUUGUCAUCUAUAUUUGAAAAUUUUUAAUUUCCGUUGGUACAACUUUUUCUAUUUUCAAAAUUUACGCCUCAAACUUCUAUUAUUAUCAAGAUUUCAAAAUGUUUUUCAUUUUCAUCCAUAUUUCAUAGCCAAAAUUUCAGCUUGGUUUCGCCUUUCACAAAGAAGAAAAUGAAAUUGAAACGAUUCUUUCCCAUUUUCAUGAUUUACCAGAAGAAAAUGUGGAUCACCUUUAGGUAAGAUCACGCUUGCUUGCUUGCUUUGACUAAUCGAUCAAUGGCUGAUAUUAAUGGACUCGACCUUUUCAAUUCCUCUUUUUAGUUGUUAGUAAAGUUUUAUUUUCAAGAUAUUAUUUCUCAUCGAUUGCAUUAGAGUGGUUGCCGAGUGGCUUCAUGUCUCUCUCAACUAUGAUUGAUGGCUUUUUUUUUCUUUUAAUAUUCUUCAUCAAAAUAUUUUCUCAAUGUAAUCAUGGAGAAACGACCAAACAAACAAAUCCCCACAACCCCUUUUUAACAAGUUGCUUUGUUCUUCAACUUGUACCACCUCUCUGGCUCUUAAUUUCAUUUCCCUUAUCCAAAAAUUCGUACUGUUUUGUAUUUUGAUUUUAUUUCUUUUGGGAGUUUUAAUCAUAUCUUAAUUAAUGGACUGGUUUGAACGAAUCUUCCUUUCUUUUUCUUCAUGUCUCUUCUCUUGAGAGCCCAACUUUUUCUUUCUUUCUUCCUUCUUUUUUUUUGGGGGGGGGGGUUCUGUAGACUGUAAUGGAAUAUGUUUGAACCCAUGGAAUCAUUUUAGUUAGAUAGAUCAGAUAGUUUGAUGGCAUCGGAAUCAACUGGGAUAUUGAUGAUUUAGGGAGUUAAAACGGUUGAUUUCUUCUGUUUUGGAUAUGGAAAGGGGCAUAUUUUAGAGAUGAUCUUAUCCUAUCACCUGCUAUAUACAUGUGGGAUUGAAACCCCAUUUGAGUCUUUCUGUCUAUUUUACUUUCAUUGUCUCUCAUAAGUCAUAUUCAAGAUGGAGUUGAAGAAAACCACAGUUAGGGAUUGCCAUUGGUUGUGUGUGGGGAAGAAGAGAAGCUGGGUCAGAUAAUAUAAUGAACAUAAUUGUGCUUGUGAAUUUGCAUUAUCCAUUAAAGAACACGUGGCACAACAAGAUAUAUCCAAUUAGGAUCACAUGUGGACCACACUUGGCACUUAUCUUCCUAUGUUCUCACAGGAAGGCAUGGAUGAUAUUAUUAUUUUUGUAUGCAGAGACUAGAAAGUGAAUGAGGAAAUUUCCAAAAGGAAAUUCCCAAAUAAGAUCUUUCUUAAACUAAUUUGAAGGAGGCGGCUUCUCUUUCUUUUUUCUAUUCUAUUCUUCUUUUUCCCUACUAGUGAUGAUGGCACAUAGGUGACAAGGCAACGGCCAUUUCCUUCUUCUUAUAAAUACUGAGUUGAGGAGUCAAUUUAGACAUAUCUCAUUCAUAGCAGAUUAGCUGAUUCAGUAGAUCUUUACAAGCAUAUUUUCUUGCUUUCAUUUCUUACUCUCAAUAGGGAGUGGUGGAAAAGGAGAGCAAUUUUGUUUGGUAAGAAGGAAAGAUUGAGAAAAAAUGGAGGGAAAGUCUAAAGGGUAUCAAGCCUCCUCUUUCGUUGCUGAUCUUUUUGAUGUCAAGGAGGCGCCAUUGUCUUCCGCAUCAGGUGCUUUUGCAACAAUCUUUCCAUCUCCACAGAAGGUAAUGCUGCUCUUUUUGAACUGCUCCGUUUUACUUAGAACUCUCUCCUUUUCAAAUAUGUUCAGAUUUUGUCGUAGAAUUCCAAAUGACUUGGAAGAGAAAACAUACAUCGAGGUGUUAAGUGCUGAGUUUUUAGAAGUUAUAUUGCAUAAUGCUAAGAGAAUGAUUUUGAAACUUAUGUAGCAUUUUCUGAAGUUCAUUGCAUAAGGGCCCCCCUACCAUUUUUUGCUUAUUAGCAAUGAUGAUAUAUGUUUGUCCUGAAUUCCCACUUUGACUACUAUUGCAAGUUUUGUUGCAGGAAUCUCGUGUAUAUUUAUUCCAUUUUAAUUCUUAUAUUCCCAAAUCUUCCGUUCUGAUCCUUAAACUUUUACAAAUCUUCUUCAAUUGAUAUAAUUAUAUUUAGCAGAGAUCUUUUGCAUCCGUCAAAACGUCUUGUAUCAAACUUAACUGAUGUGGCACAGGAUUUGAGUCUGCAUUUGUACUGAAAUGUAAUAUGAAAAGUUAUUGUUAAGGACUAAAAUGAAAUUUUACUUCAAAAAUAAAAUUGGAUGUUCAAGCUACAUGGAGGGACCGAUGUGAAGACUAGAAUAAGACUUAUACAUGUUAUUCGUUUAUGAACCUGGAUGGGGUUCCGGUGGCAAGUGCCAUGAGCCAUUGUCAAAGCAUCACUUUUUUUAACACUAUUAUUUUUCUAAUUUUCAGGGAGCAGGUAGGAAUUCUUCUAGCUCUGUGGAUUGGCUAAAACAGACCAAUGGAAGUCAACCACAUCACACCCGACAAGGGAAUUCAGGUGUGUGAAUUGAAAUACAAAUCCUGUUAAAUUCAUGGACAAAAGGGUACGAUAUCCAAAUUCACAGAGAGUUAUGGAUCUUUUAAAACCAUUUUAAAAAAAUCUAUGAGAAUGCCAUUUCUAAAAUUCCUAAACUAGAAGAGUAUAGUUUGUAACUACUUCUAAUGAUAGGAAAGGGAUAAGGGCAAAGAGUGCAAGGUACCGUGAAAAAGAAAUAAAAACCACAGGAGUAUGAUCCUCAAUUUUAGAAUGUUCCUAAGAAACAAGAAACCUAUGAUCCCUAACAAAAAUCAAAUCUGAUAAUUUCAAGGAGGGAGCUUGGAGCCUUGUCAUCUGAGUUCAUCUCUAUACUAUGGAGGACAAGAUGGGUAUUCUCAGGCCACAUCAGCUGGACCAUCCCCACUUCCACCCCCACCCCACACUGUGAGUAUACUUUAACAUGAUCCAAAUUGAUUUCAUCAGACUGAUCCAAAACUGAAAGUCAAACUGAUUGUUCUUCUGUUGUUGCCAAUUCAUUGAUGACCCAGAUGAAGAAAAGUGGGGGUCAACAAGAUGAUCCAAAUGGAAACAACUCUCAACCUGCUUCUAGGGGAAAUUGGUGGCAAGGUACUAAUAAUAUAAUGGACGAAGUUGUAGGAAUCUGUUGACUUAUCUGUUUUAGUCUCUGAUUUCAAAUUCUUUUGUAGGUUCUCUUUAUUAUUAGAACGUCUACCUUGCCUUGGUAGCGCAUGAAUUCCCACCUAUUUUCUAAGGUAUGUCUGAUGUCGUUGAUUACUUAUCUUAUGAUGUAAUUUUGUCUACAUAUAUGUAUAUUUCAAAGUCUUUUUGUUAGUUACGAUAACUCAGAUUGAAUUUGAGAGGUUCAUGCAAUGAUGCUUGCGUUUACUUACGUCCUGUGAUUGAAUGUCCUUGAAAUACUAGAAUCCACAAUCAGUGACAUUGGUUGUUUGAAAGUGAAAUAUCUAACUGAGCUUGAUUCGAUUAGACUAAGGUCCACCAAGAACUGGACUUGCCUUUCUUAGUUAGAAGUUGAUUCCAUGAGCUGGGAGCAUAAGAGUUAUUUUAAGCAUAGAGAAUCAACUGGGACCAACGUUGUUAAACUUCCAUCGCCCUUGUAUUCAGUUUUCACCCACUUGAUAUAAUGUGAAAGCUUAAAACCUGCUUCCUUGUAGCCCCACUAAUAUACCAAAUAAAUAGGAAAUUUCAGACAUUUAGUCAAAUUAUCAUCUAAUCUAUGAUUUAAUUUAUUAAAUCCCAUGACUUUUCUAUGUCACUGUUGUGCGAAGGUAUAGGAGUUGUUUGGUAAAGUUGUUUCUUAUUUUUGAUGUUUUAGAUAUACGUAAUUUAAUGAUGUUUCUUGUUUUAUUUUUGCUCUCUUUUAGAUCAUGAGAAACAAGGUUUUCCUAUUGAAUGUGAAAAAUUAUAAACAGAUGCAUAAAAUAUAAAACUAUUUCUCAAAAAACUGUACCUCAAACUUUCUUCCCUGAUUUGCGCGUCGAUAUUGGAUGGUGUACAAAUACAAGACUCUUCAUAACCCGAGUAUAGCUUAGGGGAUUCGGAAUUAAUGACUAUCCUUGGUUGAUGGUUGGAUCUUUCAAGUCUGCAAUAGUUAAACUUAGAGAAGAGGAAAAAAAAAAAAAAAAAGAUAGAUACAAAGACUCUUUGUUUGCCUUAAUAUCCAAGAGAAUCGUUGAAUUUUGCCCAUUCCUCCUACUCCCACUACCUAUUUCUUGGCUUUGUGGGAAAAAGAAAAUCUAUCAUUUCUUUCCAUCCAUAUAUUCUUUAGUGUUUGGUUUAAUAGCAUUGACCAAUAGAAUCUUUUCCUUUUGCUUUAAAGGAUGGAUGCAAAGCAUUUGAACCAUAUUUCCAUUUGAACACAUUUAUAUGAGAGAUACCGAACUCCUCAUGGUAUAAGGAAAAAGGAUUAAAAGAUGAUCCAAUUCUUAUGUUUUAAUAAUGUUUCUACAAUUAUAAAUAGAUCUCACGGAAAAAGGUAGAAUUCUUUUCAUGUUUUUCAACUUUUCGAGACAUGUCUAACACUAUAUCAUAUCAUUUCUUAUUACUUCCAAAAUGUACAACAGAUGUAAGAAAAAAGCUUAGAUGGCAGUAAAAUUUUCUGUCUUUUAGCUUGAGACGUUCCAUUUUUGUUCGAAAUUUGUAAGUGUUCGAGCUAGCUUGCACAGGACAAACCUCUUGAUUCUACGACAUUUUAGCGUCAAAGAAAUUUAUUGGAUAUUAGAUUUAGGUAGGUGGCUAGAAUUGAACACUCCCUAUUUAGCUUUAAUCUUGAACAAUCGGGUUUUUAGGGGUAUUGAGAGGAGGGAUUCUAGAGAGUUACGGUCCCUUGUGAGAUGUUUUCCAUAGUUUUUUUCUUUGCAGUUAUUCUAUAGGUACUAUUUCGUAUAGCUGGGACCCCUUCUUGUAAAGAGAUUCCUCCAACUUGAAAUCAUGGGUUGGGCCGUUUGUUGGUUUGAGGUAGUAGGCUCUUUAAUUAUGGGAUGCGAUGCGAUGGUUUGAGGGUGAAGCGAGCUGUGUGGGCAAUGGGACAAUUUGUAUUAUGCAACACAUUUUAUUUUUGUGGUUGGUUUGGUCUGUUUUACUCUGUUCCUCUAUCGGCUUACAUUUCUGUUCAACACAUUUUGUAUUUGUGGUAUCCUUGAAAUGGCUUAGUUUUUUUCAAUGCAGGAAUUCAUAAAAAGCAGCAGAGCACAGAUGAAGCUUUGAAGUUGGGUAUUUGUUUUACAUUACAUAUUGUGUAUACCAUUUCAAAUUUCCUGUUUGGUUUUUACUUACAUUUGAAAAUGGUGUGGAGUUCUCUGUAUUUUCUUUUCUCUGAUUUCUCUUAUAUUAAAAAAGAAAAAAAAAAAGAAGAAAGCUUUGCUGUUUCUCUUAUGUUUUGCUGUCUUUGGUGAAAAGUUUCUCAUAAAUAAUCCUUCUAAAGAAUUCCACUUAAUUCAAAUGGUUAAAAUUCAACCAUGAAUACUGUCAAAAAUAUAUAUAUAUAUAUAUAUAUAUAUACACAUAUAUAUAUAUAUAACUUGGUUAUAAUUAUAACCAUUUGAAGUGAAUGACAAAUUUAGAGUUUAAAAAGUAGAAAGGAAGUUAUUUUGAAGUGAAUGACAAAUUUAGAGUUUAAAAAGUAGAAAGGAAGUUAUUCAUUGUGUAUCUACUAUCUACUCAGAUAAGUUUUGAUGUUUUAAUUAAUUUAUAGUCUUGAUCUCACCAAUCUAUAAAAAAGAUACUCCAUUUGACGUGUAACCACCUCAAUUCAUACCCUCAUAAAGUGAGAAAAUUAUAUAAUUUAUUAGUUGAACAUAUUUACGCUCUUAAAUUAUGAUGUUUCAUAUUUAUAGUUGAGAUCAACAUUUGAACACACAAUGAUUUUCUACGAUUUCUUACCGACUUGAAAAUUGAAUCAUAAACUAAUACGAAACUAAGGUCGCAGAAGCUGUCACAUUUUUACACAUGAAUUUACAACUUAAAAGCUUUUAUAAGUUACAUACACACACAGACGUAUUCUUGUAACCACAAUGAAGCAUUUAACUAAAUUAUUUUUUUUUAAAAAAAGUAAACAUUAAUGUAAAAAAAUGAAAAAAUGAAUGCUAGCGCGUGAAGGCGUGAAUAACAAGCGCGAUGUAAAUGAAAAGCGCCAAAGGAACCAAGCUCACCAACGGCACGGCGGCCGCCACCGUCUCCCACCUCCGGCAACCGAAAACCCCCAGUUUUAUCUGAAUCAAAUUCAGCAACGCCGCCACCAAAAACCCACACCCGAGAACCGACCCAACCGCAGACGCCAUCAUCCCCACCCUCAGCGCCGGUGCGUGGGUCUCACCCUGCCCACCAUCACCGCCUGUGAUGAGUCUGAUUGCUUGCUUCAGCGCCGACGCGAUUAGGCUGGAGAACAAGAAGCAGCUGAAAGAGUAUACAUGGCAGGCUAUGAGAUUUUCGGCGACAGAAUCGGCAGCAGCGCAAGGACCGUCGUCGUCGUCCGGGAGGAGAUUGGCAGCCGGGUUGGCGGUGGGGUACCACGCCACGCCAAGGAAAACGGCGAAGGUGAAGAGGGAGUUGACGUUAACGAUGCCGUCGAGGGCGAGGAUGUGGAUUCUGGUGGAGGUGGAUCGCCGCCGUGGAACGACGGACAUGGCGGUGGUAAAUGAUGUUAAUAAUAAUAAAAAAGAAUCUUUUUGUUAAAAAAAUAAUUAGGAAGGUAUUAUAAUAAAAAAGAAAAAAGAAAAAGGAAAAAGGAAAAAAAAUUGGUAUAAUUAUUGGGGUAAGUGUUUUCUUGAAAGCAAUUCUAAAGAGUGGCGUCCAAGUAAGAAACAUGUCGGAAUCCCCAAUACUCUUUAUUUAUAUGUUCAUUUGUUUUGUCAACCAAAUUUAGGUAUUUGUAAUAAAUCCUAAAUAGAGUAAAAUUUGAUUAAUUAGUAAACGAUCAACUUUAUCGUGUUAUAGAUUUACACUCGAUCAAACUAUUUCUCACUCAAUAUAUUUUUGAGUUUAGGAUUAGAACUUAUAAAUGGUCUUGUAAAUCCUUUGUAAUUAUCAUUCAUACAAGCCUUCUAAUGACUAGAGAAAUUAAAAAAUUGUAAUAAAGCUUGUGGUUGAAAUUUUAAGAUUUUUAAAUGAAAAUUUCAAAUUUCUCAUCUUUCCACUUGUCUUUUAAGUGAUUGACUGUAAUUUAAAAUAAUAACAAAAUAAAAUAAUUGGAUUGUUCAACCAAUAAUAAUAUAUUACUUUAUUGGUUGGACACAUCUCAACAUUUCAUUAAUUGAAAUAAAUUAAUAUUUAAGUUUUAAGCUUUAAGCUUUUGACUGUUGAGUUUUUUUUUUCUUUCUAAAUUUUCUCUUGUGUGUUUGUGUAUAUAUUUAUAUAUUAUUCUAUCCCAUGUUUAGAAAUGUUAUAGGGCCACAUUUCACCACAUCAUAUGCCAUGUCAUCAAUUCUGCCAUUGGAGCUGCCACAUCAUUAGACAUGUGUGCAAGUGGCUUCUUGACCAUCCACUUGCCAUGUGCCACAUUCUCAAUUUCUCUGUUUGCCACAUUCUUGUUUCGGGCAUAUAACAUUGAGUCAUUGAAAUUAUGUGUGAAUCGUUGUUUGAGCGCUACACAAUACACUCUUCAUGAACACUAAAAUCAUUAAUUGAUCAAUUUGAGGUUAACAACGACCAAAGAAGCCAACACCAUUUAAAUUUUUUUAUAUGUUUGAAACGUUUUGUAACUGUUUUUCCACUUAAUGUUUUACGGUUAUUUUUCAAUUAACAUGUUAAGGUUUUUUAAAUUGAAAUAUCUUGUUUUGUGAUAAAAAAAAAUGGUUUUGACAUGAGUGUUUUGUAAAAGAUGGAGGUGUCUCUUCAUAAAUAUAGAUUUUCUUGGCAUAUGCUUCUUUUUUGUCAUUAUAUUUUUUCGAGCAAAGUCUUCUUCAUUCCAAUAUUUUCUCACAAAUGUUGGUAUGCUAAGAGUGUUGUGGCACAACAGAAUAAUUGAUUUGUUAGAUAAAUUUGUGUUUUAAAAAAUUGAUAAUUGAACAACACAACAAUUGAUCAUUUAGACACUUUGAUCUACAAUGACUACCAGACAAGUUCUAGAAAUAUAUCUAUAGUGUUGUAUUUAUAAGAAAAUAAACCAAGGAUUUCUUUUCUUUUUUUUUUUCACGAAAAAGGAACCAAACCAACAACUAGAGAAGGUAUAGACUAGGGCCUGCAAAAAGCAGACUCAACGAGGAAAUUAUAGGUUUCACAAAACCACCUUAUUCUUCGGGAUCUAGCCAUGUCAUUUACUUUUAGGUCAAAACUUCAAUUAAACUUAAAUUCUGACAGAGUACAACUCAUCCUAUCUUGAUUUUACCCUUGAUAUUUAUUUUAUCCUUUUUGGCUCUAUCUCUUCAAGUCAAAAUAAUUCAAAGAAAUAUAAAAUUGGCUUUUACGUAAAAGAAAAUCCAAACACUUAACGUUCACAAUCAAGUAUAUUCGUGAAUUUAAAAAAUAAAGUGAAAUAUACAACCAAAAACCUAAGAUACACACGACAAAAACUCAUAGACAUCAUAUUGUAACAAAAUUGAAUAUUUAAAAUUCUCGAAACACUAUCAUUGUUUAACGAUUAAAUGAAUAGAAUAGUAUACUCAAGGUUGAUUGGCUAACUUUUAUAGCCAAAUCUUUUAAUUUUAGUUAGUGGUUCAUUAUAUUGACCAUUGCUAAAAAAGAUAGUGGGCGUGUGGAAAUAACACAAAGGGCCAAAAAAAGGAAACCCCAUUUUCUCAAAGAAUUAGCUUAACCACUAAUUAAUACAAAGAGAAGAAAAAGGUACAUAAAAGUAAGAAAGUGUUCAAAAUUAAAUUGGAUCAUUAGCAAUGGCCACUUUGACUUGCAAAUAGAUUCUUCUACACACCAUGAACAUUACCAACCAACAAUUUGGAUGUUGAUUAGGCUAAUGGGAAACUUUAAUUUUAAUUUAGAAAAAUCAAUUUUAUAUUUUUACAAAACAACAAUCUCCCUUAGUUGUCUCGAAACGUUUUAGACAUACCAAACAAUAUAUAAAAACGUUUAAUUUAUAUGAAUAUUGUUAUGAUAUUUCGAGAGGAUAGUACUCUUUACUAAUUGUAUUAUAAUGCAUGUUAUAACAAUUCAAGAGUAUUUAUAUUUUAACAUUUGUAAAUUUGAAAGAAGUGUUUUAUUCAAUUGGACGAGUUUAUACAUAAUUCUUCCAUAUCUACUCUAGAUUUUGUCUUUACUUUUAUGAUUUAACUUGCAAUUUGAUUUUUCUUUUUUUACAAAACUCAACGUUGAUAUUUAGGGUUAGGGUGGUAAGGUUGCCGAAUCCAUCAAAUUGUUAUAUAGAAUCAUAUAUCGUUUAUUUAUGACAAUAAAUAAGAGAAGUUUCUAGUACUCCUCCAUACACACAUGUACUUAUAUUCAUGUACUUAUAUUCUAGGACAUUUAUAUGUAUAUAUAUAUAUAUGUCAUUCUAUAAAGUUAUUAGAAUUAAUUAUUUGUACACACUAAGCUCUAUCUAAUGCCCUCUUUUUUCAAUUUACACUAUGUACUUUAUUCUCUAUCAUUUAGCUAUUAAGUACAUAUUAUUAUUACAAAAAGUAACUCCGUCCUUUAUAAAUUAGUUGUCCAAACUCAAAGAUUUGGACAUUCAACUCUAACCUAAAAACCUUAGGUACUCAAUUUUAAAAAAUGAUUGCAACAUCUUUUAUCAUUUUAACACACACACAUAUAUAUAUAUUAUGAGCACUAGAACAUAUACUUUUUUGGAUUUUCAACUUUAUGCUAUGUGAUAAUAAUAUAAAAGACUACCUUAAUUAUGGAGUUCAAAAAUCAGUUAAAAGAGAAGUUAUAAUAAUUAUUAUUAUUAUCAUCAUUAUUUUGUUAAUUUUAGUAUGUUUUUUCUGUUAGCUUUGAAAUAAUUGUGAAUGAAACUUUAAAAUUGAUUUUAAUGGGUGAUAAAAAAUCAACGAAAAUAAUUAAUUGUGACUCUCUUGAAUUAAUUAGUAGACAUCAACACCGAACGUGGAAAGUAAUAGCUAAGAAUAUGAUUAAUUAAGAGUGUAAGUGUUGAAGAAGAGAAGACAAUAAAUUUUAUUUUAAAGAAUUUUAAGGAUAAAUUGAAAUUGAUUUCUUUUAAAUCAAAUAUUCAUGUGCUCACCAUUGAUAAUUUAACAAUAGAAAAGGCCAAAAAAAAAAAAAAAUCUAUUUGAAUUUUAUAAUUGUUUGGAUGAAACUAUCUUUGAAUCUCACAAUUAUGAUGUUUAUAUUCUUUUCAAAAAAAUUAAAGACUGAUUUUUACUAAAAACAAAAUAUGAAUCAAAAUUAUGUAUUUCAUCCAUUGUGGUUUUCUUUUAUAAAAUGAAUAGAAUCAAUUAGUAUGACCACUGCUUGAAUUUAAGAAUCAUUCUUAAAAACAAAAUGAAUCUUAUUCCUUCCACAACUUUAUCAAUACGAGUCCCAUAGUAUUCUUAAAAAAAAGUGUUCAAAAGAAAUGAAAAAGUUCAACAAAAAAAGGUACAAAAAAAAGAUCUACGAGUUCAAUUUUUAUAAAGAAAAAAUAGUUGACAUAAAGGUCCAAACCCUAUCAUAUGAUUUUAUGAUGGGUGUCGAGAUAAAGUUACCUCGGUACAAAUACGCAUUACUAGAAGAAAAAAAAAGUAUAAAAUCGAACUAUUCCAAGUAUCGAAUUUUGAGAAAACAAAGUUUUCUAACAUUGAAAACAUGAGGCAAAAGAUAAAUGUAAAAGCAGUGACAGAUCCAAAAAUUUUGUUGACAAAAUUUUAUAAUUCAGUGAAAAAAAGAAGCGGGAUUUGAAAUUAGGUCUAAAAAGAGCUAGAUGACAAUCUUACCGCUAGAAUAGAUACUGAUAUUAGUAUUAUUACAACUUACAUUUAAAAGAAAAAGGAAAUUCAAAUAUGGCUAUCUAUACAAAUCAAGUAGAAUACGACUGAAAUGUUUCGACAACCUAUCCUAAUCGACACUUUAAAUCGUGAGUCAAGUUCAACACUUGUUCGGAUAAAAAAAAAAAGAAAAAGGAAAACUAAGUUGUAACUUUCGGUAGAUUGCAUUUAUGAAAAAUCGUGUUGAAUCGAACCUGUUGAAAAUUGAAUCUGAAGAAGGUAAGGUAGGGGGAAAUUGAUGAGCUAGAAAUUAAAUUAAAUAAAAGUUAAGAAUCAACAUAAAAGCAUAACGGUCAAAGUGUUGAGGUUAAAUGCAUAAAAAUAUAAUUAAGAAGGUGGGGACAUAGUUUCCUUCUUAGGGCAUCCUAUGAUUGAAUCCUAAAACGAGAGAUUAACUUGUAAUUAUUAUAAUAAACAAAAGAGAACUCAAAAUAUAAACAACAACACUAAAUAGUUUAGAUUAAUCAAAAUAAUGUAACAAAGUAGCUAGGCUUAAUGAUAUUAAAAAAUAAACCCUAAACUUAAUUAAGAAAAAUAUCAAUUGAGCACACCAACGAAACAGUUUUGGAGCAUCCCAUUAAUGAUUAUUAUAGUUCACAAGUUGUAAUAAUCUAAGCCUGUUUUGAUUUUAAGUAUUUAAAAAAUAACAUUUUUGUUUAAAUACUUCUAAUGAACUGUGUUUAAAAUACGUUUCCAAAACUAUUUUGAAUGGUUGCUAAGCAAUUUAAUUUUUUUUUCUAAAAGAAUUUGUCUUUUGAAUUAAGCACUUGAAAUUAUGAGUAUUAUAGUUAGAGGUGCUUGCAAAUUUUUUUUUUUUCUUAUGAUAAUAGGAUCUAUGUCACUAUAUUUUCUAAAUUGUAAAAGUAGUAAAUUUAAAAGAACUCUAUGAUAGCUGUUUGAUAUUACUAAUUACUUGUCAUAUUUGUCAUAUUCACAAUAUAGAAAAAUGAGGUAUCAUGGGUUAUUUUUUUCUACAUGUUUUUGUCAUAUAAUGCAAUUUUUCUUGUAACUAAGUGUAUAUUAUAAAUAAUUGUAGACACUGCACGCUAUUUACUUUUGGAAUCCAAUCUAAUUUAAAUUGGAAAUUAGGAGGGAUGAAUUCUACUUUUUGCUUGGUCGAUAAAAUUGGUGGAUCCGAGUACUUCAUAAUUUUUUUACUUCUCACUAUUCUACUUCUUAUCGUAAAUACCCUCUACCCUUUUCAUGGAGAUAAAGAGGUUUUUACCAUUUUUCUUCUUUCGAAUGAAGUGUUAAAGAACUUGGAGUGGUGGGUCAUGAAAAUAUAAAAACAACUUUCCAAGACUAAUUAAUCUAAAUUUAUGGAUUAGGUUUAAAUUUGAUGAUGCCACAAUUUAUCAUGUUGUCAAACUUUAUGUUGAUAAAUUUGUUUUCUUCCUUAACAUGUGCAUUACAACUUUGUGGGAAAAUCUUUCUAUGAUGCUCUAAUCUCUACUACAAACUACUCCUUGCCUUGCCUUGCCUUUGAUUGCAGUCACGUUGGGGUCGCAUCUUAAUUUCCUUUUGUCGACUUCUACACCAAACAUUCCUGCAACGUUUUCAGGAUCAAAAUUCUAAUUAGGGUUCAAAAUUCGUAUUUAGCACACAUGAUGAUCCCAACAUUUCUCUCAACUUGGACUACUAGACACAUUCUUACUUCUCUCUAACGCUUGCAAUAAUAAAAUUUGUCUCCACAAACCAACUUGAAUUCUUUCAACAUGCAUGCUUUCUCCUCACUCACAUGCUUCUUCGAAAAAUUUUGAGGAAUUCAACCAACAUAGUAUAUAUUUCUCCAAACUAAGUACGAUUAACUUUAAAACUCUUAUGAAUAUUGAACAUUUGUUGGUACAUUAUUUAAUAACUUUCAAUUCUCUUCAAGUAUUUUCUUAACCCUACUUUCCUGUGUACACAAGAUCAUCCCUCUCAUUCGGAUGCAAUCUCAGUUCACCAAAGUCCCUCUCUCCUAAACGUACGAGACAUUACAAUAUUAAAAGCUUAACAAAAACCUUUAGAAAAAUCAAUUUCUAUUAAAAUACAAUAAUGUUCAUCAAACCCACUUUUUUUCUUCUUUUUUUCAAUAAUUGAGUUUGGUCAAAUUAUUAGUCGUUAAUGGGAAGUAGUUAGAAUUACAACUACAAAUGUUGACUUCCAAAACAUAUUUUAUUAGAUAAAAUACUAUUUUUAGUUUUUAAUUUCUUUAACUUUUUUUCUUUCUAUUGAGAAUAUAAAAUAAAUAAAGAAAGAAAUUGCUUAAAUAUGUAAAAAAAAAAAAAAACUGUCAAACUUUCUCUUCAACUUCCCACCAUGCAAUGUUUGGUAUAAUGUGUUGGUUUUGGUACUACAAAAUGGGUAUUCUUAAUGACAACAUGAAGAGACCUUCAUUCCUUUUUCUUUUUUUUCUUUUAGAAAAAUUGAUCUAUUUUCUUUUUUUUCUAUAGGAGAGGCCAUAUGGUCAAAAUUCCAUAUCAAUAAUUAUUGUAUAUUAACUUUUAUUGUCAAUUUAAAUCACAUUCAAUCAUUAAUAUUUAUACCUAAAGUUUGGGUAACCUUUUAAAGUUCCGUUUUGGAGGUGAGAUUAGAUUUAAAGAGGAUAGAGAAAACUUUUAAGUUGAGUUGGAUAAUCAUUUGACUUUUUUAGAAUUGACAAUUUGUUCUUAAUAUUUUUCAUCUUUUUCUUUAAGUAAACAUUUGAGUUAUUAGUUAGAGAAUAAAGUUGAGAAUUUUUUAAAAACUAUUUCCAGUGAGUGUCAAAUUAUCUGAUUUAUUUUCCUAAACGACUUAUUGUAAGAUCACAUUAUUAACAAACAAAAGAAACUAAUACUAAUAAUUAAAAGUUGAAAGUUGUGUUUAAAACAUAAUUUUAAAAAGAAAAAGAAAAUUAAUCCAUAAGUUUAUUGGGCAAGGCUAUAUUAUUUAAAUUUGUGACUUUAGUCCUCCAAUUUUUCAAUAGGGAAAUUACAAAAAGUAAAAUAUUUACACUUUAAAGAAAAAUGAAGUGUAAUAAAUUUUGUAUUUUAGUGAUUUUAUUCUAUAGAGUGUAAAUAGUUUAUGGAUUUUUCUAUUUUUGAAAAAACUCUAUUUGACCUGUUCUUGAACAUUCAAUAUUAAUUCUUAAAAAUAUUAUAAAAUAAAAAUUCAUUUAUGUCGUAAAAAUUUAUAUGUAAUGUCUAAUAAAGUCUAAUUUUUUAAUUUUAUGUUCAAUACAUAUUUGACUUUCUUUAUAAAAUAAAUUUUAGAAUAAAUUUGAUAAAUAGAAACGUUCAUAGAAAAUAGACGACAAAUUGAAAGUUCAUAUACUAAAUUCAUAAUAUUUGACCGAUAAAAAAAAAACAAAUAGUUACUGAAAACGAAAACUUGAUUUUCGAAGAAUAUUAACUUCGUUUCACUCUGUUCCCACCUCCCAAUCUCACAAGGUUAGGUUUUAGAUGCUUUUUUAUCCUCAUAUUCUACCAGAAAUUUUUAUUUUCAUUGAAAACAUUUAACCUAAAUUUUUAGAAAUCAAAUUUUUUUUUUGAAAAUUUUAAAAGUAAUUAAAAAAAAAAACAAAAUCAAAACAAUGAGAAAAGUGUUUAUGUGAAGAAUUAAAUCAUAAAUCAACAAUGUCUAUAUCAAUUGAAUGAGUAUAAUAACUAUACAAUUUCUUAUAUUUUCUUUCUUUCUUUUUGAAAAGCACCAAUGCAAUAAAUCCUUUGAUAAAAACAACAUAUUAAAGGUCAAUAUCACAAGAGGUAAUAAAGUUCAAUAAUUUAUCUUAUUCUUAAAGGCCAUUUACCAAAAAAAUUAAAAUAAGUAAAUUUUUUUGAACUUUACCUCUUUUAUAUAUAUAUAUAAAGUAUUGUCAAAAUAUCAUACCAUAGAUAUUGUAUUACUCACUUCAAGAUAAAAAAUUCAUUCCCCUCACAUCCUCGAAAGUUAUGAAUGAUUAAGAGUAAUAUUGCAACAUUUGAAAGGAUACUGAUAUUUUUUAAAGAGAUAUUUUCAAAUAAGUGAACCAAAAUAUUUAAUACUAACAUGUUUCUAUUAGUGUCUAUCACUGUGCUUAUAAACACUAAUAGAGUAUAGAAUUUUGCUAUAUUUUGUAAAUAUUUUUACUUGUUAGUCAUUUAUAAUAAUUUCCUUUAAAAAAAUAAAAAGGUUUGUAAGUGUAUUAGAAUAUAGAUUUUAAAAGUUGGUUAAAAUCCAAUACGGUUAUAGUAGGUUUCAUCCAAUUUUAGUUCUAAUUUCAAUAAAUCUUAAAUUUAGUCUCGAGGACUAAUUUAUUUAUUAUUAUUUUUGUCCACAGACUCCUAUCAUCUGGGAGUUUUUUCAUUAUAAAAUCUAAAAUGAUUUCAAAUUAUAUUUUUACUUAAAAACUUUCAUAUCCAAAAUGUUCCGAAUUUGCCUAAAAAUAAUAAUAUAAUUGAUCUUGUCAAUUUAGAAAAUUUUCAAUUAAAGCAUCAAUAAAAAUAAAUUCAUAAAUUCUUUUACUUUUCAAUUAUUUUAUCUUUUCUAGCAUGAAACAAAAUAAUUAAUUUAAAAUUAUUUUUUUAAUCCCAAUAAACUCUAAAUACUGUUUUAGAUAAUUAAAAAAAAAGGGAAACAGAUAGGAAAGAAAUCCAAUGAAAGUGAAAGUAGAGGCCAAGAGGGAUCCAAAAGCCCCAACUCUUGAUGGAUACUAUAAGUUUAACAUAUGACAGGUUUUGCUUCUAUGAAGCACCAUAACACUCCAACCCCAAUUAACCUCACGGCGGCGCUUGGCGGCCGGCGACAAGCGGAUUGACCAUCCCCCUCCAAAUGGCUAUUUUGCAACUGUACAUUUAAAAUAUUCAUUGAAGUCCGUAGUUCAUGGACUACUCUAAACUCCCUGUUUUAUAGGUCCCUCUCUCCUUUACUCUUUAUAAAGUCCAAACCUACGGCGCAUAAAUUUCCAAAUUUCAAUCUCUUUCUCUCUCUUUCUUUCUGUUGUUUUUUUUCUCUCUCUCUCUCUCUCUCACUCUGUGUCAGCACCAAGGUGCGGCCAUGGCGGCAGACCAAGAAGGCAGAGAGUUGAAGUUUAACUCUAAGUUUCAGAUUGAGCAUGGGAUAUGCAGCAGAACCCCUUUGAAGGAGAUAGUUGGCCAAGCUAUUUUGGACGGUCUGAUUCAUUUCUCAGCUUUAAUUCACCAGUUGAAUCUGAGAUUGGUUCCUAUGAAAUCGAAAGUGAUAGAGAUGACGGAGAGAACGAUGGCGACGAUUACACGGCGGAGUUGAGUCGACGGAUGGCUCAGUACAUGCUUCAAGAUGAUGAUAACUCAUCCACUACAAGUUUUCAAUCUGAGAUUCAGAACAAGGUAUUGAAUUUAUCAAGGAGUGAGAGAUUUCAGGGUGUUUGUCAAAUUCUUUGUUCCUUCUCUGUUUUUCUUGAUUUUGUGGGUGUGUUUUGUUUAUGGUAGUCAUGGGGUUUGUCUGGUUCGCCAAUUUCAACGCUGUGGUCACCUUUAGGCUCUAGCACUGGGAGUAGCCACGGAAGUCCAGAAGGGCCGUCGAAGGAGCCAUCGCCUCCAUCAACGCCGGUAGUUGAAGAGUGUGGAGAGCUAGACAUUUCACACAACGUUUUUAGCAAAUUGGAGAAGAUGAAGAAAGUGAGCAUAAACGGUAAAUCAAUCCAAACAAGCACCCAAAUAGGAGAAACAGGAUCUUCCUCUUCCAAGGACCAAUCAAGAACUCCCAAAGUGAGAUGAGAAUCAAAUCCCCCCAAAUCUCCCCUGUUUCUUAAUUUUCUUUUUCUUCUCAUAUCCCUUUUGCUGAUUCAAAACUCAACCCUCCUUGUAGAAUCAGAAACGAAGGCAGAACCAACAGCAGCAGCAGUUCAUGAAGCAAAAAGGCUCAGGCACCACACAAGUCAAGCAAGCUCAAGGAAGCUCGUUACAAGCAAAUUCAGGGGCAAAAUCAGUAGGGCCAUCAGGGACUGGCGUUUUCUUACCUCGCCAUGUGAACUACAACCGUCCAGCUCCAUGUCCACAGCCACCACAGCCGCCGAAGAAAAAGGGUACUUUCUCCUUUCAUUCAAUAGAUAGCUAAUUUUUUUACAUCCUUUUCAAUUCGGGUUUACUAGCUAACCCCGUUAGUUGGGAUUUUUCCAUCAAUGAAUUGCCAUUCAAACCAUUACUCGUGAUGCAUUUUUGGACUUUUCCUCCUUUUUUUAAAUUUUUUUUAUCCCCCUUCUCUUUCUUCGGAUUCAUAGAGAUUCCGUGUCCUCCCAUAUGCACUCUGAAUCUAUCAGGCCUUCAACCAUACACGGUUGGCCCAACCAAAUUUGUCCGCUACUUUGAUGGAAUCUUCAUCCAUCUCUUUAAGCCUAGCCGUUUUGGGGUCAAAAGGAGGUGGCUGAAAACGACACCCAGUUGAAUCGUUAAACCACUUGCAUUCCCCGCUACAGUUAAAUUUUUCAAUGGGUAGAUAGAUAUGUUGUCUUCCUUCACAAGGCAAAAACACUAAAGCAAAUUUGCCCUUUUCCCCACCUUCUCCCUAUCUCAGGCUGCUCCACUGUACUAAUACCCGUGAGAGUCCUACAAGCCUUACAGCAUCACUACGACAGAAUGGACGACGAGACGAGACAAAAAAUCACUGGCUUCACAGCUCUGAGAGGUAAAUUUUCAAUUCCCACCACAAAAUUCUCACUGUGGCAUUUUCACAAAUGGUUGGUGGUCAUUCCAACCAUAAUUAGUAUUUCACCCCAUAUUCAAUAUGGAAGAUUCUCUUUUCAACAUAACAACAAAUUCCUAUAUAUCUUUUCAAACAGAAGCUGCAGCUAAUGCAAGAACAACAACAAAUACCAUUAAGAAAAGUCAUACAGGAACUGCAACGGCAACGGUGACGACGGCGACAAGCCAAAUCGACGUGGGCCUUCCUCAAGAAUGGACAUAUUAAUGACUUCAACAACUGGCGAGGGGCCAUUUGUUCUCUGGAUCACAAAUCUGAAAGCUUUUUGGCGGUUUUCGUAAGUGAAAGAUGGGAGAUGACGUUAAUGUAAAUUGGAAUAAAAGCCCCAACAAGUAGACGGAGAAGAAGACGAAAUGAACAAAAGAAUUAGGGGUUAGGGGAACCGAUGUCGUUUUCUUUGACUGUCGAUUAGGGGGCAAAAUCGUAAAUAAUGUUUGGGAAAUUAAUAUUUGUUAUGAAAAAAAAAAAGGAAAUGAAAAUUCCUUUUAGUAAUAAUUUGUCAAACAAAGGUUGUAUUUUAUACCCUACAAUAAUUGUUUAAAUAAUUUAAUUAUUCUUGUUCAUCUAAACUUUUUAAUACGUAAUCGAUAAAUAAAAAAUUAUACAUCUAUCCAUAAAGUAUCAUGGAACUGAGUUUGAUUCUAUCUUUAAAAAUCGUACGUUUUUAUAACUUUAUAUUCACCUUUACCAUUCAUCACUACACUUAUUUUUUCAUUUAAAAACAAUUUUCUCCCUCCAAUCUUCUCGUAGUACCUUUGAUUCCUAUCAUCACUACACGGGCGUUUGCCACUUUGUUUUCGUCGUCGUUGUGUCCUUUCUUCCUUUGUUUUCUAGAAAAGUAAUUCAAAUAAAAAGUCGAUAACAAAGUAAUUCAAACAUUUACUCUUAUCAUGUCAAUUACUGCUUAGUUAAGCUUCCACUUUGACGAAAACUUGACUGAUUUUGCUACACAUUCUAAAUUUGAAAACUUAGUAAUUGCACAAGUUCAAUUACACAAAUUAAGAAAUUUUCUAAUAAAAAUUAGGCGACUUCUUAGCUAAAAAUGUUUGGGAUAAAAUUGUUGAGUUUUGAAACUUUAAGAAGAUUAAUACAAAUUAAUUCAAUUAAGUAUAGAUACUAUUUCUUUUUUAAGGUUGAAGAUUCGAAUUUUCUAUCUAUAUACAAAAAAAAUGUAUAUAUUAUAAAUAUUGUCAACUCGAGCAUAAUUAUAUGAAUAAAAGAUCAAAAUCAGCAAUAGUAGCCCUAGCUACUACUGUGAGAUAUGUGGUUAAAAAUUCAUCUCGAAUUUCUAUUGUACUAAGAAAAAUGGUAUCUAAGAGGUGGAAAGUGUUUGAUCUCAAACUCUUGCACAUUUGUAUCGAAAUAAAUGAUAAAAAUAUCAUUUUUUGGCACUUAUAUAUUCUUUGCAUUUCUUAAAUUAAACACCCGAUAAUGUAUUUCAAUCACACUUAAGAUUACAAUACUUACAUAAAUUUAGCAUACAUGUAAGAGCUUUAGUGUAUACGUGAGUUUAUUUUCCUUCUUAUGAACAUUAAUUUGUUUGGUAUAUUUUAUUUUUUUCAAUAAAGCUAAUAAUUAAGACGACUGUUGAAUAAAGAAAAUUAAGUUAAUAGAGUCAAUAAUAAUAAAGAAAAUUAUUUUAAAUAAGAAAACUAAACUGAAAUUAUUUAUAAAUAUAACAAAAUUUCAAUGAUGGACUUUCAUUGAUGUGUCUGUUAAAGUCAGUAUUAUAAAGAAUUUGAUCAGUAUCUAUUAUUAAUAUAUUAUGAGUUUUUGUUAUAAUUGUAAAUAUUUUAUUCACUUUACUAUAUUUAAAAACAACUCUUAUAAUAAAACAAUCGAUUUUCAAAUAAAUAUUAAUUUUCACAACAUAAUUAAUAAAAAUAUCAAAUAAAGGGAUUCAAAAAAGGAAAGAGAGAUGAAGAAAAAUUCAUACCUUUGCAAUACUAUCAAAUAUUAUUGCUCUAUGGGCAUACAAAAAAUAAUGGGGGAGUAAUAAAUUAAUUCAUUGUGUGAAGGUCAACUUUGCACCAAAUAAGAGAUACAAAAAUAGUCCCUUUCUUGAUUCCUACCUUUGAUUAGUUCUAUCUCCCAACUCGUUUUUCCUCCGAUAUAACUUUUUAGAGAUUUUCUCUCCAUCAAAUUGACUUUUUUCGAAGUUUUUUAAUGUCAUGUUUGAUUUGAUCUUUAUUGGUCUCGUAUCGAUUUUUAGAAGUUUUUAUGUCAUGUUUUAAAUCAUGCUCUCUCUAUAUAUCUUAAAUUAACUUUUAAAGGGUUUUCACGUCAAGUUUGAGUGUGAUUUUGAAAUGGUAUUAAAAAAAUCAAAUAACACAUAACAAAUAUUUUUAAUAACUGAAAUUCAACUUUAAUAGUAUGAAAAUGUGUUGAAAAGUGCAAAAUUAGAUAUUGAAUCACUUUCAAGUACUUAUUAAAGAAAAAUAAGUACAUUGGUUUUUAGAAAAAUUGUAAAAUGAAACCUCAUGUUCAUCUUGUACACACUACAUCAUAGCUCAUGAAAUUAAGUCCCAAACAAACGUUUGAUAUAGAUCAAAAGAAUGAUAUAUCCAAAUAAGCACACAUUACUUUGAGGAAGCAUAUAUGUUGAAGAUCAUAUAUAUAUAUAUCCAAAAAAUAAGAGACCUUCAUAAUCUUUAUUAAAGAUACACACGUGACUCUUCUUAUUACCAACUAAUUUUCACAUUAUCAACGUAUCAUUCCAUUUUCUUCACAUGCAUAUUAUUGCUCCCAUUUAUUGAACAUGAUAAUAUCGAGAAGUGAGAAAUCAUAUAAAGGACCCUAGUUGUAAUAUUGUAGUAAUGAAAAGGGUUAAAGUUGAAAACAAUGUGACAAAGAAAAUGUCAUUAUCUCUGUACAUGAAGCAGAAAGAAGAAGAAGAAGGAAUGGUCUCUUUCACAACUUGAACAAAUCUAGAAAAGAUAAUCUCCUGAUGUAGGAGAGAUACAUAAAAACAUAAUAGUUCAAAAUAUCAUAUACACUUUGGAUAUAUAUACACAUUUGUUGGCCAAAAAAUUAAAAGUGAUGAUAUAUACACGUAAACAAUACAACAACCUCACAUUUAUAUGCUCUUUUUGAUAACCUCAAAGUUGACAUUCCAAAAGAAAUUUAUUCUCCAACAUAGUGUAUGAGUUUAUAUAUAUAUAUUUUUUUUGAAGGAAUCCCUAAUAUAUAUAUAUUCCAUUUGAUCUAAUCACUAUAUAAAUUGUUGGUACUUUCCUUCAAUAGUUAUUUUUCUCUAUUACUUGUUGUUUUGAGAUGUUUCCUCUUCCAAUCUAUAGAAUGUUGGUUAGUUCCAUUAGUUCCAAUUUAAUUUUGAAUCUUUCAAACCAUUUAGAACCAUCUCAAAUUCCUCAUUCUCUAUAAAAAAAAAAUGAAAAAAGAAGACAAGCAUAUGAGAGUGACAUGACUUGGCCACACAUAUAAGAUAGACACUAAGUCGAAUACUCUAAUACCAAGUAUUGUAAUGGAAUAAGAGAGUCUACUUACUUUUUCAAGAGUCACAAUGAUAUGUAUGAAUAUUUUAGUUGAUCAAAUUUGAGUUUUUUUUUCACUCCUCCAUAAUUGAAACAAAGUUUAUUGAUUAUAUCAAUCAUUUUAUUUAUGAGUGUGUUUGGAAUACAUUUUCAAGUAUUUUAUUUAGAAAGACAUUAAAAAUAAAUUUUGAAUUGUAUUUAUAAAAAUUUGAGAAAGUAGGAAUGUUUUUCAUAGUCGUUGAUUACUAACCAUAAUAGUAACAUAAAAAAAAAUAUGAUAAAUUGAUAAAAACAUUUCAUUUCAUGUCAAAUAAUGUACGAGAAGAGUUGAAUACGAAAGUACUAGAUUUUUUUUCCAUAAACUAUAUUCAUCUUACAUAGUCAUCACAUGCAACCCAUUAAAUAAAUUAAUAAAUUGGAUAAAAAAAAAAGGUGAAAAUAGUACUAAAAUUCUAUUAAAUAAAUUAAUAAAUCAUCAUUUAACAUGUCAAAUAAUGAAUAGAAGAAGUCGAUACCCUAGUAUUACUUUUCCACUAAUAUUUAGAGUUAACAUACAAGAAUUCGCAAUGGGCCGACCUACACAUGGGUUGGCCCAAUACAUUAGGACACCAUAAACCAAAGCAAGCCCAAGGUUAGAACGAGUCACGUAACAAAAGGACAAAAUCGUGAGAAUGACGAAAUAAUAGAUAACAAUUCGAAAAACAACAAAUCUAAAAACUAUUUUGAUUUGUAGCAUAACCGUCUUAAGUAGAUAUUUUUUGAUAAAUUUUCAGCCAAUUUUACCUUUCAUAGUCAGAAACUCUUUUUGAUCAGAUAAACUUUUUUAUCAGAUAAAGUGUAUUUGUACAAAUUAAAAUAAUGAAAUAUAACUCAGAACCACGAGUACAGUGCAUUUGCAAAUCAUUCAGUUUCAUAAAAAUAUUAAACAAAUAUUUAUUUUCGAGAUUGAUCUCAUCUAAUCAACAUCUCCUAGAUUUAUGUCUUCAAUUUAUAUCCGAUUUUGAGAUUUGUAGGUUUCAAAUCAAAUAAUUAUCAAUUUACUUUUAUUAAUAUGUAUAAUUUAAUUCAUGCUCUUUUUGUUAUCAAUAAAAUGAUUGAUAGUAUAAUUUAUUCAUUGUACGUUUCAUGAGGUUUGUUUAAUUCUUAGAAAUAUUUUAUUAUAUCAUACAAAUACACAAUUUUUCAUAUUUAUCCUUCAUUGUUUUUGGAUUAUAUAUAUAGUAAUAAAUAUUUAUUUUAUCAUUUGAUUUUAAAAGUUUAGUUGAAAAUUUUCCAAAAUUUGAAUUUAAAAUUGUAUCCUUCCCUAAAAUUGUGCAUUUGAUAUAAAAACAAUAACAUAUUAAGAUUGUAACAUCCCUAUAAUUAUGCAUUUAACCAUUUUUCCAUAAAACAGUUCACUUAACAUAAUAAUAAAUUGACAUUAUUUUAGGAAAAUCAAUCAAUUAUCACACCAUAAUCAACCAAUCAAUUAAGUGACAAUAACAAACAGGUACACAUGUUUCACAAUAAGAGGAUGUACACAAUUUGAUGACAGUAUAACAUGAUAAUGUAAUAAUAAUUUGAUGACAAUAUAACAACAAAAAAGAUGAACAUAAGUCAGAGUUGGAAAUGUAAUGCAAUAAUAAUUGAUAAUCCUUAAGUAUCAGCAAUCCACUAUACCAAUUGUACUUUGUCUUCUUUCUUUUUGUUUAUUUCAUCGUAUAUAAUACUUUCAUCAAUUGACCUGAUCAACUCAUUUAGUUCUUCAUCGGCAUCCUUUGUGGCCUUUACAGUUAUGUACACGGUUUACUUUCAAACAUGUGUUCUAAAUUGUUUAACACAAUAUAGUAUUAUAUUUACUUUAUAAAGUUCCUUAUACGGUAGUUGAUCUCCAUUUUGCCUUAUUUUGGGAGGUAUUGUUUAUGAUUUUGUUGAUGUCGGUUGUCUACUAGCUGACCCUUCGAAGCCUUGGCUCCCACUUCUAGCAACGCCUCCCCUUCCCUCAUCGUCGUCCUUUUUGCCAAGGCCUUUUUGAUACAUCGGUUCCAUGCUCAGGUCUUCACCUUCAUCUUCUCCUUUGUCCUCUUCUUCUUUUCCCUCCUCUACCUUAUCAAGGUGCUUCUCAAAAGACUUUGCUCCCUAAAUUACAAAUAUAGUGUAUUUUCAAAGUUUAUUUCAUAUACACAUAAUCGGAGAAGUAACUUAUAGUUUAAAGCUUAUGCUUACCAUAUAUUCGUUUGUCUUUUUGGGCACCUGAAGAAAUAGGUUGUUUCCUUUUGAUCUCUUCAACAAUGUUGUUUAAGUUGACAUAUAGUUCUUCAAACUUUUUGUCUAUUUUCUCCUCCACAGUCUUGAACAAUCCAAUCAUCUCCUCCAUAAUUUUUUCCAUUUUUUUCAGGCUUUGUUUAAUACUUUCAACAACUUUGGCUAGUCCAUCAAGCUGGCUUGUAGAGGGCAUGCCUCUACUAAGUGACACGUGAGCUACACGUUCAGCUUGUUGGCCCUUUGUAAACUCAUCUUCGGCCUCUCUGAGAAUCAUAUUUUUUAACAUGAAGUAACAGUGCGAAGUAUGGUUUGCUCACUUCAUCAGUUGUAGCGAGCAUCAGGGAUAGUUCAAGUUGUUUCAAGAAGAAAAAAAAAGUUAUAACUAUAAGUGAUUAUCUACAUAUAAAAACUGUUGUAAAAUGAGUUGCAUACCAUUGACGAAACACAGACCUUCUGUUGUAGGUCCUUCCAUUAUGGCGUGUGUGUCUGCUGUCCAAUUUAUUAUCUGAGGCACUUCAUUUGAGAUUCGCUGUAGCAAGAAGUUUGAUGACGUAAUCAAGGUUGGGAUUACCUCGUAAGCCCAAACUAAGAUCGAAAAAUGAACCCUCCCAUGGAUAUCCUUAUUUGCCUCUUGCUUAGUCACAACCCUAUUCAUGAAAUCUACGAGGAGGUCAAAAGCAACUCUCCCCCAAGGAUACCUAUCAAAUAAUUCACCAUUGUCUACCAUCAAAAUAUGAUCCCACUGUAUACUCAAAGAUUCUUGUUGUGGGAGUAGAAAGCUCUCAAUUUGGUCAUCCUUAUCCUAUCGGUAUCCGUUCCAGUUGUACUUAUAUUGAACAUAGUGUUCAAGUAAUGCCUUGUUAUUGAUUUUCGGGUCUCGAAAUAAAUCAUUUUCAGUCGUCCUCCACUCUUUAUAUCCUUUGUAUUAACAUAUGAUAUUUUCUCGCAGUUCAAGUCUAUAAUCAAGACAAAUUCCGUCAGCCCAAAUUUAAGUACCCUACCCCAUAUCAGGAAAUGUAGUUGGAUGGUUGAUUUGGGCUUGCACAUACGUUGAAUGAGGUGCAUGAGUAAUUGAGAUGACUAGGUUGUUAUGAAAAAUUUCAGAAAAUGGUUGAAUAGUCCCUCAGUACUAAAUCUAGCUGUCAGUCUUUCUCCAAGAUUUUGUUUGAUUUUAUCUAUUAUGUUGCUUUUGUCUAGAGGUUUAUUCUUAAAGGUUCAGUCCACCGUUGGUGGGACAUCAAGUAUACCGACUCCUAAUAGUGAUGAGUAGUUAUAUUUAGGUUAAUGACAAUCACAAUAAUGAAAUACAACGCAGUAAAAUCCAAAAUAUAAGUUAGCAUGUUCCAUAAUCUACAAAUACACUGUAAUUGCAGUAAACUAUUAUACAUAUUCCUAUAAUGAUUACAUAACGAUCAACAUAUUAUCCCAAAUUCUAUGUAUUCUAAUUAUAUAAUAUACAAGACUCAGUACAUCAAAAUCAAUAACUAAUCACAAUAUAAAACGUAAUACAAAUACACUGUAAUUGUAUUACAUUAUUUUCAUACCGUUCCAUCUAAAAUAAAACAUAAAUUACAAUUACCAUAUAUAUAGCAAAUUCCAAAGACUCGUACCAUCUAAAAUACAGUACAACAUCACACGUGCCUCAACCCUUUCUUCCCUUAUUGGUGCUUUUCCCUUUCUUCUUCAGUCCUUUUUUGCUUUUAUUCCUAUCUUUGCCGUUUUUACCUGUUUUUUCAAUUUUGUUACAUGUAUAACUAAUAUACAUUAAGAUAAAGAGGUUGCAGUUAUCUAAUUUAUAUACAGUUACCUUCUUCCCUUUUUUUUUGUAUUCGUUUGUCUCUUCUUAUAAUUCAUGGAUUGCUUAGUGUUUUCACUCGUCUCUUUUGUGGAUGAUUUUGAUUUUUCGUUUGCUAUGGUAUCCGCUUGCCACUCUUGAUCUAUAUCGUCCUCUCCUUUUUUGUUUUCCAGACUCUCAGUCUUUUCCUGUUCACUCUCUUUUGAUUAUUAAAUUAGACAAGUUUGUUCAUGUUUAUUAAUUCAAUUACAACAAGCUACAACACUUACCUCUUCUUCACUUUCUUCUAUAUAUUUCGCUCUCUUUAUUCGACUUAAUGAAACCUACACAGUGCACAACUUCAAAAAAUCUCUUCGUAUUCAUUAGAAAAUAGGAGAACAUAAAUGUUAAUAAGCAUGUUUACCAUGCUUUUUAUUCUUGGCUUUUUCUGUAUGGUUGGUUCUUCCUUUGGAGGGUCCUUCAUCCUCCUCUUAUUGGAUGAUUGUGGAAAUUCUUUUUUUCCUCCUGACCCUAUGGCCAUUAUAUGUUCUGUUAUAUCCUGUAAUGAACCAUACACUAAGUUAUAAAAAUGUACAACUUUGUUAUACUUAGGAAAAUCCUUGAAAAAAUAUAUACGAAUACCUCGUCUGAAGAGUUUGGACACCUGUUGACAAUGGUUUUUUUGAACUAGUGUAUUCAGAAGACCGUAAUCUGUCACUUCUUCGCUUUUCUCCUUGACCCUUCUUUGUCCUCAUUUUUAGAUUUUCUACAAUUUAUAUAAUAAUAAACAUUCAAAACAUAAAAAAAAUAAUACAAAGUAAUCUCUUCUUUUGCUCAUAAAAUGGAGGACAUAACUGUUGUAUGUUUUAUUUUAUAAUAAUAAAAAAAAAUUAAAAACUAACGGAUUGUUAUCUCUAUAUAUAAUUAAAAAUAAUUUUUUUAUUCAAACUACAUCGUCUCUUUUGAACGUUCCAAAAUCACAGAGGCGUCAACAAUGACGAUAAUCAAAUUAUCCAAAAUACAGUCCCAACCAUGGAUUAUGAGUCAAGUAGUUAAGCCUAUAUAUAGCUUUCUUCUUUUAUUAUAUUCCAUGAGUGAUUUUAAAAAAUCAAACAAAUUUUAAAAACUAGAAAAAAUGAGCUUUAAAAAAGUUGUACUUUGUAGGAUACGAAGGGAAGAGAAAAUAGAUUUAAUUUUAAUAAAUAAAAAUAAAAAAUGAAAUAAUUACAUUAGAAUUUUUCUCUUUAUUUUAAAACAGAAUAAAAAGAAAAUAAGAUCCAUAAUUAAUCCAUUAGAACAUAUGCAUAUGGAAGCAAGAGGAUGUGGGUAAGAUAGAUCUCCAAAUAAAAAAAAGAAUAAAAAAGAACUAUAAAAAAGUAGCAAUAAUAUUACCAAAAUGAAUUGUAACGUGGGCUAAUCCUAAUCUUAUAGAUAAGCCAAAAGGUCAAAAUAAUAAAUUAAUUUAGAAAUGGCUACAAAAUAUUCACCACAUUUUAAAGUAUAUUAAUCACAGUUUAAGAAAAUUGUAAAAAUGAUAAUAUAGUAACUUUGUUAGGAUUAAUUGAGGUGAUAAAUAUUGAUCUAUUAUUAAUAAACCAUAAAAAUCUAUUUUCAUACAAAUGCGAUUAUUAUAAUUAUUUAUUAAUAAUUAUAGUUAUUCAUUAAUUAAUUAAGGAUAAUCAUUUCAUAUUUGAUUAAUAUAAAACAUAAAAUCAAUAUAUAUGAUGUCUGCUUCUCAUCUUAUGGAAAAUAAAAAAUGUUUAUAUAUAUAUAUAUAAUAGAGGUGGAUACUAAUCCUAUAAUUCAUAUAAUACAAUGAACCCCAUGUUUGAUAAAACACACAUCGGUUAAAAUUCUAAACAAAAUUGGACAGAUUAGUAAAUAGCUUCGGAGAAUUUAUUAUUUUUGUUUUUUUUUUAAUUUUAAUCUCAUAUUUUAUAUCAGUUUUGGGUCCCUUUAAAAAAAACCAUAAAAAUCCUCAUUUUCUUAAGAAAACAUUCCCUUUUAUUUUACAUGAUUUUCUUCAUCUAAUCUUGGCACCAAAUUUAAGCAUUUUCUCCUCUUUGUUUCAAAGGUAAACAUUUUUUUUUUCAAAAUUUAUAAAUUUUCUAUCCGAUUUCCUAUUUCUUCUUUUUUUUUCUUUUACAAAAGUAUGGUAAUAAAUGCUGGAUGAGAAUUUGAACCCGGACCUCUUGUCCUAUUUCUUCUUUUAUUAGAAGAAGAAAAAUGUGUUUGAUAAUGGUUUCUAUUUCUUUUUUUAUUAGAAGAAGAAAAAUGUGUUUGAUAAUGGUUUCUACUUCUUGUUUCUUUUAAAAAAUGAAACAGAAACAGAAAAUAUGGGUUUCUUAUUUCCUUAUUUUCUUCCAGAUUUAUUUUUUAUUUUAUUCACAUCCAAUUCAUUUAAAAUUACACCACUCAUUGUAUCAAACCUACAUAGGAAUGUUUUCUAGUAAUCUUAUAGAGAUUAAGAUUUGGAAAUUAAGAUAAAGAUUGAGAUCCAAAGGACAGAGUCGACAAAGAGGAAGACGAAAACUCAGGACUUAAAUUCACGGCAAAAAGAAAGACAAAGACCCACGAUGAAAACACAAAUCCGAUAAAACCCCACAGCGAAAAUUAUCCAUGCAAAGAGGAAAACUCAUAUCCAAAAGCAUCGUGUAGAGGAAGAGGAUGAGAGGCGAGGAGGAAGAUGGAGAAAAUAAUAAGAGGAAGAGGAAGAUGAUGGUUAUUUAGGAAAGAAGAAAAAGAAAACCUUAUUCGGGGAAGAUGAUGAAAAUAAAACAAAGAAAAAAGGAAAUCACGUGUAGGAAAUAGAAAAAUAAUUGAGAAAAGAAGAAAAGAAAACUAAUAAAAAUAAUUGAGAAAAAAAGAAAAGAAAUUAGAUAACAAUAGCCGAGAAAAAAAAGAAAAAGAAACCCAUAAAAAUAAUUGAGAAAAAAGAAAAAUAAACCAAUAGAAAUAAUUAAAAAAAAUCAAUAAAAAUAAUUGAGAAACUAUUUUUCCACUCAAUCCUUGUAACAUGAAAAACGUUUAUAUUUUUUAAGAACGAGUUGAAACAGGAAACGUUAAUCUGUUUCUUAAAAAAUGAAAACAAGAACCUUACCAAAUGGGUCCCUAAUUUUUCUCUCCAAAUAAAUUUACUUUCAAAUUUAAUAAAGGAUAAAUAUGAAAAAAAAGGAAAAAAUGAGCAAAAAUAUGUAAGCAAAAACAACUUUUUAACUAUAACAUAAUAAAUCAAAUUUAGAUUCGAUGAAUAUUUGUUUUCUUGAAAAAGAAAACUCAACAAAGCCGCCUAUGAAUAUUUCAAAUAAAAAAGAGAAUAUUAGAUCCAAAAUAACCAAAAUUAGUUCACUUGAAUCGUUUACAAGCACAAUGUAACAAAUUAUGAUCAAAUGUAUAAUUAGUCAGCAAACCCUAGAUGGAAGAUCGACAGUUCCCUGAUCGUACGCCGAUGAUUUCUCCUUCUUCACAACUCUGCUUCCAAAAACCAAAAACCCAACCAUAUGUCCGGCGACGGCCACGAUAAAAACACCACCGUUGAACGACAUCAAAGCAAGCAUCACCAAAUACGCAAUCCCCAUUCUUAUCCCAUGUACCGCCGUCUGCACGAUUCCGGCCGCCACAUUUCUCGGCCCUACCUCCGUCAUCAUCCGCCAACACGACAGCCACUCGACCGCCACCGCCAGCAAAAAGACGAACACCAGCGCCACUGCAUACAUGCCGGACCGAUCCGGCCAGCCAGCCGGAAAACAAAACUUGUGUGUUUUUCCCCCAGAAGAAAGUCAUGUGCAUGGCCGAUGACAUCAUAUCGUGAGUGUGCAUGUCAUCGCCGGACCCUCUGCUCGUCGGAGCUAUCGGCGGCGGCGGGGGGUCCAUGUGCAUGCCGUCGUGGGUGGGAAGUAAAACAUUGGUAGCGUCGGAUUUGGAAGAAACAGAAAGAAAAAUUACAAAACAAAGAGUUAAGAUUGCUGUUGUUUUUUGUUCCAUUUUGCAAUCUUUUGAGUUUGUCUGUUGACUUUAAGAGAAAUGAUUAAUGAAGUUCACUUAUUUUAUAGCUUAAUAUGGAAGUUUUG